rnacentral:lncRNA from 1 species
AACAAGCAAAAAACAUACACACAAAUAGCAAAUGGCCAACAAGCUCUUUCUCGUCUCGGCGACUCUCGCCCUCUUCUUCCUUCUCACCAAUGCCUCCAUCUACCGAACGGUCGUAGAAGUCGAGGAAGAUGAUGCCACAAACCCAGCCGGUCCAUUUAGGAUUCCGAAAUGUAGGAAGGAGUUUCAGCAAGCACAACACCUAAGAGCUUGCCAGCAAUGGCUCCACAAGCAGGCAAUGCAGUCCGGUAGUGGUCCAAGCUGGACCCUCGACGGUGAGUUUGAUUUUGAAGACGACAUGGAGAACCCUCAGAGCCCACAGCAGAGGCCACCGCUACUCCAGCAGUGCUGCAACGAGCUCCACCAGGAAGAGCCACUUUGUGUUUGCCCAACCUUGAAAGGAGCAUCCAAAGCCGUUAAACAACAGGUUCGACAACAGCAAGGACAGCAGGGACAGCAGCUGCAGCAAGUAAUUAGCCGUAUCUACCAGACUGCUACGCACUUACCUAAAGUUUGCAACAUCCCUCAAGUUAGCGUUUGUCCCUUCCAGAAGACCAUGCCUGGACCCUCCUACUAGAUUCCAAACGAAACCCUCGAGUGUAUGAAUGUGGUUGUCGGUAUAUGUCAACGCCACACUUCAUCGCGUAAUAUGUAAGGUCUUAUCUAGGAUGUUUGAGGCUAUGUAAUUAGCACUACUCCAUAAUAAAAGAGGUUUUUAAUGUUUUAUUCGGUGUGCAUGCUCUCUAAGUGGUCCAAGAUUUUAGUCUUCAAGCAAAUUUUCCUAUCAAAUUUGUGCGUUACUUGAUCACCUUAACUCGUACAUCGGCUUUUUAACGGUAUGCAAAACAACGUUUAAACUGAUCUAUGACUUUCCUCCAUCAAUCACGUAUGGGUUUUAAGUAGCUUAUUUUUCCUUCAUAGGCGUAGAAAAACGGUGUGUCUUCAACAUGCAAAAAUAUAAGCAACUUCAAACCUAUACGUGAUUGAUAAUUGCAUAGUUAAAGAUUCUCUAAGCAACUUAAAACGGUAAAAAUAUAAGCACCUUAAAACGUUGUAUAUAUCUUCAUAGUGUGUUUCAACUAUUUUUCCUCUAUUCCACGAAAUUCUGUUUAUUCUGUUCAUCUUUCGUUCCACUAAUUCGUCUAAUGUGAUUAUUUCUGGUGGUUUAGUUAUAAUUGAUUUUGACCUGCGCAACCGCACCGAUAUUUUUUCAAAUUGAAUUGAAAGAAUUGUAAAUUACGUCAGUUGCGUAUUUAGAUUUUGGAUUUAUUUGAUAAUUCUAUACAAAGCGAAAAAAAUUCUAGUGUUUUUUUUAAGUACAUAUUCACUUUGUUUUUAAUAUACGACGUUUUAGAGAAUUCUUUUCACUUCAAAUUAGAUGAUAUUUUCAUUUUUCAAUUUUCAAUGCGAAUUUAUUUAUUUUUUAUUUUAUAUAACUUUUAUAUUCUCUAGUUUGCUUUUUUAUUGGUUGAAUUAUUAUUAGGUAAAUAGUUAAUGAUGUUUUUGGUUAGUUAAAAUAGAAAAUUAUUUUUUUUCUUUAAUUUGUGUGAACAAAUCUAAAUAUCAAAGUAAAAAAAAAGUGAAAGUAGUUUAAUUUAGUUGAUUAUAUAGAUUAGUACAUCUAUAUUUGUAUAUGCAUUUGUUUCACGGACAAAUAUAUGCUAUAUUGUUUUCUAUUAUAUAGAAUACAAUUUAUUUUAUAUGUCAAAUUAUUUUUUCAAUUUAGAUUUAACGUUUGAAUAGCAUUCUAGAGAGAGCUUGACGAUAUUUUAGCAUAUGCGUUGUAAACUCUAGAUAUUAUUUCAGAUGAUAAUUGAUUAAUUCUAACGGUAAUUUAGAUGUAUAAAGACAUGGUAUUCAUUACUUUUUCUAAUCAUCAAAAUAUUUUAAAAACUCUAUUUUAAUGUAAUUUUAAUAGAAUUUUUACUAUUUAUUUGCAAGUAUUUAUAUUUUUUGUAAACUAUACUAAAAAUGAGAUAUAAGUGAUCUUUAAGAUUUUAAGAUUUAGUAAUUGUGUGGUUAGUUUAAUUUAAAAAAAUAGAAUAUUCUUAGAAAUUUUAAGAUCUUUUUGUUAUAAAUGUUAUAUAAAUAAUAUUUUGUGAUUUACAAAUAUAUUAUUGGUAAAAUCAAUAAACUUUGAAAACACGGUAUGAAAUAUGCCUGAUAGAUUAUAAUUAUCAAAUAUAUUUUAAAUUUAGUUAUAUGAUUAUAAACGAAUUAUAUUAUAUGUUUUAGAAUGAUAUUAAUUUGAUAAAGAUUGUUAGUUAUGUUAAAGAACAAUCACAUGUUGUGAUACUUCUUUGACAUCAUCAAAGUAAUAACAAUAAUCAUAUGUUAUGGUUGCAUAAGAUAAUACUAAAAAUAGUUUUUACGAUCAUAUGUAUAUAUAAUCAUAUAUUUUGAUUGCAUAACAUAUGGAUUGUUUUACGUUAAUUAUGUGACCUAUAAAAUAGUUAAUGGCCUACAAAUAAUUAAUAAUGUUGUUAAUAAUUAUCAGAUUAAUGGGUUAAAAUAGUUUUUAUAAAUCAGUUGGUAUAUUUAAUUAUAUUUAAUUGAUUGGUCUUGGAUACAGAUUUUUGAAUUUAACAUAUAUUAAUAGUAAACAAUUUUUAGAUUCUCCUCAAAGAUAGUACUAUAUUUUUGAUUUUGUUAAGAUAUUAAUAAGAUAUAUUUGUAAUUAUAUUUAUUAUAAAAAUGAAUGAUGGGAUAAUUAAAUAUGAUGAUUUUCUAAAAUAUCUUUCAAAAUAAAAUAUUAAGAAGUCAUAAUUUUUGUUUUAAUAGAUGAGUAGAGAGGCGUGUAUACAUACUAGCUUAACAUGUCUUCCAAAAUUUAGUGUUACUAGUUCUGGUAUUCGUAAAUUAUUAGUACUAAUGUCACACAAAAAUACGAAUUUUGGCAUUUGACUAAAAUGAGUUAGUCGCCCACCAUCUUAGAGCAUGUUUAAUGGGGGUUUUUAGGGUGGUGUUCUUAUAUUCCGUUAAGAAUCCCACAUUAAGAACCUCCGUUAAACAUGCUCUUAGUCUAUACCAUUGUCUUCGACCUAAGAGGUGCGAGUUGUACAAGAGGCUAUAUUUUUUUUGAUGGGGCGAAAUCAAAAGGCACUAUAAUUACAAAAUAGUAUACGAGAUAGCAAGGGUAGCAUAUUCAUGUACCAUCGUCCAUCGAUCAUCUAUAUGCUAUUUUAUUAAUCGGUUACACAAGAGGAAGAGCAAUCGCGCGGGAUUUGAUGUAUUAGUUUUUGUAAAUAUAUAAUUUUGCAUAAACUUUCUUAAAUGUUAAGAUGAGUGUGAGUAUGAUUAUGUUGUCUAUCCUAAAUUCCAAUAAAAAUUAAAAAAAGACCGAAUUCUUACUAUUGUUGUUGUUUUAAAUUAAGAGUUGUAAGAUUUUAUAGUGUCCUAAGUAUUAUAACACUAUAAAAUACAUAAAUCAAUUAAAAUCGAACAAAAGAGAAAGAUAUUUGAGUUCUCAAAUACCAUUGUAUCUUUUUGAGGGUUUAUAAAAUAGUGAAAAGGAGGUUUUAAUUUAGAUGAACUCUUUGUCGAAGUUAGUAUAGUUGUUUUGAACAAUGUUAGGAAUUGCUAUUAUUAACAAUUGUUGUUUUUUGGAGAAAUUUUCAUGUCUACUAUUUUCUUGUUACCAUUAUUCAUGUUUACCACCAUUAAAGAGACAUUUUCAAAAAUACAUUCUACAUUAAAUGACAAAAGAUUCUUAUAUCCUUGUUCUCUAUAUAUAUAAUAAAUAAUUAUUUAAAUAAAUUAAAAAUAAUAAUCUUUUUUAUGUUUUGAAUUUUCAAAUCCAAAAUUUUUUAUUUUUAUUUUACUUUUUUGAAUUUUUUUCAAAUUUUUUUAUUCAAAAUUCCUUUUUGAAAAUUGAAAAUUAUUUUGAAACUAUUUUUUAAAUUUUUUUAUAUUUAUUUAAGUAUUUAUUUAUAUAUUUAUUAGAAUCUUAAAUUUCAUAUUUCAAAAACACUACUCCACCCCUCAACUCUAAACCCUAAGUAUAGAUUAGUUAACUCUAGGGUUAUAAAUGUCUUUUAUCCUUCAUUAAGCGUGAAGGUAAAAGUGGUUAAUGUAAACAUGAAAAGUAAUAUUAUGAAUGUGGUAUUUUUGGAAAUUUGUUUUUGGUAUUUAUGUUAUAAUAAGUUAUUGUUGGUACUUUAUGUAUUAUUACAUAAUUAUUACAUUGAAAAGCUGAUUGAAGAAAUAAAUUUUUUGGCCUUUCUUAGUUUCUUGUAUUUUAUGGUUAUAUUUGCUUAUAUACUACAUAAUUUUGGACUUAAGCACCACUCAUGUGCCAAGAGCGCGUAAUCAGAUUUCAGUUUUUUUAGCAAAAACUGCAAGAUCUUUUCAUAGGGAGUUAUUUUUUAUUGGUUGCUCUAUUCCGGUCUGGUUACCCAGACCACCUCUAGCCUGAGUAAUAGAAUGACCUUUCCGCGUCAAAAAAAAAAAAAAUCGUUAGAUUUCAUUAUAGGAUUUUGUUUAACAUAUUUUUGUCUUGAAAGAUUUGGUUUUGUAUUGCGUUAUUAUAUGAUUGUUCCUUUGUAUAAUUUUCAUUAUCUUCUAUUGAAUUUGUUUAUUGCAAAAUGAAUUCAUUGCAGUUGACAAAAUUUUAUAAUGUUGAAAUCAUUUGAAUGGGCUAUGCUUUAUUUUAUUAUGGUGUGUAAAAUAUUUAGUCUAUUUAUUUUAUGUUUGGUCAUCUAAUUUCAUUUGUACUUUUAUAUGUUUCUUGUCAGAUUUUUAUAUUAGUAUCAUGUUCAUAUUGUGCAAUUUUAUAUAUUUGUGUUUCUAUAUCGGUACUAAAACUAUAAUUGUUUUUUUUGUCUUACUACAAAAUGUUUAAGAAAAAAAUCAUUUUCGGAAAAUAAUAACAUUAGAUAACUUGAUAUAUUACAAAAAUAUUUUUGUUUGCAAUAGUUGAUGGCGAAUUUGUUUACAAAUCAUAUAUAUUAUAUUAUAUAUUGUUUAGUAAAAGUUGAAACAUUUAAUUUAUUUUAAAUUAUAAGUAACAUAAACUUUCACUAUUUUUUUACAACAUUUUCACUAUUUGUUUUAUUAUAUUCCUUAUAUAUCAUAUAUUUGCUUAACUAAUAAAAUUGGAGAACAUAAUUAGUUUACUUAAUUUUUAAUAUUUGUCCUACUUGGAUAAGAAAUAGAAUAGUUUUGGAUUACCUCUCUUUCGAAUUGUGCAAGUAUCUAUACUGUUAUUUGUGAAGUAAUUUUCGCUAUGGAACUCGCAUGUUAAAAGUUACAUUGGUUAAUAUAGUUUACACCCUAAAUGAAUAAAAUAUAUAAUUUGCUCUCAAAAUAAAAACGAAUUUCAGAAGAAAGAAAUGAUAAUCCCUAUUAUGUUGUUAUCCGAAAAGAUAAUUUUGAAUCAUAAAAAUAAAACUUAAAAACAGAAAGAUGUAAGUAAAUAAUCAAAUUUUAUACUAUUUUUAAUAAAAUUUAUUAAUAAAAAUAUUUUUAAAUAUUCUUAAUAUGAUGAACGUCGAUACGACAUUAGUCCAUGCAUUCUCGUUUACCCUUCGAUGCUAUCUCCCGAAGACCAUAGCGAACCCAUUUCUUGUUUCCCGCCAUUCUAAGUCAUCGAUCAAAGUUUACGGUAAAAACCGUGGAAAGUUCGUUCUUUACUGAAAGAAGCCGUAAUAAACGCUUCGAGUCAGAAGACGGCCCAAAGGGACCUAAGACAUGACUCGAGGCCCAACUUAGAUUUCUUAGCGAACAGCCCGUAAGCCGCAUGACGGUUUGCGCUUGGUUCGCAAGGAAAGAUAAAUGUCAAGUUUUCGCGGAUAAAUACGAAAUUUUGAAGAUAAUUACGAAGAUCGAAAAAAAUGGAAAGAUCAGAAAAAAUGGAAUAUCUCAAUUUUUAUGCUAUCAGAGCGAUUUAGGCAUAUUUCCGUUUUUGUUAUUUCGAACUGCGACUCAAUUAGGUUUAGCCGUCUUAGGGUUGCUAGAACUAGGAAUCUCGCCGACAGCUCUCGAGCCUAGGCUUAUACCUUGUUGUAACGCUCAAACACGGAUUCGGAAUAAGAUCUAUUUUGCUCUCUUCUUACGAUUUUUGUACUUUGUCGUUGAUAUCUCGUGUUCUGAUUGCUUAGCGUGUGGCAUUAACAGAUCUCCGGGACCUCUGGGAAAUUAGGGUAUUCCUAGUUUCCUAAUUUAAACGAAAAUCGACAGUGCAAAUUUCUGUCCCACAGUUUGGCGCUAGAAGGAGGGGGAUACGGAUCAAUCUAACUCUCACAUCACGCUCAACCAGACAUGUCAACUGACGACACAGAUAACGUGCAGACUCCUCUUAACGAAAGCAGUGGCACUGAUCUCCACACUCCCGCAGCGGAUGUAUCCGCCGCCAACGCACCAGCCAAUGCCGCAGCGCUCGAGGAGUUUAAAAAGUUGUUCGCCACCUACGAAAAAAGGUCGGAAGAACAGGACAGGCUCGUGAGCACCUUGACCAAACAUGUUGAAACCUUAACGGCAAGGACCAGAGCAAUCCGUCCUUGCGGAACCACUAAAGUCCGCGGGAAAAGACUCGACUUCACUACCCCACUCGAUAGGCCUGGAGCCGCGUGGGAACAACCUUCGGGUCAAAGCCCUAGCGAAAAAUCUCCCGUCGAAAAGGGGAACCCUGAAAAUCCUCCACCUCCCGCGAAACAUUCGGAGGAUAACGAAGUCGAGCACGUCGACCUGGAUCCUAGCGAUGUCUCCAACAAUACCGAUGAGGACGUCGACAGACAUCCAAGAAGGACCAGAAGCCGAUCUGCUCGGGAAAGCUCUUCGUUUGACAAACCGAUGACGGAAGAGGAGGAAGUCCUCUAUUGGAACAAAUAAGAAGAGCUGGCUGAAAAGCAAACCGAGCUCACUCGCAGUAAAAGCCGACAGGCUCGGAAAUCUGCUGGCGAGACGUCAGAUAUCCGCGAUCUUCUCGACUAUAUCACCAAGACUGCAGCAGAAGUAAGAGCCGUGAAAUCCCAAAUCCAUCACGCUACCAACGCUGCACCCGAGAUCGACAGGCUGCUGGAAGGGUCUCGGAAGACUCCCUUCACCACUCGCAUCUCAGAGAUGAGGGUAUCCGAUCCGGGAAAAAUCAAAGUGCCGAAGUAUGAUGGUACGACCGAUCCGAAGGCGCACCUUCAGGCUUUCCACAUCACGAUGGGAAGAGCGAGUCUGAAGGACGGCGAAAAAGACACCAGCUACUGCCGCCUGUUCGUCGAGAAUCUGGAAGGAGCAGCCCUCGAAUGGUUCGCACGCCUUCAGCGAAAAUCUAUCGGGAGUUUACGACAGCUCGCAUCGGAAUUUCUCAAGCAAUAGUGUAUGUUCAUAGAUUGAGAAACUUUCGAUGUCGAUCUCUGGAGUCUGUCCCAGAGGGAAGAUGAACUCCUCUGCGAGUUCAUUAGCCGAUUCAAGCUGGUAAUGUCCAGGGUCAGCGGGAUAAGCGACAAGGUGGCCAUUGAUGCGCUCAGAAAGACGCUCUGGUACAAGUCGAAAUUCAGAAAAUGGAUAACCCUCAACUAACCGCGGACGAUCCAGGACGCCCUCCACAAGGCGACGAACUACAUCAUAAUCAUGGAAGAAAUGAAAGUCUUAUCGCAAAAACAUAAAUCGGCAAGACCAUCCUCGAAAGAUGUAGAUCCAACAACGAAGAAGAAGAACUCUCGUAACGACAAGUAUGUCCAUCACGAGGGGGAAGAUCUCCAAGGAGCGCACAAUUACGCGAUCAGUUCGGGCCAGGGCCGAACCACGGGUAAUACGUGGACUCGCAAUCAAGGAUAUGACGAAAACACCUUCUGCGAGUUCCACCAGUCUCGAGGACACUCAACGACUAACUGCAAAGUCUUGGGAGCAAGGCUAGCCGUGAAGCUACUAGCUGGAGAGCUCUCGGAAGUGACCAGUGUGAAAAAUCUCAUCCUCGAGACCGAUCGCUCCCCGAAGACGGACAGAAAUCCGCCCGCGGAGAAAUCUCCUCAAAGAAACCAAUCCGGGGAUAAACGCGGCAGAAGGCCGGACGACAAGGGGAACGAUAACAAUCGUCGCAGAGUCAACAUGAUCAUUGGAGGAUCGCAAUUCUGCAACGAUAUGGUUUCGGCCAUCAAGGCUUAUCAGCGGAAGGAGUCGAGCACAAACUGGCCUACAUGGUCUCUUACCCGAGAUGGUCAAAAUUGCUCAAUCACCUUCACGAAGGAGGAAGCUAGCGGGAGCGACCAACCUUACUGCGAUCCGCUCGUCAUAGAUCUCGUCAUACGAGAUCUGGAAGUCGGAAGAGUACACAUUGACACGGAAAGCACGGUCAAUGUAAUCUUCCGCGACACUCUCAAUCGGAUUAGCAUCGAACUCGGAGAAGUAACACUAACGCCGAAACCGAUCACGGGAUUUUCAGGAGAAGUAUCGAUGACCCUCGGGUCAAUCCAGCUGCCAGUCAUGGCCAAGGAGGUCACGAAAUUUGCGGUGGUCGAUCAUCCUGCCAUCUACAACGUGAUAAUGGGAAACCCCAUGGAUCAACGCCAUGCAAGCCGUUCCAUCGACAUACCACCUAGGUUUCAAAUUCCCGACCCCAAACGGAGUCGCAGCUAUCUGGGGAUGUCAGAAACAGUCGCGACUAUGCUUCCUCGCGGAGUACAAGGUAAGGCAAAUGACGACUUCUGCAACGGCAACUCGCAAGCGCACGAAGAUAGAUCAAUCUUCGACCAAAAACGCUUCAAGGAAAGACGAUUUAACAUCGUCUGCUGACGCAAACGCUUCGGACAGCGAAACUCAACACGAGUCCGAAGCCGAUGCUACAACUCAACCAGAACAUCCGGAAGAGAAUGCUGACCCGGCCACGGUCAUCACGAUCAGGGCGGUUAGCAGGGUGACAACCGCCGGUUAUAAGAGAACACUGACCCAGCCACGAUCAUCACGAUCAAGGCGGUCAGCACGGCGAAAACCGCCGAGUGAAAACGCUCGCGGCAUAAAACAGAACUACGAGAUGGCUUGAUCCUCGAAGGAGGUACGUAAGCAGCUCGUCAAAAGACGAGUUCAGCUAUCUCCCUCUCUAAAAAAGGGGGGGGGGAGUGGGUGCGUAUACUCGUAUACUCACACAUAGGAAAAGAUGCGUUAUUAUAAUCGAAUUUUUAGAGAUUUAAAAAAAAAAAAAUCUCUCUUUACAAUAUGCAUUGCUCCUUUUUAAUUAAAACGCUUACGCUUCAGUUAAACGCAAAAGUCUCAGGACACGCCUAGAAAAUCUACGAAUGUUAAGACUCUUGCCAGCGGCCUCAUCCUGCCCAAAAUCGGAAAUAAUCUUUCUUCAGCACCGAAAAUAUUUCGUAUAGUCUUCGAAACAACCGCGAGACGUCGCCAAGUUAAAAUUCGAGACGAUGGGAACAAAUUGUCCGACCACGACCACAAAAACCUUACACCCCGUUCGUCGAUUGGCCCCGACGAACGCGUCAGCGGUCUUAAACAAACGCAACUCGAUCACUCUUUUGAUCUUCGAACGUCCAACACAAGGACGAAAGCGCGCUACAAAAAAAUCCAAAAUUUUGGUCUAGCACUUCCAGUUGGCUUAAAAAUUGUCUCUGGAAGAUGCUCGAUUCAUACCAUGCAAGUCAUAUAAGCCGAGAACCUAUCGCGGACUUUAAAUCGGUACGAAUCAAGUAGAAAUCGCAACUGGAAAAUCGAUAGCCGGCUAGUCACCGCACAAACCUUAAAACCGAGAGUAAACCUAGGUGUUGCCCUAAACCCAUCGCAUUGGUCUCAGACAUCUCAAGACAUGAUAUCUAAACGAUACGAGAUCCUAAACCAUGUCUCUCCGUUCACAUUUCAACGUUCCCGAAAGUUGUAAGAAUAAGAAAUUUUUACGAAAAGUCACGAACGAACCGACAGAUUGAACGUCCCAACGGAAUUAAAUAUGAGACGACAACUCAAUUUACUUCAAAUUUACUCGAAAAAUUCGAAAUAAAACGCCCACCAUAUAUAUAAAGACCGCAUAAAGCGGUGGGAAAUCAAAGCCACACUCGACAGAAAAAGACAAAUAAAAUCCAUACUUGGCAACAAACGCAUGAUAAAUAAACAACAUCCUCCCUCCAGGUUUUCACUCCACCUCUCAAGGUUCAAAAUAAAGUUCCCGGACAACGAAGCUCCAAACGCAUCCGCGGGACGAUCCACCUCCCCGCAAUCACCGGGAAACUCGGUCGUGGUCUCUACGGUAUCAGGAGAAACCGGGAUGGGAUCCCAAAAUCCUUGAAUCCUCCCGUCGAUCGGAGGAAUGAGCGCCUCAGCACGAGCAUGAUCCUUCAUGCCACCCUUCAUUAACUCCAUCUCCUUCUCGAAAACGUAAUCGUCCGCCCGCGUCUUCCAAAGGCUCCCAACUGAACCGCGACACUCACGGAAAUCGCCUAGCGAGGUGAAAACAUCCUUGAGGUUCCUGUACUCGACCUGGAAUUGAGAGGCGCGAGUCUUCAUGACCUCGACAAUCUCCCUCUUGCCCUUCCGUUAUGCCUUACGAACAGCCCUCACAUGAUCACGAGCGAGUUGCGCAUCUCGCGCCAACAUCUCGUCUCGCAUGCGAGCAAGCUCCUUUUCCACUUUCUCCGCUUUAAAGUGAUAGAUCAUGGCUUCUCUAUGGCUCGCCUCAAUGGUUGAUCCAAGUAAUUUAAAGCCCUGCAAAACCGAUUAACACGUUAUAAGCAAAAAAAUAUAUAUACUUGAAACGAUCAUCAAAAUUCUUAAAGCCUGUACCCCGUUGAUGAUAUGAGAUCCUUGACGACUUUCGGCCUCCCCGACUCGUUCGUAGCCGGAGGAGCAUCGAAGCCCGAGGGAAGACCGGCAAAGAAAUCAUCGAAGUCCGGAAUAGGGACCUCUUUCGCUUCCAUCGCCGAAAGCAAGGACUGGAUCCCAUCCUGGAAGCAUGGAAUCGUCCACCGAAAACUCUAUGUCACCAAGGUCAAUAUCUUUCCCCUUCGAAGAAUUCAGCCCCGUCGCACCCAUAGGAGCAGCGUCGGGACCUUGGUCAUUGGACUCGGAGUCACUCCCUGUUUCCCCGCCCAAAGCAAGACUAGGAUGCCCAAACCUCAAUGCCUUUCGAACUCUCUUCGGCGUAAAGGAAGUCCAGAAAAAAGGACCGUUCCUGAGAAGAUCCCUCACCGCGAUAAUAUCCUCAGGGAACGGAGCAAGAGGAUUGAUGAAGGGACGAUCAUUCGGCAACCUCCGGAACAAUGGGAUACAACUCUUUUCAACAGACGCAGCGUCUAUACGAACGAAGAAGAAAAAUUUCUUCCACGAGUUGAAGUUGGAAGUAAACCCUUUAAUCACUGACAUGAAGUUCCGAGGGACCAGCCUAUACUUGUCCGUAUCCUUGACGAUCUGUAACCUAAGAAGUGCUUCAAAGUGAUCGACGGUAAGGGAGAGACCAUGCUCGUAGCUUAGGAUCAGGAAUCCAAUGAGGUGCUGUUGCCAAGAGGAUUCAGUUGGCUUAUCGCCACCUCGAAACGAUCCAACAGACGUACGAUAAUUUCAGGAAUCGGGAACCACAAGCGACAGCGUAAUACGAAUGCUUCGUAACAAGUAAAGUAACCCUCCGGGGGACUGCUAGCGCGCUCUCCUUGACAAGGAACCCGGAACUCCACCGCAUCCGAAAUCUGAUAGAACGACCGCAUGAUCUCAAGGAAUUCACUAGUACUCGUACUUGGUGCACCUUCCUCGACCGGGCGACGGUUCAUGACCGGGAACGACUUCUCUUUGGGAGGUGUGAUCGAACCAUAACACGCGACCCACCAUGCCUCGUUCUCGGCCGGGUCUACCGAAUGAGGAACGAAUUCUAUCUUUGGCACAAGGAGCUCUUCAGGAACGUUCGCGGGCAAGGACCCUUUCUUCGAACUCCUUUUCUUACUCGACAUUUCGUAUUUUCCUUUUAAGAAUCAGGAAGAAAAGGGUAAAGAGAAAAAAAGAAAUUUUUGAAGAGACCUCUCUAUGAGAAUGAGUAAGUGUAAAGGUUCUGAAGAAGUUACCUCUCUUCUUAUAGGCAUGAGAAAUUACUAUUUACUUCCGGAUUUUUGGACACGAACUUCGCCCAAAUACACCAAUCUCAUCCGAACUCGCCAUGCCGCGCGUUAGAAUCUCACUAGAAAUCCACGAUUCUAAUGAGCUGGGGGGCUAACUGUUGGGGUCGAAAACGGUUACGACGAAGUUAACGUCCAAAUCUCCGCAAAAUACAAGUAUGUCUUUCCGCAACAAAUCAUGCUCGGUCAAGAAAACGUCGCAAGGUAUGUUCCCGAGAUAAAGCUUCGUUCGAAUUCUAUUUAGAUCAAACAUAAGCCAUCGGAAACAUACCCAGACCAGCUACGGAUAGGUCCGAGUAUGACGAUCAGAACACGGACUAACCAAGCUCGGUCAUUACGCAACUACCGCACAUGCACGCUGUCCGGUCGCUACGUAGCGACCGAGCUCGUCCGAAACGUCGAUACGACAUUAGUCCAUGCAUUCUCGUCUACCCUUCGAUGCUAUCUCCCGAAGACCGUAGCGAACCCAUUUCAUGUUUCCCGCCAUUCUAAGUCAUCGAUCAAACUUUACGGUAAAAACCGCGGAAAGUUCGUUCUUUAUCGAAAGAAGCCGUAAUAAACGCUUCGAGUCAGAAGACGGCCCAAAGGGACCUAAGACAUGACUCGAGGCCCAACUUACGAUUUCUUAGCCAACAGCCCAUAAGCCGCAUGACGGUUUGCGCUUGGUUCGCAAGAAAAGAUAAAUGUCAAGUUUUCGCAGAUAAAUACGAAAUUUUGAAGAUAAUUACGAAGAUCGGAAAAAAUGGAAUAUCUCCAUUUUUAUGCUUUGACGGCUUAAGGGCAGAAGUGGAAAAGCGUAAACCGACCUAGGAGCCAGUAUAUAAGGAGUCCUAGGCGAGAGGCAUGAAGAGAGACUUUUUUCGGAGCAAACUUAGCACUUAGAGCGAUUUAAGCAUAUUUUCGUUUUUGUUAUUUCGAACUGCGACUCAAUUAGGUUUAGCCGUCUUAGGGUUGCUAGAACUAGGAAUCUCGCCGACAGCUCUCGAACCUAGGCUUAUACCUUGUUGUAAUGCUCAAACAUGGAUUCGGAAUAAGAUCUAUUUUGCUCUCUUUUUACGAUUUUUGUACUUUGUCGUUGAUAUCUCGUGUUCUGAUUGCUUAGCGUGUGGUAUUAAGAGAUCUCUGGGACCUCUGGGAAAUUAGGGUUUUCCUAGUUUCCUAAUUUAAACGAAAAUCGACAGUGCGAAUUUCGGUUCCCACAAUGAUUGUUUUUUGCAUAUGUUGUUUGAAAUUUAUUUUAUAAUUAAAACUCGUUUUCACAUACAAGUUCAAGUUAAUAUUUGUAUUUUAUAAUCAUGGUACAUAGAUGAAUUGUUAUUAACUUUUUACAUAGGAUUAGAAAAAAUACUAUACCUAAACGUUUAAACUGAACACAAUCUACAAUCUGAAAUAAGAAAUUGAAUGAAAAGUGAAGAGAAAUGAAAGUCAAAUACACCAAUCGAGUUAAUGACAAUAUUAUACAUGUUUUUAAGUACUAAUUUAAUGUUUUAUUAAAUAAGACUUUAAAGUUAUAUUUUGCUGAGAUUUUUUUUUAAAAGGAAAACAUUCUAUUUUAUAAAUCUCUUUUUUUAUUUACAGAAAAAAUAAAAAAAUAAUAUUAAAUACUCUUAUACAGUUUUGUUUAAGAUUUUAGAAAAGGAAAAUUAAUGUCAUAUAACCUAUUACGAUUACCUUCUCUUUAGAAUUUCAGGAAAACAAAAUUGCUAUCAAAUAAUUAUUUUUAGCUAUUAAUAUAUAAUUUUAAAAUUACUCUUUUUACAAUUCGUAUUAAUACUAAUUUUACAUUUUUUUGUUAAUUAAAUAAUUUUUAUUAUUAUAUUUAUCAUCAAAUACUCUCUUAUAAAUAUUAUAAAAUAAAGUUGGGCUUUUUGCAGAAUUGACUUAUAACUUAAAGUCAAACACAAAACUAACCUCUUUUUUUUUUGAAAAUUGGUUUUGCCCUAUUCACCCCACAAGUUCAUAUAAUUUACGAAAAUGCCAUCAAUUUUUUUUUUCUUUUUUUCUUCGAAAAUGACAUUUUUACUCUCUCACCCUCAUCAUCUUCAAGUAAUUACAAGAUUGCCAUUGUCAUCAAUACCACAACCACCAUGAACAACCAAUUUGAAGCUCUUAAUGCUCCCAAAAUCGAUUUACCCUUCUUCUUUUUCCAUUCUUGUGAACUAAACACAACAUAUCUCUCACUUUCUCUCCACAAUGAGCUAAAAAAACUCAAGAUUUUGAUUCUACAUUUUUUAUGGUUCAUAGAGUCAUAGAAGCUAACGAUUCUGGGUGGGUUACUUUCGUUUGUGAUUCUGUGUGCUUGGAGAAGCCUUAUGUAUGCUAAGGAACUUAUCUCACCAAUUUAAGGUAUGACAUCGAGUUUUUUUCCAGAUCUGUUCGUCAGACGACUUACNNNNNNNNNNNNNNNNNNNNNNNNNNNNNNNNNNNNNNNNNNNNNNNNNNNNNNNNNNNNNNNNNNNNNNNNNNNNNNNNNNNNNNNNNNNNNNNNNNNNNNNNNNNNNNNNNNNNNNNNNNNNNNNNNNNNNNNNNNNNNNNNNNNNNNNNNNNNNNNNNNNNNNNNNNNNNNNNNNNNNNNNNNNNNNNNNNNNNNNNNNNNNNNNNNNNNNNNNNNNNNNNNNNNNNNNNNNNNNNNNNNNNNNNNNNNNNNNNNNNNNNNNNNNNNNNNNNNNNNNNNNNNNNNNNNNNNNNNNNNNNNNNNNNNNNNNNNNNNNNNNNNNNNNNNNNNNNNNNNNNNNNNNNNNNNNNNNNNNNNNNNNNNNNNNNNNNNNNNNNNNNNNNNNNNNNNNNNNNNNNNNNNNNNNNNNNNNNNNNNNNNNNNNNNNNNNNNNNNNNNNNNNNNNNNNNNNNNNNNNNNNNNNNNNNNNNNNNNNNNNNNNNNNNNNNNNNNNNNNNNNNNNNNNNNNNNNNNNNNNNNNNNNNNNNNNNNNNNNNNNNNNNNNNNNNNNNNNNNNNNNNNNNNNNNNNNNNNNNNNNNNNNNNNNNNNNNNNNNNNNNNNNNNNNNNNNNNNNNNNNNNNNNNNNNNNNNNNNNNNNNNNNNNNNNNNNNNNNNNNNNNNNNNNNNNNNNNNNNNNNNNNNNNNNNNNNNNNNNNNNNNNNNNNNNNNNNNNNNNNNNNNNNNNNNNNNNNNNNNNNNNNNNNNNNNNNNNNNNNNNNNNNNNNNNNNNNNNNNNNNNNNNNNNNNNNNNNNNNNNNNNNNNNNNNNNNNNNNNNNNNNNNNNNNNNNNNNNNNNNNNNNNNNNNNNNNNNNNNNNNNNNNNNNNNNNNNNNNNNNNNNNNNNNNNNNNNNNNNNNNNNNNNNNNNNNNNNNNNNNNNNNNNNNNNNNNNNNNNNNNNNNNNNNNNNNNNNNNNNNNNNNNNNNNNNNNNNNNNNNNNNNNNNNNNNNNNNNNNNNNNNNNNNNNNNNNNNNNNNNNNNNNNNNNNNNNNNNNNNNNNNNNNNNNNNNNNNNNNNNNNNNNNNNNNNNNNNNNNNNNNNNNNNNNNNNNNNNNNNNNNNNNNNNNNNNNNNNNNNNNNNNNNNNNNNNNNNNNNNNNNNNNNNNNNNNNNNNNNNNNNNNNNNNNNNNNNNNNNNNNNNNNNNNNNNNNNNNNNNNNNUACGAAUGCUUCGUAACAAGUAAAGUAACCCUCCGGGGGACUGCUAGCGCGCUCUCCUUGACAAGGAACCCGGAACUCCACCGCAUCCGAAAUCUGAUAGAACGACCGCAUGAUCUCGAGGAAUUCGCUUGUACUCCUACUUGGUGCACCUUCCUCGACCGGGCGAUGGUUCAUGACCGGGAAUGACUUCUCUUUUGGAGGUGUGAUCGAACCAUAACACGCGACCCACCAUGCCUCGUUCUCGGCCGGGUCUACCGAAUGAGGAACGAAUUCUAUCUUUGGCACAAGGAGCUCUUCAGGAACGUUCGCGGGCAAGGACCCUUUCUUCGAACUCCUUUUCUUACUCGACAUUUCGUAUUUUCCUUUUAAGAAUCAGGAAGAAAAGGAUAAAGAGAAAAAAAGAAAUUUUUGAAGAGACCUCUCUAUGAGAAUGAGUAAGUGUAAAGGUUCUGAAGAAGUUACCUCUCUUCUUAUAGGCAUGAGAAAUUACUAUUUACUUCCGGAUUUUUGGACACGAACUUCGCCCAAAUACACCAAUCUCAUCCGAACUCGCCAUGCCGCGCGUUAGAAUCUCACUAGAAAUCCACGAUUCUAAUGAGCUGGGGGGCUAACUGUUGGGGUCGAAAACGGUUACGACGAAGUUAACGUCCAAAUCUCCGCAAAAUACAAGUAUGUCUUUCCGCAACAAAUCAUGCUCGGUCAAGAAAACGUCGCAAGGUAUGUUCCCGAGAUAAAGCUUCGUUCGAAUUCUAUUUAGAUCAAACAUAAGCCAUCGGAAACAUACCCAGACCAGCUACGGAUAGGUCCGAGUAUGACGCGGUAAUAUUUGGACGACUUACAUGUAAGUCGUGUGUUUUAAUUUCUUCACCAGACGACUGAAAUGUAAGUCGUCCGAGUAAAAUGAUCCGGUUAGGUUAAAACGUACAUUGGUAAAUUAACGGUUCGGUACGAUGUGGACGACUUAAUAUUACGUCGUCCGAGUAAAUUAUUCAACAGACGACUGAAAUAUACGUCGUCCGAGUAAAUUAUUCAACAGACGACUGAAAUAUAAGUCGUCCACACCCUAAACAUAACCCCUAAACUUAAUUAUCUAAUUAAAGACUUCAUAAAAUCAAAUCAAACUUGAAAAGUGUUUACUAUACACAUAAAUAAACACAUAUAGGUGAAAACUAAUUUUUGAAAAAAACAUUUUAGUUUUCCAAAAUCUAACCCUAACAAUACAUACAAUACUACAACAUAUGUUUGCCAAACUCCUAAACCAAAGUAUUUCAUGAUUCACUACUUCCACUCAUCUAUCUUCAAAACAAAUCAAUUUUAUCAUAUCUUAAUUUAUAUCACUUAAAACUGUUUAUAAUUACUUGAUUUUUAUUUUUCACGCAUCAAAAUAUUUUUUUACAAGAUUUAUAAAUUAUUUUUAAAAUAAACCGGUACCAGACGACUUACACUUCAGUCAUCCAGACGACUUCCAACAUCUCAGACGACUCAGACGAUUUACUAGGGCUAUAUUCGUAAAAAUGGCUUCUGUUUUUUUGUUUGGUCACAAGGGGCUGAGCUAUAAUUUCACUAGGCUUUUAGGUUAGUUUUGCAUUUGAUUCAAGUUUGGGUAUAAGUUUGGGGUUAAAAUCAAGUUGUGGGUUAGUUUUGGCAAAAACCCCAAUAAAGUUUUACAAUUUUCUUUUGGUUAAGAGUUAAAAAUAUGAUACAAAUUUCUCUUGUUUAGGAUUUUUUUUUAUAAAAACAAAAAAAAAUUAUUAAAUAUUCUUUUACAAUUUUUAGGAUAUUAGAAAAGGAAAUUAAUAUUAUAUAAUCUCUUACAAUUAUAUUUUGUCUAGGAUUUAAAAAAUAAAAUUUCUAUCAAAUAAUUAUUUCCAUUUAAUAUUUUUUUUUAAAGUUGCCAUUUUCAAAAUUCGUUUUUUCAAUAUCAUAUUUUUACAAUUUUUCUUGUCAAUUAAAUAAUAGUUACUAUAAUGUUUAUUAUUAAUUUUAGUAAAAAAUACUAUUAAAUAAAAUUCUACAAUUCUCUCUGGUCAGGAUGUAAAAACAAAAUCUUAAUUUGUUAAGAUUAGAAAAUAUAUUUUUUUAGAAAUAUCUUUUAUUUAGAAUUUUAGGAAAAAAGAAGUUAUUUUCACUUAACACAGUUUUUAUUGACACAUUCACAAUCUAUUUUUUUUAGUUGACACAUGUCACAAUCAUAUCAUGUGAAAUAUUUGAAUUUAAUUUUGGUUUAUAUUUUUUUAAACACAAAAUUAUUAAAAAGUAAAAUUAGUUAAUUGUAAGAAAAAUAAGAUUACUUUUACAUUUUUAUUUUAUUUAGACUUUUAAAAGGAAAGCUAAUUAUUUGAUAAUUAGUUUUUCUUUUAUAUUUUUAUACAACUAUUUUAUUUUUAAUAGAAAAAAUUCUGUUAAAUUAUUUAUAUAUUUUGUCUUAUACAUACACACAUGUCACAAUAUUAUCAAAUAAUCUUUUGCAACUAUUUUUUGAUUAGGAUUUAAAAAAAAAUUAUUAUUAAAUAAUAUUUUUAAUUAUUUUUUAAUAAAAUUCAUUUUUGUUAAUAUCUUAGUAUAUAUAUUUUUAAUUAUGAGAUAGAUUAACACAACAAUCUUAAAUAUAUAAUUGUACUUACAAAAGAAACUGUUUGAAUCCUCUUCCAAUUGAGGCUCCUCAAUCGAUAUUACAUACCUGCGUAAAUGUUUUGCACACCAUUGGCUUAUCUACAUGAAGUGGAGCAAGAGAAGAUAAAUACAUAAACACUCUGGAGCUGAGGUUCGGGCCGUAAGCAGCAAAAGGGAAAAUAUUGUACCUUAAUACCAGAAGUAAGAAAGUACUGAUAGGAGUGAGGCUGGUCCAAAGCCAGGUAUUUUGAAGCAACAUGCAAAAUUGUCUUGUUCAACAAACAUUGGGACACGUCAAUACAUGUGAUGUCUUCCCAAGUGUAAAUAAUGCCGUCAAUGAUGAUUUGAAACAUGCCACAACAUACCAUUUAAAGCAUGUAUAGUUCUCUUAGUCCAAGUGAAUCCUAAAAGUAAACCAGAAAUGCAUGUGACAGAUAAACAUGACGCAGAUACAACUUAAGCGCUAAAACGUUCAACAUCAUUAUCCUGAAUUCUCUAUUCUCGUUAAUUUUGGUUUAUAUUUUUUUCAACACAAAAUUAUUAAAAAGUAAAGUUAGUUAAUUAUAAGAAAAAGAAGACUACUUUUACAUUUUCAUUUUAUUUAGACUUUCAAAAGGGAAACUAAUUAUUUGAUAAUUAGUUUUUCUUUUAUAUUUUUAUACAGCUAUUUUAUUUUUAAUAGAAACAAUUCUGUUAAAAUAUUUAUAUAUUUUGUCUUAUACAUACAAACACAUGUCACAAUAUUUCAAAUAAUCUUUUGCAAUUAUUUUUUAUUAGGAUUUUAAAAAAGAAAAAUUACUAUUAAAUAAUAUUUAUAACUACUUUUUAAUAAAAAAACAAUUAUCAGAUAUUCUUUUACAGUUUUUUAGGAUAUUAGAAAAGGAAAUUAAUAUUAUAUAAUCUCUUACAAUUAUAUUUUGUCUAGGAUUUAAAAAAUAAAAUUUCUAUCAAAUAAUUAUUUCCAUUUAAUAUUUUUUUUUAAAGUUGCCAUUUUCAAAAUUCGUUUUUUCAAUAUCAUAUUUUUACAAUUUUUCUUGUCAAUUAAAUAAUAGUUACUAUAAUGUUUAUUAUUAAUUUUAGUAAAAAAUACUAUUAAAUAAAAUUCUACAAUUCUCUCUGGUCAGGAUGUAAAAACAAAAUCUUAAUUUGUUAAGAUUAGAAAAUAUAUUUUUUUAGAAAUAUCUUUUAUUUAGAAUUUUAGGAAAAAAGAAGUUAUUUUCACUUAACACAGUUUUUAUUGACACAUUCACAAUCUAUUUUUUUUAGUUGACACAUGUCACAAUCAUAUCAUGUGAAAUAUUUGAAUUUAAUUUUGGUUUAUAUUUUUUUAAACACAAAAUUAUUAAAAAGUAAAAUUAGUUAAUUGUAAGAAAAAUAAGAUUACUUUUACAUUUUUAUUUUAUUUAGACUUUUAAAAGGAAAGCUAAUUAUUUGAUAAUUAGUUUUUCUUUUAUAUUUUUAUACAACUAUUUUAUUUUUAAUAGAAAAAAUUCUGUUAAAUUAUUUAUAUAUUUUGUCUUAUACAUACACACAUGUCACAAUAUUAUCAAAUAAUCUUUUGCAACUAUUUUUUGAUUAGGAUUUAAAAAAAAAUUAUUAUUAAAUAAUAUUUUUAAUUAUUUUUUAAUAAAAUUCAUUUUUGUUAAUAUCUUAGUAUAUAUAUUUUUAAUUAUGAGAUAGAUUAACACAACAAUCUUAAAUAUAUAAUUGUACUUACAAAAGAAACUGUUUGAAUCCUCUUCCAAUUGAGGCUCCUCAAUCGAUAUUACAUACCUGCGUAAAUGUUUUGCACACCAUUGGCUUAUCUACAUGAAGUGGAGCAAGAGAAGAUAAAUACAUAAACACUCUGGAGCUGAGGUUCGGGCCGUAAGCAGCAAAAGGGAAAAUAUUGUACCUUAAUACCAGAAGUAAGAAAGUACUGAUAGGAGUGAGGCUGGUCCAAAGCCAGGUAUUUUGAAGCAACAUGCAAAAUUGUCUUGUUCAACAAACAUUGGGACACGUCAAUACAUGUGAUGUCUUCCCAAGUGUAAAUAAUGCCGUCAAUGAUGAUUUGAAACAUGCCACAACAUACCAUUUAAAGCAUGUAUAGUUCUCUUAGUCCAAGUGAAUCCUAAAAGUAAACCAGAAAUGCAUGUGACAGAUAAACAUGACGCAGAUACAACUUAAGCGCUAAAACGUUCAACAUCAUUAUCCUGAAUUCUCUAUUCUCCCGAUAUUAACCAUACAAAAUUCUCUAUCCUCACGUUUAAAUCUUUUCUUUGCUUUCAAACUAAAACGAAAAGAUUUAAUUUCUGAAUGUAUAAUUAUCAAUCUUAAUCAGAAGUUAGGAGAUUGAAAUCACUGAACAAAGAUAAUAUAUAGACCAAACGUCUCUUGAAAUGGAAUAAAUUAUGCAUAUGGUGGAAGAUGAGGGGAAAAUUGCCAAAUAUGACUCACAACUUGAUUUCAAACACAAAGGUUAACCCAAACUUGAAACAAAUGCAAAAGUAACCUAAAAGGCUAUUGAAAUUACAACCAACCCCUUGUGAACAAACAAAAAAACCGAAAUUUUUUUACGUUUCUAACCCCCGUAAGUCGUCUGCCCAGACGACUUUCCAGUAAGUCGUCCAGACGACUUUCCAGUAAGUCGUCCAGACGACUUUCCAAGAAGUCGUCCAGACGAUUUUCCAGUAAGUCGUCCAGACGACUUACCAGAAAGUCGUCCAGACGACUUAUCUGGACUAGUUUUACUUAGAAAUAAUUUAAAAAUUUUGUAAAAAAUAUUUUGAUAAGCGAAAAAUUGAAAUCAUGUAAUUAACAUAUGUUUUAAGAGAUAUAAAUUAAGAUAUAACAAAAGUUAAUUGUUUUCAACAUAGAUGAGUGAAAGUAGUGAGUCAUGAUAUUCUUUGGUUUAGGUUUUGCCAACAUAUGUUGUAGUAUUGUAUGUGUUCUUAGGGUUAGAUUUUGGAAUGCAUAAAUGUUUUUUUGAAAACUUUAAAAUUUACCUAAGUGUUUUAAUUCUGUGUAUAGUAAACACUAUUUAAGUAUAACUACGGGUUUAUAACGUGGUUAGUUAGUUAAUUUAGUCAAUUUAGUUUAGGGGUUAAAUUUAGGGUCUGGGACGACUUACUAGUAAGUCGUCUGAUGUACAGUAUUCAACAGACGACUUACUAGUAAGUCGUCCAAACCGGACCAAACCUUUAAUUUUACAAUGUACUUUUAAACCUAACCGGAUUAUUUACCGGCCAUAUAUAAGGUGUUUUUUUUUUCCUGUUUAUCGAAAAUCAGAAGCCGUUUCUCUCAAAGGCGAUUUCGAAGGCGAUUUCCGUCGAUUCUCUCUAAUCCAUCGUUCUCAUCGUUCUCACCGCCGGUUAUCUCUCCGCCGUUAUCACCGUCGUUCUCACCACCGUUCUCACAGCCGCUUCCUCUAUUUAAGAUCCGAGAGGAAACCCUAGCGCGCAUUCUCUCAGAGGCGUCUCGUUGAACUCCGCCGCCGGUAAGUUAUAUCUCUUACUGUCGAGUGAUUGAUUGAGGAAAAGAUGAACAUAAAACUGGAAGUCUUGGAAGACUUAUAAUUAAGUCGUCUGGGAAGUCUUCCAGCUGGAAGACUUUCCAGACGACUUAAUUAUAAGUCUUUCAGUUGGAAAACUUGCCAGACGACUUAAUUAUAAGUCUUUGAUUGUUUGAGAUGGUUGUCUUUGAUUGUUUUGCAGGCAAAAAAAAAAAAUGGAGAUGCCAGAACUCCCCCGUAGGAUAUAUACAUUAGGGGAAGAGCCCCCCGCAGUGCAUAGCAUUUCGUAUCAUACUUGUUGGACGUUGCAUGCUGCUUUAAAGAAAGCUCUUCAUGAUGACGAAUAUGAAGAGCUGAAGGAGUCGAAGUUGGGAGUUUUCAUCAAGUUCCAAGAGCUGGGAUUUGAUUGGGCUUCAAGGCUGGUUCACUACAUGCUCGGUUUCCAGCUGGACAUAAAGAAGAAGUAUGAGCUGUGGAGUCUCGUUGGUCCAGAACCUGUGAGGUUUUCACUGUUAGAGUUUGAAAACCUCACUGGUCUAAACUGCGAGUACAUCGAGGACCUUGAGAGACCUCACUCUGUUGUUACAAAGGAGUUGACUUCUUUUUGGGAGAUGCUGGGAGUUCAUGUCGAAGCUGGGCCAUCUACUCAGGAGAUAAUAGCAGCACUUGAGAGAUGCGAAGGGUGGUCUCGGGAUGAUCGCAAGCGGCUCGCGUACCUUGCCAUCUUCACUGGAUACAUUGAAGGGAGAAAGUAUUCAACCCCUACACGGGUUAGUCUGGCAAGGCUAGUGAUGGAGCUAGAACGGUUUGAGAAUUAUCCAUGGGGGAGAGUCGCGUUUAAGGUGCUGAUGGACUCUGUGAAGGGCAGAGAUAUUUCGGGUUGUUACACUAUUAAUGGGUUUGCGCAAGCUCUCCAGGUCUGGGUGUACACAGCUCUUCCGGAAUUGGGUGCUACUUUUGGUAAUCCUCUCCCAAACAAUCCGUCUCCACCGAUACUGGCUUACAAGGGUCGCAAAGGACGCAGACAGUUUAAAGAGGCUAUCCUCAGUCAGGUAUUUACUUCAAUCUGGACGACUUCGCAGAAAACUUAUAAUUAAGUCGUCUGAUAAGUCUUCCAAUUAGACGACUUAGUAGAAGACUUAUAAUUAAGUCGUCUGGAAAGUCUUCCAGCUGGAUGACUUAGUAGAAGCCUUAUAAUUAAGUCGUCUGGGAAGACUAUCCAGACUACUUAAUUAUAAGUCUUCUACUAAGUCUUCCAGCUGGAAGACUUUCCAGACGACUUAAUUAUAAGUCGUCUGUGAAGUCUUUUCUUUCCAUCUUUCUUAAUCCGUCAAAUAUCUAAGUUCAUAUCUUCUAUUUACUGCAGACUAGGGUGAUCAACUUUGUUCAGAAGGACAUUGGUGAAAUGUUUCCAAAAUGGGAGUUUGAUGUUGAGGACACGCUCGCGGAGAACAUAAUUAAACUCAUGUUUGUGAAGAAACCGUGGAAGUGGACCAUGGAUUGCUGGGAAGUCACCGGUACUUGGGUCAAUACAAAGCCGGCGGUUGUGAGUCCAGCGAAGAAAAAGGUAGUGAAGGAAGACAGUCCAAGACCUCGGAAGAAAGCUCGUAAAGAGGCACCUGCAGAAGCUAGUGAAGAGGCAGCUGCAGAGGCUAGUGAAGAGGCAGCUGCAGAGGCUAGUGAAGAGGCGACUACGACUGUUGGUGGUUUGACCAAAGAGGAUAUUAAAACUAUGUUCAAGGACAUAGCUGAUGCCAUGAGGGAAGGGUUUGGGACGUGCCUUAAGGAGAUCAAGUAUCUGUCGGAAAGGGUGGAAGCUGUGGAGAAGAAGGUUGGUAUCACCACAAAACGGAAAGGGACAUCAUCUCAAAACACUACCUCUCCACCUAAACCGACGCUCGAACCCGGGGUUAGUAACAAAUCCUUGGAUUUUAUAUAUGUAUUUUGUUUCAUGUUUGAAGACACUCAUUGGUUAUUAUUGUAUAAACCCAUCUUGUAUAUUGCAGAGUGAAAGUGUCAAUGGGACGAACGCGGGAAGGAAGAGCUUGGCGGAGGAUAAAGGUCCAGAUGUGCCCGCAGAUGUGCCCGCAGAUGCUAGUUCCUCGGAAGAUAAAGCUCCAGAACCGAGCCUUGUUCUAUUGGACAAAAAUCAAUCCACUGUUUCAGAUUUACAGAAGGAGGAUGCUAGAUAUCUAGAAAAGAAGGAUGCUGCUUUGGCACUUUGCCGUGCAAAGAGUGAUCGAACAAGGAAACUUGCUGCCUCACAGAAAUCUCCUUAUACGGCAAACAGCACGGCCAGAGUGAUCAUUUCAAACAGAAAGCUUUAUCCAGGCUAUAAUCCUUUUGCACCAAUUGACAAGACGAAGUUGAAGGAGCUCGCUGAUUGGUUGAAAUCUUGUCCGUAAGUGUUUGCUUUUCCCAUAAUAGCUUGCUUUUCACAUAAUAGCUUGCUUUUCCCAUAAAACCUGAUUGCUUUUCAACAUUUUGUGUUUGCAGUCAUUAUAGAACAGCUCUCGAUAAAAAACCACGUAAAAGUAGAACUUGGUGGUAUCAAAUCCUCCGAACCUCCCUAGAGUGGCUGGAGGACUGUGUAAGUCUUCUGCUAUGACGUAGACAACUUACUUGUAAGUCGUCUGGUAAGUCUUCUACGUAGACGACUUAUCAGACGACUUAAUUCGUCUACGACUUACUUGUAAGUCGUCUGGUAAGUCGUCUACGUAGAAGACUUACCACUAAGUCGUCUGAUAUCUUCUGACUUGUACUCUAUUUUAUAUGCAGCAUAUUGAUGCUUGGAUUAAUGUGCUGAGGAAGAGGUACGACGCUAACCCACAACAUUUCAGGAGCGAGAGAAUGUGCUUCCUUGAUCAUCUCUUUGCUCAGCAAUGGAGAUUCAACUUCAAGGAUUUUAAGGACUCGAAGCCCGAUCACAACGGUUUAGGAAGAAGACUCCCUGGUGGGGCGUGGAAUUAUUAUGCAGGCACUAUACCAUCAUUUUGCCAAUCGAACAAGGUUUGGGGGACGGAUAUUGAUGAUAUCUAUGCGCCAGUAAACUUCGCCGACAGUCAUUGGAUUGCUAUGUGGAUAUCGAUCCCUAAGAGGCACAUAGUCGUCUUUGACAGCAUUUGUUCCAGUAUCUCCCCAGAAGAACUCGAUGUGGUAAUGGAGCCUUUUCUCUACAUGGUCCCUUAUCUGCUUGUUGAGUGCGCUUCCUCAGACGAACUACGUGCCCAAUACAGCCUGGAGCCAUUCACAUAUGAGAGACCGACCAAUAUACCUCCGGCCCGAGCUGGUGAUUGUGGCGUGUACACUCUAAAGUACAUUGAAUGUCAUGCUCUUGGGAUAGAGUUUAGUAAAAAAGACUUUGCUAAGGCCAACGGGAAGAGUAUGAGGGAUAAGAUGGCGGUGGAUAUAUUUCAAGAGCUUCCUGACGCGCAUGAGUUCGAAAACAAGGACAUGGAUGACAUCCUGGGUACGUAUGACGGGUGAUAAACAGGCCACUUUAGAUUAUUUUGUAUGAUAGAUUAGGCUGAUGUGUGUAUUUGAACUUGAUCCCUAUUUUGUAUUUGAACUUGAUCCCUAUUUUGUAACUAUAUUCUGCGCAGAAGACUUACAGUUAAGUCGUCUGGAAUGUUGGACGACUUAACUAUAAGUAGUCUGGAAAGUCUUCUGAGCAGUGACCUUUUGUAACUAUAUUUCGGAUAAUAUAAAGGGCAAGACCAUCUCAAAUUUGUUUGGUAGUGCAAUUUGACAAAGAAGUUGACACAGAUAAGUUCAUAACACAAAUUUUUAGUACAUAGACUGAACACUGGACGACUAACUUGAAGGUCUUCUGGAAGAAAAAACUCUGGACGACUAACUGGACGACCUUCUGGACGACUUAAUUGAAGGUCUUCUGGAAGACUAAACACAAGACGACUAACUGGACGACCUUCUGGACGACUUAAUUGCAGGUCUUCUGGAAGACUAAUCACUGGAUGACUAACUUGAAGGUCUUCUGGAAGAAAAAACCCUGGACGACUAACUGGACGACCUUCCGGACGACUUAAUUGAAGUUCUUCUGGAAAACUAAUCACUGGACGACUUACGUUGUGGUUUCGUAUGGUCAGUUUCCUUGCAUUUUGAGCAUCUAUAAACCAUGUGUUGCUUCCGGGGUUUGCGUCCUCUCAUCCUGGAUAGCUCCAACCAAGAUUGCCAUCUUGAUUUCUUCUNNNNNNNNNNNNNNNNNNNNNNNNNNNNNNNNNNNNNNNNNNNNNNNNNNNNNNNNNNNNNNNNNNNNNNNNNNNNNNNNNNNNNNNNNNNNNNNNNNNNNNNNNNNNNNNNNNNNNNNNNNNNNNNNNNNNNNNNNNNNNNNNNNNNNNNNNNNNNNNNNNNNNNNNNNNNNNNNNNNNNNNNNNNNNNNNNNNNNNNNNNNNNNNNNNNNNNNNNNNNNNNNNNNNNNNNNNNNNNNNNNNNNNNNNNNNNNNNNNNNNNNNNNNNNNNNNNNNNNNNNNNNNNNNNNNNNNNNNNNNNNNNNNNNNNNNNNNNNNNNNNNNNNNNNNNNNNNNNNNNNNNNNNNNNNNNNNNNNNNNNNNNNNNNNNNNNNNNNNNNNNNNNNNNNNNNNNNNNNNNNNNNNNNNNNNNNNNNNNNNNNNNNNNNNNNNNNNNNNNNNNNNNNNNNNNNNNNNNNNNNNNNNNNNNNNNNNNNNNNNNNNNNNNNNNNNNNNNNNNNNNNNNNNNNNNNNNNNNNNNNNNNNNNNNNNNNNNNNNNNNNNNNNNNNNNNNNNNNNNNNNNNNNNNNNNNNNNNNNNNNNNNNNNNNNNNNNNNNNNNNNNNNNNNNNNNNNNNNNNNNNNNNNNNNNNNNNNNNNNNNNNNNNNNNNNNNNNNNNNNNNNNNNNNNNNNNNNNNNNNNNNNNNNNNNNNNNNNNNNNNNNNNNNNNNNNNNNNNNNNNNNNNNNNNNNNNNNNNNNNNNNNNNNNNNNNNNNNNNNNNNNNNNNNNNNNNNNNNNNNNNNNNNNNNNNNNNNNNNNNNNNNNNNNNNNNNNNNNNNNNNNNNNNNNNNNNNNNNNNNNNNNNNNNNNNNNNNNNNNNNNNNNNNNNNNNNNNNNNNNNNNNNNNNNNNNNNNNNNNNNNNNNNNNNNNNNNNNNNNNNNNNNNNNNNNNNNNNNNNNNNNNNNNNNNNNNNNNNNNNNNNNNNNNNNNNNNNNNNNNNNNNNNNNNNNNNNNNNNNNNNNNNNNNNNNNNNNNNNNNNNNNNNNNNNNNNNNNNNNNNNNNNNNNNNNNNNNNNNNNNNNNNNNNNNNNNNNNNNNNNNNNNNNNNNNNNNNNNNNNNNNNNNNNNNNNNNNNNNNNNNNNNNNNNNNNNNNNNNNNNNNNNNNNNNNNNNNNNNNNNNNNNNNNNNNNNNNNNNNNNNNNNNNNNNNNNNNNNNNNNNNNNNNNNNNNNNNNNNNNNNNNNNNNNNNNNNNNNNNNNNNNNNNNNNNNNNNNNNNNNNNNNNNNNNNNNNNNNNNNNNNNNNNNNNNNNNNNNNNNNNNNNNNNNNNNNNNNNNNNNNNNNNNNNNNNNNNNNNNNNNNNNNNNNNNNNNNNNNNNNNNNNNNNNNNNNNNNNNNNNNNNNNNNNNNNNNNNNNNNNNNNNNNNNNNNNNNNNNNNNNNNNNNNNNNNNNNNNNNNNNNNNNNNNNNNNNNNNNNNNNNNNNNNNNNNNNNNNNNNNNNNNNNNNNNNNNNNNNNNNNNNNNNNNNNNNNNNNNNNNNNNNNNNNNNNNNNNNNNNNNNNNNNNNNNNNNNNNNNNNNNNNNNNNNNNNNNNNNNNNNNNNNNNNNNNNNNNNNNNNNNNNNNNNNNNNNNNNNNNNNNNNNNNNNNNNNNNNNNNNNNNNNNNNNNNNNNNNNNNNNNNNNNNNNNNNNNNNNNNNNNNNNNNNNNNNNNNNNNNNNNNNNNNNNNNNNNNNNNNNNNNNNNNNNNNNNNNNNNNNNNNNNNNNNNNNNNNNNNNNNNNNNNNNNNNNNNNNNNNNNNNNNNNNNNNNNNNNNNNNNNNNNNNNNNNNNNNNNNNNNNNNNNNNNNNNNNNNNNNNNNNNNNNNNNNNNNNNNNNNNNNNNNNNNNNNNNNNNNNNNNNNNNNNNNNNNNNNNNNNNNNNNNNNNNNNNNNNNNNNNNNNNNNNNNNNNNNNNNNNNNNNNNNNNNNNNNNNNNNNNNNNNNNNNNNNNNNNNNNNNNNNNNNNNNNNNNNNNNNNNNNNNNNNNNNNNNNNNNNNNNNNNNNNNNNNNNNNNNNNNNNNNNNNNNNNNNNNNNNNNNNNNNNNNNNNNNNNNNNNNNNNNNNNNNNNNNNNNNNNNNNNNNNNNNNNNNNNNNNNNNNNNNNNNNNNNNNNNNNNNNNNNNNNNNNNNNNNNNNNNNNNNNNNNNNNNNNNNNNNNNNNNNNNNNNNNNNNNNNNNNNNNNNNNNNNNNNNNNNNNNNNNNNNNNNNNNNNNNNNNNNNNNNNNNNNNNNNNNNNNNNNNNNNNNNNNNNNNNNNNNNNNNNNNNNNNNNNNNNNNNNNNNNNNNNNNNNNNNNNNNNNNNNNNNNNNNNNNNNNNNNNNNNNNNNNNNNNNNNNNNNNNNNNNNNNNNNNNNNNNNNNNNNNNNNNNNNNNNNNNNNNNNNNNNNNNNNNNNNNNNNNNNNNNNNNNNNNNNNNNNNNNNNNNNNNNNNNNNNNNNNNNNNNNNNNNNNNNNNNNNNNNNNNNNNNNNNNNNNNNNNNNNNNNNNNNNNNNNNNNNNNNNNNNNNNNNNNNNNNNNNNNNNNNNNNNNNNNNNNNNNNNNNNNNNNNNNNNNNNNNNNNNNNNNNNNNNNNNNNNNNNNNNNNNNNNNNNNNNNNNNNNNNNNNNNNNNNNNNNNNNNNNNNNNNNNNNNNNNNNNNNNNNNNNNNNNNNNNNNNNNNNNNNNNNNNNNNNNNNNNNNNNNNNNNNNNNNNNNNNNNNNNNNNNNNNNNNNNNNNNNNNNNNNNNNNNNNNNNNNNNNNNNNNNNNNNNNNNNNNNNNNNNNNNNNNNNNNNNNNNNNNNNNNNNNNNNNNNNNNNNNNNNNNNNNNNNNNNNNNNNNNNNNNNNNNNNNNNNNNNNNNNNNNNNNNNNNNNNNNNNNNNNNNNNNNNNNNNNNNNNNNNNNNNNNNNNNNNNNNNNNNNNNNNNNNNNNNNNNNNNNNNNNNNNNNNNNNNNGGGGAUAUGGUUGUUCUUAAAACAAUUUGAAGAAUACAAAACAAUCAUUUGCCAUCUUACUCUCUGAUAUUACUCGAGUCAAACAGUAAAUACAUGCUUUCUAGCUCCUUUCUACUAAACUACAGAAUCUUAUAAACGAAGAGGGAUAAAUAUACCUUAGGCAUACUACUUAGAGCUUCAGAAUAUUGACCUAUGUUCCGCCAACUCAAUCUCGUGACUGAUAUUUGGAAUGUCGUCUUCUUCUGUAGAAUGUGGCCGGCACUGGAACGACACGUUUCUCUGCCAAAAUAGCUAACGGUGGCUCCGUAGAAGUAAUUGUUUUGAGUCAUCGGGAACCAAACCGUGAGGAUUUGGAACAAUCUUAUUCAUAUGAUCGAAUCUCAUCAGUACUGAAAAUAAACUUGUAUAGCCAUUCUUAGCUCUAGAAAUCUAUACGAUCGAGAGGAAUGAAGAUAUGAGUUUCAAUGGAAGGAGAUUACCUAUUUAUAGUGAAUAAUCCACACAAUGGCAGUAAGGGGAAAGCAUUGAAAGAGAAAUCGUGUGAAGAAUGAGAGAUGUUAUUAAUCAGGGCGUUAAAGACCACGUUUGAUUGCAUCUGAUUUUCAUAAAGAUCCCAGAAUUCUUUUGCUGGUGAGAUUAAAAUCAAUCAAAAAGACACAAUCGCCGGAUUCUAACAGGCUUUCAUCGGAAUUAAUGGCAAAACAUAAUAAUACAGAUGGAGAUUCGAUGGCGGUAAGAAGAACAGUCUUUUACUAUCUCGUCGGCGACGCAGAGUCGCAGACUUUCGCAUACGAAGAGUGAGAAGAGAGAGACGGUUGAGAUUAAUAGGAAACCAUUACAGCCCACUAAAAGGACCGAUUGAUUUGGGUGAACAUGUGUCACUCUCCCCUUGAUUUACUUAAUGACGUGGCUUUCUUGAGAGCAAACACAACUUUAUAAUAGUAGAUACUAGGGUCAGCCCGCCCUACGGAUGGUAUAUACUUUACUUGUAUGAUGUGGUGGUUCGUGUUUUAGGUUUGCAUUUGCAAGAAAUGUGUAUAAUAAUGUUUAUUGUCUAGUAGAAAAAUUAAAUGAUGAAGGACAUUAUAUCCAUUUUUACUUAACGUUUGAUGUUUGAUUAUUUUUGUCACUUGUUUUUGUAUUUUUAUUUGUUGUUAAAUAUAUUUUUUGACAUUAUAUUAUUUAGUUAUUAUCUAUGUUUGUUUGUUAUGUUUUAUAAUGAGAACACAUUUUAUAUCAUCUUUACAUACGUCUAACUUAAAUUAUUUAUUUUUAUUUUUAUUUUUAUUGUUAGAGAUUAUAAGUUUGUAUUAGUAUGAUACGUAUGAUUGAAAUGGUAUACAUUGUUAAAUGUUUGCUCAAUUUUUAUAUAUAGAGUAAGUAUAUUCGAGUUUCUAUUGUUUUGGUUAGGUUUAGUGCUCAAGACAUCGAUUAUUUUACAUUUUGUAUAUAUUGAAUGUACUUGUAUUUUUAAUAAAAAAUUAUUAUUCAGUUUCUGUGUAUAAUUAGUGGUUAUUUUACUUAUUCUAUUACCUCAAUUGUUUUCAUUUGCUAUACCGAGUAAUACAUUAUUUUAAUUUUAAAUUUAUUAUGGGGCAGAAAAAAAGAUAGUAUAAUAUAGGUAAUAUAUGUUUGGUUUUAUAACAUGUUUGCCAAGCAAUAUACGCUCUGGAAUGGCGGAGAACAAAAAUUGGAAGAACCCUACCAUCAAAUCUGAGACGCUUACGUUUGCACUCUAUAUUAGGCUGGUUCUUUCAGCAAAACAUAAAGCCAAAACACAAAACAAAGCCCGCAUCUAUUGAAUAACUACGUUAAUGAAACGCUUUGGAUUGUGUGAAAGGACACGUGUCGCGCCGUCGUGAACCGAAGCUGGAUUAUACAUUUCAGUUUUUAUAUAUAUUAUUUAUGAUAGCUUGGAUUAUACAUUUUAAUAUGUUAUAUAUAUAUAUUAUUUAUGUCAUAUUUUUUUUACUUUGCUUAUAUGUUAUUUAAUGUUUAUAAUAUAUUUUAUUACAAAUAUGGUAAUAUAAAUGUUCAUUAUUGUAAAUUUAAAACUUUUAAAAAUGUUGUAUGAAUUAAAUACACUAAAACUUCUAUGAAAAAACAUUACUAUUAUAUAUCAUUUGUUAAACUAUAAACAGAAACAAUAUAUUACAAUCUAAGUAUAGUUUUUAUUUAAUAUUUUUUUUAUAUUUUAAAAAAGAUAAUUAUAUAUUAUGUGUAAACUAUUGUAUCAUUUAUUCGUGUGUAUCAUCCUUUCGGUUGAAAUUGUUUGAUAUUCUCCAAAUUUUAUUGUAAAAACUAAAUUUAAUAAUAGGACUAUUGAGAUAUUUUUAUAAAAUUAUUUCAUUUUAACGGUGUAAAUCUUUUAUAUGUUUAUUUUAUUUUACUUUUAUUAUUUUAGUCCAAUAAUGGUAUAUUGCGUCUCUUGUUCAUAUUAUGUAAAUACAUAUUUUGUUUUCAUAUUAGUAUUUGAUUUAUAUUUGAGGACUUUCGAAGUCAUGACAUAAAUUUUGUCAAAAAUUUACACAUUUUAUUAUUUUAUUUUAUUUACUGUUUUAAAUAUAUAUUUUUACGUUUCCUAAGGAUCCACAUUUUUAAAUAGUUAUUAAAAAAACACAUUUUUAUAUCAACCGAAAAACACUCACUUCUCUCUCUCUCUAGGAAAAGACAAAGUACAAAAAAUAUUUGUUCAAGUGGAGGCAUGAGACGCUUGAUGGGAUUCGUGAGGGGUAACUUUUGUUUCUGAAAGAUGAUGCUUUGAUAUGCACUCGCAUGUCUUUUCAUUUUCUUUCUGGCCUCAUUCCUUCCAGAUGUAUAAUAAAGAUGUAGUGGUCACAGAUCACUCUGCUCUAGUUCAUACCGCUACUCAACUUAAAGUAUUCCGAAAAUCCGACUACAACACCAUAUCCUAUUGGUAUCCUCGUUUCAGGGGGAAUAUCUCGGGCCACACUUGGGGUUGAAUCUGUAUAAAUCCACUGAAUGGAGCACAUUAGAGACUUCAAAAUGAAUAAAUUUAAACUAUGAAUAUCCAUCAGCAAGAUCAUGACAGGAACGGUAACAGCCAUAGGGUCGAAGCAAAUACUCUUUGGUUUACCUGAAAGAACGGGAUGUACAGAGCCUCUGCAGCAGUCGGUCUGUUGCGUGGAUCUCAGAGAAGAGCCACUGAAAGAUCAUGAAAAAGGUAAAAGAUUGGUGUCCGAGAAUAAACGUACCUGAUGGAGUACCACUCAAACUGAUACUAACCAAUUUUUAUGUGUAUACAUAGGAUUGUAGAAGUACUUCAAAUGUCCUUUACCUGUCAGCACAAAGCUUUUAGAGUCAGUAAGGCAGCGAUGGUAUGUCAACUAAUCAAAAUAUGGGUCACUGAAGUAGAAAUAUACACACAUAUAUUGAUAUUCUGAAAGAGACAUUGCAAUAGAAAAAAGGAAUCAAAUCUUACCAGCGUAUAACAACAUGCUGUAUCAAUGUGAACUUGGAUUAAUCUCCCCUGCCAGUUCAAAAUCAGAAAUGAUAAUUAUGGGUUGAAACAGAUCUUUUGCAACAACCAACACAGCAUAAACAUAUAUUGUUGAUAAACAACUGGCUUACGAUCGUGUAGGAGCUAACCACGUUGAUGCAUCUAAGAAUCACCUUCAACACCGUGAUAUCCCAUAUACACGUCUCCAUUAAGUUUUUAUUUCUUCCAGCUUGAUCCUGCUUGCUUCUCUUGGGUCCAACAAUCUCUCUUGAAACAUGAUCACAAACACAAAAUCAACAUCUCAAGAGAAUAUCUUGCACUAAACUAUAACUCAUAUUCUUAUACAUACGGUUCACGAAUCCAUAAAAAGAACACUUUUUUAUAGUAAGAGGUAAGAGAAAAAGAUUGUGAAAUAAAAAACCUUUGAAUUGGAAGUUGUAUGAGUCAACGAAGUUGGAGUCCCCUUUCCAUUAUCACCUGAGAUCAACUUUGAGUUCGGUUUCAAUGUCUGAACUCGAUCUAAAUGUCUAUAAAAAAUAUGUUAAAGAAGUUUCUUCUGUUAGGAAGUGUGAUGAUGAUGUUCAGGGUACGAAGGCUUACCUUUUUGUAGGUGGAGAUACACCGCCUCUAAGAGAGCAUUGAAUGAGACAUCGUGCUUGAGUGAAUCAAGAAAUCUCGUAACGUCUAGGAGAAUAAGAACCAAAGAUGGAACGACAAAUCGAAGCUUGACACAGAGCUUCUUCACAACGACUCGUCUCACUCGACAUUCAGAAAUACCAUUGUUGCUGGAACUUAUCAAAGCUUCGAGGAUACGACGAACCCUAAGAGACGGACACGACAAAUUGUGAAUAAGAUAGAAGGACCAAAGGGCCAGCUUUUAACGGGCCAAAACUUUUCCCCUCUGAACCCAAUAGAAAUAACAAUCUGAAAAAAAUAAAAGUCAGGAGACACAUGUCGCAAGCACAGAAGUCGAAUUAUCUACGUGGAAUCUGAUGUGGCGCAAGAAGAGAGAAGAAAACCCUUUUUUAUAAUAAUAUAUAUAGAUAGAUGUUGAAAAUUCAAAUUAGCUUCAUGUCAUAAAACUAAAAUGAUAUUAAAUUAGAUUAAACGCUGAGUAAAAUUUAAAUUUUAUCACAGAUAGUUAUUAUUAUUAUUUUUUUUUGACAUCAAUCAUCUACAGACUCAUACUGACUCUGUAAACCAAACCGGUAACUCUGCAUCUUUUUGAUUUUCCGUCCGAGGUACAUGAACGAUCUCUGAGUUUAGAAAGCUUCUUUUCAGAAGCUUAAUGUCUUCCAAGUAAUUGUCAAACGCAGGCCAUUCUUCUGGUUCUGAAACCAUCUUUACCAAUUGAGAACAAUCUGUCGCAAAUGUGACCUGAAAUUGCCGUACAUUCCGCAUGCAUUCCAUUGCCCAUAUUAGCGCUUCUACCUCCGAAUGAAGAGGUGAAAGACUUGCCCUGACAUUCUGUGCCCCUAGCAAUCCAUCAAAACCCGCUAAAGUGUUGUACCAGCAUUGUCCUGAAAAUUGUUCCUUAUCUUUCCAUGAGCCAUCUAUGAAACACCAUCUUCCCGGUAUUGUUGGUACAAUUCUUUCCUGUACUUGAUUUGCAACCCUCUGAUUACUUGUUACAUGUGCCUCCAUCCAAAGUGUUGAUUCUAGUUCUGCUAGUUUAAGCGUAUUUCUUGGAUCAACAUCCAAAUUGCUAAAAACUUUGUUGUUUCGACCUUUCUAAAUAUACCAUAAUAUCCAUGCAAAUUGGUGAUCCUCCAUUUUUGGAUUAACCCUCAAAAAAAGAUGAUCCAUAUUUACAAAAAGAUAACUGAGAGGGAAGAGAUGAGGAUUCAAUGGUAUCCUUGAAAGUACCCUCACCUGUCAUGCCGAGGGCAUUCGAAGAAAACAUGAUUUGUGGAUUCCUCUGGAGCUCCACAUCUUGCACAACAAAUGUCCUCUUGUAUUCCUCUUGCUUUUAGAUUUUUCAGUACCGCUAUACACCCUGAUAGAAGUUGCCAUAAGAAAUGCUUUAUUUUCGGAUGGCCACCUUCCAACAGAAUGUUUUCAAUAUGUCCACAGUGGGUCCAUAAAAUUCUGGUGGUUUUUCCUUAUAAGGAUAAACCCGUUCUACUUGAUACCCUAACCCUAUAUCUAUAAACCCUAAAUAAUAUAAGUAUCAAAAUUAAUUAUACUAUAAUUAUCAAAUCACAUAUUAAAACCCUAAUCGAAUAUUUUGAAAUCAAAACUAUUUUCGGUUUUGAUCAUUGAGGUUUUAAAUCUGAUUGAAUCUGAUGCUAUGUUGCUAGAAUUGUUUGACCCUUAAAUUAAUAGAUUAUUUUCUCAUCCUGCUUGACUAAUUGUUCAUCUGAUUUAAAAUUGUUUAAACCGACCAGCCUGUUAAAACAUUGAUUGAAUCCGAUAGGUUACUAGCUUGCUUUGCUUAUAUAAUCCGAUAGGUUGAUAGAUUGAUUGAGGUUUACUUGUUUAAAAUCCGAAUGAUGUGAUUGCAUGAUUCUUGAGGUUUAAUAUCAUCUGCUAGGAUUGAUAGUUUUGUAAUCUGAUCUGUUUUAAAUAGAAACCCUAAAUAAUCCGUAUGAUAGGUUAUAUUGAUCUGAUUUGGAUGUCUUUGAGAAUUGAGAAUCCGUAUGCUAAGUUGAUAGAUUCAUGAUAAAAUCUAAUGUCUUGAGGUUUAAGAUUGUAUGCUAAGUUCGAUUAAAUUGAUUGAUCUGAUUAUAUGUUUUUGAGGUUUGAUAAAUUCGGAUACUAGAUAAAUUAUUUACACAUGGUUUAUGAUAAAUACCAAUUAGCCUUGAAACUGAUUCAUUGAAAUUCAUGCUUGAAAUCUAUAUUCUAGUAUUCCUAAAAUCAACCUUGAAACUGAUUGAGUGAUUAAUAAAUCUUUUUACUAGUCUUGCUAAAAUCCAUUGAUUGUUAAACCCUAAUUGCAUGAUUAAUUGAAUCUGUUUUUGCUAGUCUUGAUAAACCAUAAUAUUAUGAGCACAUAGAAAUAGUAUUGUUGAGACUUGCUAGAAAUUGACUGAUUGAUUAAAUGCCUUUAAGAUUGAUAGUUUCAUUGUCCUCACAUGAUUGAAAUCCGAAUUGAUUGUUUUUAAGAGUAAGACCGCAUGAAAAUUAUACCUAAAUAUUGAGUGAUAUAUGAUUUGAGAUGUCGAAAAUCAACCUGGAUUUUGCUGCCCUAAAUCUCUCUGGAUAUAAUUAUUUACGGUGGGCAUUGGAUACAAAGAUUAUCAUAAAGUCAAAAAGACUUGGUGAAUGUAUCAUAGAAGACAAUAAUGCCAAUGAGAAAUAUUGAAUUAUGGCAAUAUUAAUUAUUAGCCAUCAUCUUAUUACGAGUCUCAAAGAUCAGUAUCUGACUAUAGAGAAUCCUCUAGACCUUUGGACAGAGUUGAAAAUCAAGAUAUGAUCACCAAAGAACGGUGUUAUUACCAAAGGCCCUAUUUGAUAGGAGGAAUCUCAGAAUUCAGGACUAUAAGUCCGUGGAUGAGUCUAUAGCUAGCUGGUCAAAAUAAUGGAUUACUGAUGAGAAACAGUGAAUUGAGACUUCCUGGAUUAACCCCAUUACCUGAUACCAAUAAGCCCGCAGAAGAAAAAAAAAGGUAACCACGUCCAGAAUGAUAGACCACACGUUCAUGGCCGUGGAGGGUGGAAAGGACGUGGCCAUGGCCACUAUAACACAUUUGGCCGUGGGAAUCACUCUGGCAGAGGCCGUGGGUAUCAACCCAAUUUGAGCCAUGGUCCAGGCAGUGGCCGUGGUAUAUCCUUUAAACCACAAAGCUCGACCAAAUCAGUGUGCCAUAGAUGUGGAAUGGGGAACCAUUGGGCUAAGAUAUGAAGGACUCCCAAACAUUUUUGUGACCUCUAUCAAAGAGAGUCUGAAAGGGAAGAAUCCUGAAAUUCACUUGGUCUAUAAAGAUGGUGAAAAUAAUUUCGAACAUGAUCAAGAUGAUCUUAUGGAAUAUGAGACUUAUGAUUGCCUAUAAGAAUCAAGUUGAUAAUCUGAUUUCGACAUCAAACUUGUGUGAUUGCUUUGCUUGUAUGCUUUCUCUGAUUUUUAUCUCCUUGAAUUUAUUUCUAUUACAUUGUCUGCUUAGAUUAAAUGAAUGAAUGAUUUUUCUAUAUGAGUACACUGAAAAACGUCAAUAUAAGUACUAAAGCAAGUAUCGCCAGUCUAUAAGAAGACUAUGGUUAGACUAAUAUAUUAUUGCCUAAGGGUAUGCAUCUAGAAAUCAGGGAUGCCUUAUAUUCACCCAGCUCUAAGAGCAAGAGCAGCCUAUUGAGUUUUAAAGAUAUAAGAACGAAUGGUUUCCAUGUUGAAACAAUGGGCGAAGGAAACAAAGAGUUCCUUCAGAUAUAUGUAUAAAAUCGCCCAAGGCCAUAAUAAGUCCUAAAGACUAUACCUGCAUUCUCUACUGACCUAGACUAUGCAUAGAUUAGUAUGAUAGAGGCUAAAAGCCUGCGAAAAUAUGCACUUUAUGGCAUGACCGGAUUGGCAAUCCUGGUCCAAACAUGAUGCAAAAAUUGAUAUUCAAAAGACACACAUUAAAAGAUAAGAAGAGUUAUCUCAAAGAAUCGCACGUGUGUAGCAUGUACACAAGGGAAACUCAUUAGGCCAUCACCAGUAAAACGGCUACGAGCCCCUUUUUCAUAAAUAAAGACUAUAUGUCUAGAUAAUACUGGUGAAUACAUGUCCCAAGCGUUUAAAUGAUUAUGGUAUGUCCAUGGAGGUAAGUGUGGACAAUUCUAUGAUACAUGUCCAUACCAAGAACGACUUGGCCGAUAUCUUUUCAAACGCAAAUAGCUGAUUGAUAGACCAUAACUUAUGAGGUCAAAACUCCCAUUCACAGCUUGGGCCACACGAAAUUAACAUGCACCUAAGUUAAUACGCAUCAGGCCAUUUAGUGAGCAUAGAUAUCCCCUAUCACAAUUAUUAACGGGUCAAGAGCCAGACAUACCCCAUCAUAAGACAUUUGGAUGUGCUGUCUAUGUACUAAUUGCUCCACCACAGAGAACUAAGAUGGGACCUCAAAAGGAGGAUGUGGAUAUAUGUUGGAUAUGAUUUUCCCACAAUAAUAAAGUACUUUGUGCCAACUAUGGGUGAUUAUAUUUGAGGCCAGGUACACGGAUUAUUUUAAGACCAGGAGAAAAAAAAAUAAUAAAGCUGGUAAAAAAAUGGUAAAAGAAAUAAAAUGGAAUCAACCAUCAAUGUCUUGGUAAGAUCCUCAAUCUAAAGAAUGUGAAAUAGACGUCCAAAGAUUAUACAUUUACAAAGCUAGCUAAUCAAAUGCCAGACACAUUUGCUGACCGAAAAAGAAUGACUAAGUCAUAUAUAAACCAGCUUGUAAAGCACCAACGAAUUUGAUGUCCAAGAAGAGACACAGUCAAGUUGCUACAGAGUAUAGACAACGUAUGAAACGUGGUAGACCAAUUAGGUUCCAAAAGAUAAGAAUCCUCGGAAACAAAAGAAAGGUGCAGAGAAUGAUAAUCAAAAUCCAAAUUCGAGGUUACUAAGGAAACCAUCCCAGACAUGGAGAUAAGGCCGGCCGGCUCUAAGGUACAGGUACCAAACAAUGUAGCUUGGGACGCCAAGCUGCAAAGUAAUAAAGGUCCUGAUAAUAAUGAAUCUCAAUCGAUUAUAUCAUGUAUGGAACAUAUUGGAAUCAAUAAGGAAUGUCGACAUAAGAUGAUUUAUUUUCAUACAAAGUAGCACUUGAAUUUAUGAAUAUAAGCGAGGAUCAUGAACCCACGUCAAUAUAAGAGUGCGCACUCGUAGAACAGAUUAGAUUGAAUGGAAACGUGGGGUUAAAUAGUUUAAGGAAGAAAGUCGUAUUUGGCCAUAUGAUUAAGACGCCAUAUGAUGUUAAAACCAGUGGAUAUAAAUGGGUCUUGUGAGGAAUAGAAAUCGUGAGAUAUAAAGCUGAUGUUGCACAAGGAUUCUCACAAAGACCAGUAAUAGAUUAUGAGGAGACAUACUCCCAUGUGGUGGAUGCAACUACUUUUAGAUUUCUCAUAAGUCUGUCUAUAUAAGAGAGAAAAUUAGACUUGCAGCAAGUUGAUGUAGUGACUGCAUAUUUAUAUGGUCCACUGGAUAAUGAAAGUACAAGAGGUUAUUGAGCUGAAAGUACAACAAGUUCUCGAGAACAAUAUGAUAAUCAUCAAAGUAUAUGAUCUGAAUAUCCUAGGAACCUCUGGAUACAAUUUUCCAAACAGUUUAAUAUCUCAAGAAAGAGUUUGAGAUGAAAGAUCUUGGAAAACAAAGUUUUGUUUGAGAUUACAGCUUGAGUACAUUAACAAUGAAAUCCUUGUGCAUCAAAUAGUAUAUAUAGAAAAAGGUACUCAAAAGAUUUAAUAUGGACCAGUCUCACCCAUUAUCUAGUACAUAGGCGUGAGAUCACUUGUUUUGGGCACUGAUCCAUUCAGUCCAAAGGUGGACGAUAAAGAAGCUCAUUUAGUCCUGAGAUGGAUGAUGCAUAAGUCUUGUUUUAGACACUGAUCUGAUUUGUCCAUAAGAAGGACGAUGAAGAAGCCUUUGAUUUUUGUUUAUUUUAUACUAACCAGCCCAAAGAGGGGUUAGUUGGUUUUGUUGAUUUAUUUUCAGACAGGUUAUGUUUUACACAUGGUGGUACACGCAUAUCACAGCAACAUCAUCCAAGAUUUUGUGUGUGUGUAUUUGAGGUCGAUGACUCAAUAUGUUCGAUCAGAUUGUGGCAUGGCCGAUGGUAAAGAAGAACCAACUAUCAUGUUCGAGGACGAAGCAUAUUCUGCCCAAGAUCUUCAUCACCCACGGAUUGCAGAAAAUUGGAGAGGUCCAAGGGACCUUCAGUAAUGUCCAAAUCAGGGGGAGUAAUCUUUGUUGUACUUUUUUUCCUUCACAAUGGUUUUGUCCCAAUUGGGUUUUCCUGGUAAGGUUUUAAUGAGGCAACAUUAAAGCACAUUAGAAGCUCUAAAUGGUUAUGGCAUCCAAGGGGGAGUGUUUGAACCAGAUUCUGGAUAGCUCAUAACCAAGAGAUUAUGAUUUGUAAUCUUUCUAUUUAUCUAUGAUGGUGUAAUCUCCUAUAUAAGGUACAUGUACCAAACACGAUGGCUCAUAACCAAGAGAUUAUGAUUUCUAAUCUUUCAUAUUUGUAAUCUUUCCAUUAGGGUUUAACAAUCAAUGGAUUUUAGCAAGACUAGUAAAAAGAUUUAUUAAUCACUCAAUCAGUUUCAAGGCUGAUUUUAGGAAUACUAGAAUAUAGAUUUCAAGCAUGAAUUUCAAUGAAUCAGUUUCAAGGCUGAUUUUAGAAUUACUAGAAUAUAGAUUUCAAGCUUGAAUUUCAAUGAAUCAGUUUCAAGGCUGAUUGGUAUUUAGCAUAAACCAUGUGUAAAAAUUUUAUCUAGUAUCCGAAUUUAUCAAACCUCAAAAACAUAUAAUCAGAUCAAUCAAUUUAAUCGAACUUAGCAUACAAUCUUAAACAUGUACCUUAAGGUACCGGUACCAAACAGGUAUCCUUGUAUUUAAGAUUGUUUCUAAAUUGAAACUGUAUGGUGAGGAUAUAACGGAUAAGGAUUUGCUAGAAAAUACUUUUUCCACCUUCCAUGCAAGUAAUGUGUUGUUACAACAACAAUACCGUGAAAAAUGGCUUCACCACUUUUGCACAUCUAAUCUCAUGAUUAUUGCUAGCUGAGCAAAACAAUGAAUUGCUAAUGAGAAACAGUGAAUUGAGACCUCCUGGUUCCACACCAUUACCUGAAGCCAAUAUGGCCGCAGAGGAUAAGAAAGAAUCCAAAGAAAGUAACCACGUCUAUUAUGAUAAACCACACGGCCGUGGCCAUGGUGGAUGGAGAGGACGUGGCCGUAGCCAAUACAGUUCAUAUGGCCGCGGGAAUAGCUAUGGCAGAGGUCAUGGGUAUCAACCUGAUUCAGGCCGUGGUCGAGGCAGAAGCCGUGGUAUUUCUAAACCACAAUACUCGACCAAAUUAGUGUGCCAUAGAUGUGGAAUGGGGAACCAUUGAGCUAAGAUAUGAAGGACUCCCAAACAUUUUUGUGACCUCUAUCAAAGAGAGUCUGAAAGGGAAGAAUCCUGAAACCCACUUGGUCUAUAAAGAUGGUGAAAAAUAAUUUCGAACAUGAUCAAGAAGAUCUUAUGGAAUAUGAGACUUAUGAUUGCCUAAAAGAAUCAAGUUGAUAAUCUGAUUUCGACAUCAAACUUGUGUGGUUGCUUUGCUUGAUAAUCUGAUUUCGACAUCAAAGUUGGUAAUCUGAUUUCCACAUUACUUGCAUGGAAGGUGGAAAAGGUCUUUUCUAGCAAAUUCUUAUCCGUUAUAUCCUCACCAUACAGUUUCAAUUUAGAAACAAUCUUAAAUACAAGGGUAACUGUUUGGUACCUGCACCAUAGAAACAAUCUUAAAUACAAGGGUGCUUGUUUGGCACCUGUACCUUAUAUAGGAGAUUACACCGUCAUAGAUAAAGGGAAAGAUUACAAAUCAUAAUCUUUUGGUUAUGAGCCAUCCACAAUCUGGUUCAUAACACUCCCCCUUGGAUGCCAUAACCAUUUAGAGCUUGUAAUGUGCUUUAAUGUUGCCUCAUUAAAACCUUACCAGGAAAACCCAAUUGGGACAAAACCAUGGUGAAGGAAAAAAGUACAACACACAUUACUCCCCCUGAUUUAGACAUUACUGAAGGUCUCUUGGACCUCUCCAAUUUUCUGCUAUCCGUGGGUGAUGAAGAUCUUGGGCAGAAUAUGCUUCGUCCUUGAACAUGAUAGUUGGUUCUUCUUUACCAUCGGCCAUGCCACAAUCUGAUCGAACAUAUUGAGUCAUCGACCUCAAAUACACACACACAAAAUCUUGGAUGAUGUUGCUGUGAUAUGCGUGUACCACCAUGUGUAAAACAUACCCUGUCUGAAAACAAAUUAACAAAACCAAAUAACCCCUCUUUGGGCUGGUUAGUAUAAAAUAAACAAAAAUCAAAGGAUUCUUCAUCGUCCUUCUUAUGGACCAAUCAGACCAGUGUCUAAAAAAAGACUUCUGCAUCGUCCAUCUCAAAACUAAAUGGACUUCUUUAUCAUCCACCUUUGGACUGAAUGGAUCAGUGUCCAAAACAAGUGAUCUCACGCCCAUGUACUAGAUAAUGGGUGAGACUGGUCCAUAUUAAAUCUCUAGAGUACCCUUUUCUGUAUAUUCUAUUUGAUGCACAAGGAUUUCAUUGUUAAUGUACUCAAGCUGUAAUCUCAAACAAAACUUUGUUUUCCAAGAUCUUUCAUCUCAAACUCUUUCUUGACAUAUUCAACUGUUUGGGAAAUUGUAUCCAGAGGUUCCUAGGAUAUUCAGAUCAUAUACUUUGAUGAUUAUCAAUAUUGUUCUCGAGAACUUGAUGUACUUUCAGCUCAAUACCCUCUAGUACUUUCAUUAUCCAGUGGACCAUAUAAAUAUGCAGUCACUACAUCAACUUGCUGCAAGUCUAAUUUUCUCUCUUAUAUAGUCAGAUUUAUGAGAAAACUAAAAGUAGUUGCAUCCACCACAUGGGAGUAUGUCUCCUCAUAAUCUAUUACUGGUCUUUGUGACAAUCCUUGUGCAACAUCAGCUUUAUUUCUCACGAUUUCUAUUCCUCACAAGACCCAUUUAUAUCCACUGGUUUUAACAUCAUAUGGCGUCUUAAUCAUAUGGCCAAAUACGCCUUUCUUCCUUAAACUAUUUAACCCCACGUUUCCAUUGAAUCCAAUCUGUUCUACGAGUGCACACUCUUAUAUUGACGUGGGUUCAUGAUCCUCGCUUAUAUUCAUAAAUUCAAGUGCUACCUUGUAUGCAAAUAAAUCAUCUUAUGUCGACAUUCCUUAUUGGUUCCAUUAUGUUCCAGACAUGAAAUAAUCGAUUGAGAUUCAUUAUUAUCAGGACCUUUAUUACUUUGCAGCUUGGCGUCCCAAGCUACAUUGUUUGGUACCUGUACCUUAGAGCCGGCCGGCCUUAUCUCCAUGUCUGGGAUGGUUUCCUUAGUAAUCUCGGAUUUGAAUUUUGAUUAUCAUUCUCUGCACCUUUCUUUUGUUUCCGAGGAUUCUUAUCUUUUGGAACGUAUUUGGUCUACCACGUUUCAUACGUUGUCUAGACUCUAUAGCAACUUGACUGUGUGUCUUCUUGGACAUCAAAUUCCUUGGUGCUUUACAAGCUGGUUUAUAUAUGACUUAGUCAUUCUUUUUCGGGUCAGCAAACGUGUCUGGCAUUUGAUUAGCUAGCUUUGUAAAUGUAUAAUCUUUGGACGUCUAUUUAACAUUCUAUAGUCUGAGGAUCUUGCCAAGACAUUGAUGGUUGAUUCCAUUCUAUUUCUUUUACCAUUAUUUUACCAACUUUAUUAUUUUUUUCUCCUCUUGGUCUUAAAAUAAUCAGUGUACAUGGCCUCAAAUAUAAUCACCCAUAGUUGGCUCAAAGUACUUUAUUAUUGUGGGAGAAUCAUAUCCAACAUAUUACAUCAUCCUCCUUUUGAGGUUCCAUCUUAGUUCUCUGUGGUGGAGCAAUUAGUACAUAGACAGCACAUCCAAAUGUCUUAUGAUGGGGUAUGUCUGGCUCUUGACCCGUUAAUAAUUGUGAUAGGGGAUAUCUAUGCUCACUAAAUGGCCUGAUGCGUAUUAACUUAGGUGCAUGUAAAUUGUGUGUCGCCCAAGCUGUGAAUGGGAGUUUUGACCUCAUAAGUUAUGGUCUAUCAAUCAGCUAUUUGCGUUUUAAAAGAUUUCGGCCAAGCCGUUCUUUGUAUGGACAUGUAUCACAGAAUUGUCCACACUUACCCCCAUGGACAUACCAUAAUCAUUUAAACGCUUGGGACAUGUAUUCACCAGUAUUAUCUAGACAUAUUGUCUUUAUUUAUGAAAAAGGGGCUCGUAGCCGCUUUACUGGUGAUGGCCUAAUGCGUUUCUCUUAUGUACAUGCUACACACGUGAGAUUCUUUGGGAUAACUCUUCUUAUCUUUUAAUGUGUGCCUUCUGAAUAUCAAUUUUUGCAUCAUGUUUGGACCAGGAUGGCCAAUCCGGUCGUGCCAUAAAGUGUAUAUUUUCGCAGGCUUUUAGCCUCUAUCAUACUGAUCUAUGCAUAGUCUAGGUCAGUAGAGAAUGCAUUUAUAGUCUUUAGGACUUAUUAUGGCCUUGGGCGAUUUUAUACAUAUAUCUGAAGGAACUCUUUGUUUCCUUCGCCCAUUGUUUCAAUAUGAAAACCAUUCAUUCUUAUAUCUUUAUAACUCAAUAGGCUGCUCUUGCUCUUAGAGUUGGGUGAAUAUAAGGCAUCACUGAUUUCUAGAUGCAUACCCUUAGGCUAUAAUAUAUUAGCCUAGCCAUAGUCUUCUUUCAGACAGGCGAUACCUGUUUUAGUACUUAUAUUGGUGUUUUUCAGUGUACUCAUAUAGAAACAUCAUUCAUUCAUUUAAUCUAAGCAGACAAUGUAAUAUAAAUAAAUUCAAGGAGAUAAAAAUCAGAGAAAGCAUACAAGCAAAGCAAUCACACAAGUUUGAUGUCGAAAUCAGAUUAUCAACUUGUAUUCUUUUAGGCAAUCAUAAGUCUCAUAUUCCAUAAGAUCAUCUUGAUCAUGUUCGAAAUUAUUUUCAUCAUCUUUAUAGACCAAGUGGGUUUCAGGAUUCUUCCCUUUCAGACUCUCUUUGAUAGAGGUCACACAAAAGUUUGGGAGUCCUUCAUAUCUUAGCCCAAUGGUUCCCCAUUCCACAUCUAUGGCACACUGAUUUGGUCGAGCUUUGUGGUUUAAAGGAUAUACCACGGCCACUGCCUUGACCAUGGUUCAAAUUGGGUUGAUACCCACGGCCUCUGCCAUAGUGAUUCCCACAGCCAAAUGUGUUAUAGUGGCCACGUCCUUUCCACCCUCCACGGCCAUGACCGUGUGGUCCAUCAUUCUGGACGUGGUUACCAUUUUUUUUUUCUGCGGCCUUAUUGGUAUCAGGUAAUGGGGUUAAUCCAGGAGGUCUCAGUUCACUGUUUCUCAUCAGUAAUCCAUUAUUUUGCCCAGCUAGCAAUAGACUCAUCCACGGACUUAUAGUCCUGGAUUCUGGGAUUCCUCCAAUUAAAUAGGUUCUUUGGUAAUAACACCGUUCUUUGGUGAUCAUAUCUCGAUUUUUAACUCUGUCCAAAGGUCUAGAGGAUUAUCUAUAGUCAGAUACUGAUCUUUGAGACUCUUAAUAAGAUGAUGGCUAAUAAUUAAUAUUUUCAUGUAUCAAUCUUUCUCAUUCGCAUUAUUGCCUUCUAUGAUACAUUCACCAAGUCUUUUUGACUUUAGGAUAAUUUUUGUAUCCAAUGCCCACCGUAAAUAAUUAUCUCCAGAGAGAUUUAGGGCAGCAAAAUCCAGGUUCAUUUUCGACAUCUCAAAUCAUAUAUCACUCAAUAUUUAGGUAUAAUUUUCAUGCGGCUUUACUCUUAAAAACAAUCAAUUCGGAUUUCAAUCUUGUGAGGACAAUGAGACUAUCAAUCUUAAAGGUAUUUAAUCAAUCAGCCAAUUUCUAGCAAGUCUCAGCAAUACUAUUUCCAUGUGCUCAUAAUAUUAUGGUUUAUGAAGACUAGCAAAAAUGGAUUCAAUUAAUCAUGCAAUUAGGGUUUAACAAUCAAUGAAUUUUAGCAAGACUAGUAAAAAGAUUUUAUUAAUCACUCAAUCAGUUUCAAGGCUGAUUUUAGCAAUACUAGAAUAUAGAUUUCAAGCAUGAAUUUCAAUGAAUCAGUUUCAAGGCUGAUUGGUAUUUAGCAUAAACCAUGUGUAAAUAAUUUAUCUAGUAUCCGAAUUUAUCAAACCUCAAAAACAUAUAAUCAGAUCAAUCAAUUUAAUCGAACUUAGCAUACAAUCUUAAACCUCAAGACAUUAGAUUUUAUCAUGAAUCUAUCAACCUAGCAUACAGAUUCUCAAUUCUCAAAGACAUCCAAAUCAGAUCAAUAUAACCUAUCAUACGGAUUAUUUAGGGUUUCUAUUUAAAACAGAUCAGAUUACAAAACUAUCAAUCCUAGCAGAUGAUAUUAAACCUCAAGAAUCAUGCAAUCACAUCAUUCGGAUUUUAAACAAGUAAACCUCAAUCAAUCUAUCAACCUAUCGGAUUAUAUAAGCAAAGCAAGCUAGUAACCUACCGGAUUCAAUCAAUGUUUUAACAGGCUGCAACCUAUCGGAUUCAAUCAAUGUUUUAACAGGCUGGUCGGUUUAAACAAUUUUAAAUCAGAUGAACAAUGAACCAAGCAGGAUGAGAAAAUAAAUCUAUCAAUUUAACGGUCAAACAAUGCUAGCAACAUAGCAUCAGAUUCAAUCAGAUUUAAAACCUCAAUGAUCAUAACCAAAAAUAGUUUUGAUUUCAAAAUAUUCGAUUAGGGUUUUAAUAUGUGAUUUGAUAAUUAUAGUAUAAUUAAUUCUGAUACUUAUAUUAUUUAGGGUUUAUAGAUAUAGGGUUAGGGUUUAUCGGAUUUUAACUUGUAAAAACCGAUUUGGGGUUUGAAUCAUGUAGGAAUCGGAUUUUAACUUGUAAAAACCGAUUUGGGGUUUUAAUCAUGUAGGAACAUGAUUUAGGUUUUGGGGUAUCGAACUUUUAGAGCUUCGAUUUACUCAAUUAGGAUUUUUGAUCUAUUACCCUAUGGUUUUGAUUCAUAAAGAUUAGGGUUUUAGGGUUUCAUUCUUUAUCAAUCAAUCCAUGUUCGAUUAUGGGUUCUUAGGUUUUGAAUUACCUUUUAACAUUAGAUGAUUGUUGAAUCGGACCACCAAAGGAGUUGAGCCGCGAGCUGGACACGAACGGGACGCGAGCUGGAAUGGAUGAGUUGCUUCUAUCAGGUCGCGGAAGUCCUUUGUUGCUUGAUCGGGAACGCCUUGAUCGUCGGACGUGAGCUGUCUAAUGUUGUCGCAAAUGAGGAAGAACGUCGGACGCGAGCUGUCUGAUGUUGUCGCAAAUGAGGAAGAGCUGUCUGGAGCUGCUCUCGGGUCACGAACGUCUGAGCUGGGAUCAGGAACGCCUUGGGCUGAAGCUGAUCGGGGACGCGAACUAGAACAAAUGCGGGAACAAGAGACGCGAUCGAGGUUUAGGGUUCGUCGGAUCGCCGGCUAGGGUUAGGGUUUUAGGGUUUUUCGAUUUGAGUAUUAGCUUAGGAAUUUAGAGUUUCGUGCUGAUAACGUGUUAUAAAAGUUAUGGAAAAGUCUAUCUUUAUUCAUAACAUAGAGGUUCCUUAUAUAGGAGAUUACACCGUGAUAGAUAAAUAGAAAGAUUACAAAUCAUAAUAUCUUGGUUAUGAGCCAUCCACAGUCUGGUUCAUAACAAGUAUACAUAAAUGCGUUUGACUCUCCACUCAAAAAAAAAGCUAACGCAUAUAAGAGUUAAUAUAAGAAGACAGAAAAUCAUCUAAUGAGAUAUGCUAUCACUGGGCUGGGCAAAAAACCCGGAUCCGAAGAACCGAACGAACCUGAUCCAAAAAAGUAGUACCAAACCCGAACCAAAUUGAUUAAAUAUCCGAACGGGUUCAAAAUUUUGGUAUCUAAAGAACCGAAACCGAACCUGACCCGAACCGAAGUAUUUCGGGUACCCGAAUGUAACCGAAAUAGAUUUAUAUACCUAAAUAUAUUUACUUAUUUUUAGAUUUAAUAUAUAUUAAAAACAUCCAAAAUAUACAAGAUACUUUUAAGUUGUCUAAAAUACUUGAAAAUAUACAUAAAUAGUCACAAGUAAAUGUCUAAAAUAGCUAAAAUAUAUUCAAAACACCAAAAUGCUUGAAAUAUCUAUUGAUUUUCUAUCCAAAUAUUCAAAUCAAACCAAUUUAUAUGUUAAUUUUAGGUAUUUUGACAUAUUUAUACAAAUUUAUAUGUAAUAUAUUAUUUUGUUUUAUAGAUUUUGAGAAAUUUUAAGCAUCUAAUGAAUAUUAAAAUUUUAAAAAUAAUUUAAAUGGGUGAUCCGAACCGAAUCCGAACCGAAAUUUAGAAGUACCCGAAUGGGUCUGAAAUCUUUAAACCCGAAAAUCCGAAACCCGAUUAGAUCCGAACCGAACCCAAAUGGAUACUCGAACGCCCACCUCUAGCUAUCACCAAAUAAGUAAAAACCAUGAUAACUAAUAAAUUUGUCUACUCAAAAUAAAAUUAAAUCCAAAAAGAUUAAAUAAGAGUCUAUAUUAAAUUUUACAUAUUGUAAUUAAAAAUAAAAUUACGGGUUAAAUUAAUUAAUCAUGAAACGAUCUCAUGUUUUCACUUUAACAUUUGUAAAAAUAUCUGGUUUCGUGUAGAGUCUGUUUUUUUUUGGAGAAACGUAUAGGGGGUCUGUUACACACAUUUAUCAUGUUUCAAACGUUCAAUAGAUCUAUACAAUAUAUAUAGCAGAACUCAAGUACUCAAACUUUAAAUAGAUAUAUUAUUAUUUAGAUAUAGUAUUAUAGCUAGAAUUCAAUACACUAUAACAACAAAAAUUGAAGACGAUAAAAUUAACUUAAACGUACAUAUGCUUGAAGAGAAGCUUAAUGCCAAAUAAUCAACGCUGACCUACAAAACCUUUUAAGUUAACUAAAAAAAGACAAAAAGAUGGCUUAACUAACGAAUUAUUACUACAAACACAAGAAGGGAGCAAAAAUAAACAAUCAACAUCCUAAUUUCGAUCGCAAAAGGUCCGUACAUGAUUCUCAAACCCAAAUAAAAAAAAAACUUAACAAAAGAUAGUCCACAACUGCUGACAUAUUUUGUAAAUACAUACAAUCAUUACCGGACUUUAUCUUCCAAUCUUCAAACGUCCAACGAACACGCUUGCACCAAAAUCUAAAAUGUAUUAACCCAAAAACGCUUCUCCAAUUUAAGCAGGUAUUCUAUCUAAAAAACACUCAGUUAAUAUGCACAAAUUAAGAUUAACAAUAAUGUAUAAACUAUAUUGACACUACAAUCAGUCAAUCCUUAAAAAUAAAUAUAAAACAUCAUUGGUCACACACUUUUUAAUAAAACUAAGAUUAAUAUAAAAAUUCAAAACAUCAUCUAUUUUGAAACAUCAAAAACUUUCCAAAACAUCAUCUAUUUUGAAACGGAUUGAUGGAGUAUUUUACAAUAGAUAGUCUAACCCAAAUACCUCACCGAAACUAUAUAUAGUAUUGUAUAUGCACCAAACUCUUAAUAAAAACCCAACCACCACUAUAUUACGUUCCUGAUCUAAAAAUUAAUAAACCAUCCACGCCCUAAAAUACAUUAAAGCAUCAAAAUUAUUAUAAUUCCUUCUAGCAAAACUUAAUAUAAAGAAUAUGCAAUAAGCAUCAAUAUACAAUUAGUUUAUUAUUAAUAACUGGCCUGCAAAGAUAGUAAUAUAAAAUAUAUCAAGUCAUAUGUUUGCCUAAGUAGUGACAAUUAAUAUUAUGGUUUCAUUAUGUCUACCGGACUUAAAAUAACCUUCUUUGCAUUGAAUUUUUUUUUCAUUAUUUAAAUUAGUAGUUCUUAAAAUGUAUAAAAAAUAAAAAUACCAACAAAUUUGUAAAGACAUAUAUGAAAAGAAAAUAAAAUGUUUAAGAAACUCCAUCCUACUUACUAUUAUAGUAAAAAUAUAACAAAAUUUUUAAAAAUCUACAAUAGUUAUAAUCAUGAAAAUCUUUUUAAUUUUAAAAACUUAUAAUUUCUUAGUAAAUAAUAAAAAUUAGUAAAAAUAAUGUUAAUUCAAUCAAAAACAUAUGAAGAUGCAAUGAGAAUGUGUUUUCACUAAACCAAAAAAAAAACACAAUGCAAAAGAAAAAUAAUAGUUAAAAUAAUUAUCAAAAUUAUAUUUUAUACCAAAUAAAAAAAAUUCAAACAAAAAAAUGUCAAAUAUUAAAUUAACAAAAUGUAAUAUCCCGCACGAAGCGCGGACAAACCCCUAGUUUAUCUUAAAAGGCAGAGGAUUCGUUCAAUAUUUUGUGGUAUAAUCACCGAAGAUACAAUUACUAAAAAUAAAAAGAGUCCUCUUAAGAAAGCUUAUAUCGGGAAUUGUCAAAAUAACAUUUACCAAUAGAAGCAUGAAUCAUAGUUCUCUAAAAUUAAAUUGCAAAAUAAGUGACUAACACCAAAUUGUAUAAUUAAUGUUAAUCAAUAAUGAAAGAAAAUUACUAUACUUACAAAUGUAUAAACCAACAUCAAUUCAAUUGAAUUGAAAUUUGAAUUUGAAUUUUUUUAAUGAUUCUAAAGAUUUAACACCUUUACUUUAAUUUUGUAUCAAUCUGUAGCGGACUCAAUAUCUCUAAUAUGAACAUAAGUGAACCAGACUUCCUUUUCAAAAAAAACAUCAUUUGAACAUUUUUUGAUCAAAAAUAAAGAUGAAGUUUUGUAAGUUUUGUGUGUAUUGUCCAUCAAACAUAUGACGAGAAUAUAUACUAUCAUAGUACAGAGGCGGAAUAUUAAUAUAAUACAAUAUUAAGAUGAAUACUAAGAUAAAGUUGGCAUCAUAGUUCUCUGUAUUAGUACUUACUUACUAUUUUAACAUAGACUAAGAUAAAUAUCACUUACACAUUAUCUGUAUUAUUAUUAAACUAUAAAUUAUGAUAACAUAUAGAUUAUGUUCCACAUCCAUUAAAAAAUAUGAUUUUAAACUGAAUAAUAAAAAUUAGUCCUAACUUGUCAAAGUUAAAAAUUUAACAAAAUAAUUAUAUACCUAAUUAAAAAGUUUGAAUAAUUUUAUUAUUUAAAUUAAUAAAUUAUUUACUCAGCUAAAAAUUAAUAAUAAACUAUUUACACCGCUAAAAACUAAUAAUAAACAUACGACAAACAAGAAAAAAACUAAAAUCAUGGAUUACAUGAAAAAUAAACAAAAUCAAAAUAAUUAGACAUCUAAUUACAAAGUUUGAUACAAUUAUAUUAUUUAAAUUAACAAAUUGACGACUUAGUUAAAAACUAAUAAUAAAUUAAUAGCUCAACUAAAAACUAAUAAAAACAUGAUAAAUAAGCAAAAUAACCUUAUGGAGAAUAUGAAAAAAAAUCAGUAAAAUCACUUCUUAAAUAAUAUUAUAGUUGUUCAAAAAAAAAAAAAUAUAUAUAUAUAUAUUAUAGGAGAUAGAUAUUUCAACCCAAAAAAAAAUCCACAAAGAUCUUAUAAUCAUGUUAUGAGAACCAAAAGCCAAACUAUCUAUUAUUACAAAAAUACCAGCUAGUAAAUCUCCUCAAACACUUUCAUUCCUUGGAUUUGCUAGUUCUUUGAUCCAUAAUUAGUUUUCAAAAGAAAAAAAAAUUGAGCUGGAUAUUGCAAGCUCUGAGUAGCACUUGCAAGUCUGUGCCGAAUGUCAACUUUGCUUUUGCACUAGCAUGAACAUUGACCAGUUCAAGAUAUGGCAAUUUCUCGAGGAAUUUUUUCAUUUGCCCCAGCUCUCCUUUAGUUCCGCCGUAGUCUAUUAUCUCUAGGAUUUUCACAUGACAUGAGGAUAGGAAUGAAUAUUCCGACAAGCAUUCACAAAUUAUAGGUUCAAAUUCUUCUCCAUAUUCAUCAUAGAAAUGCAAGGGACCCUAAAACAGAAACAUGGAUGAUCAAUUAUAGAUUCUUCGUUCAACAUUUGGUUUUGAGAUAUCAAGAGCUUUCAUAUACCUUGAUGACAAGAGUCUUUAGAUUUGGAGACUUUUUAAGCAGUAGUGGCAGAAAUUUCCAACUCGUACACGAGUGUUGGAACUCAGUUGCAAUAGAUACACGAGAUAGUUUUCCGAACAGUGGGAUUAAUUCAGCAAAUGAAGAUAAUAACUGAAAAGGAAAAACAAAUUAGUCACCAACUCCAACAGCUACAAUCUUUAAUCAGAUAAUCGAAACCUCAAGAAAUGUUUUCAUUUUAUAAGAAAAAAAGACAGGAAAGUUGAAAGAAUUUCUUCUUCAUGUUCUCAAGAUAAAAAGUAAAAGUACCUUUGAAGUUCCAAGAGACGACAGGUCGAGGACCUCGACAUUUCUUAACCCUUCAAUCAGAUUCAUUGGAUUGCCUUCAUUAGGAGAUCCCCUGUACUCAAGAGAAAGCUUAGCUUCAACAAGGGAGUGGAGAUUGACAAUAGGAUACUCAUCUCCAAUAUAACCAUGGUAGUUUAAGUAGGCAAGUCUUGGAGUAUCAAAAGAAAAGCUCCAAGGAAGACUAUAUGCGAUUGCACCUUUACAUGAAAGAGUGAGUCUCUCAAGAGUAGUACACGAAAUAGUUAGACACUGUCUCGCAUACCAAGGGCAACCAAGUAAGGUUAAUUCCUCAAGCACAGGACAAGCAGAAAGAAGAGCUUCAAACUCGCAACCAGAGAACCGAACACGAAAAAAAAACAGAGUCUUAAGAGAAGGAAGAUAAGCAUUCUCAGGAACCAUAGCAAAUUUAACGAGGCUUCCUAGUUUCAGUUUAACAAUUGUCUUGCAAGUGAAUAUCUAUAAAGGCAUUGUAAUCACAUCUUUAGUGAGUGUGUCCAGAUCAAGAUCCAAGAUACCACGGAUCAGCACAUUGAUCAUCCAACGAUUGAUAUGAGCUGGUUCAACACUCUGUCGGAUUUCCUAAUGGUAGAAUCACUAGACACAGCCAAUACUCUGUCGACGAAGUCUAUGAAACUCAUGUCACUUUUGGGUUUCCAAAAGUCAACUUCAACGAAACGAAGAUGAAGAUUCGGAGUCGGACUCAUGGCAAAGAGAUUCCUCCAUCUCUUUGAGAAAACAGAAGUUAAUGCAGCUUACUUUGUCGGAAGAAAAGAUAGAAUUUGGCAAAUAGUCUCAUCAGGUAAAUCGCUGAUCCUAUCCAUCUUUUUCGCCUAGAAAGCCUAGAGUCCCCGACAAAGGCUGAGGAGAAACUAAGAAAACUAACACGUAAAGAAAAACUAUGAUUUAGGGUUGUCGGGUUUUAUUGUAUAAUUUAAGGUUUGGUCUGAUUUUUUUUUUUUGGUAAAAAUGUUAAAAUUUUAUACCAUUUUGAGUUUUUUAGAGAAUUUAUAAAGAGACACUAGUAGCAGAGAAAGGAAAAAAAAUCUAAACAACACAGGGAAGAAGAAGAAAAGGCAACAUCAAGAGACCUAAAGAACAAUCAAACAAUCUUAACUCAUAGAACUGAGAAGCAUAGCAGAAGCUACAGGUUGACCAAAUGAAUGCAUUGCCAAAUGGAGAUGACAACCUUUGAUGAAAUAUGAGACAACGCUGUAGUAGAAAUUGGCUUGCCUGCUAAUGCUGCUCCAAAUGAUUGAUGCCAUCUCCGGACAGCUUUGCAAACCUCAGUCGAAGAAACUCAAUCCUCCAACCACCACCAGUAGUAGGAAAUUGAGCUUCAAGAACUCCUACCAUUACUCUUACCAAAAAGCUCUAGCUGCGCCCACUGGGAAGUUCCACCUAAAUCUCCAAAAGUUACCAUUAUUCGGUUCGGCUUCAGAACUAAUGCGAACCAUAGCAAAAAUCGGGUGCAGUGAGAGCCACAUUCUGAUGUUGUUCUUCCAGACCUACAAUUAGACUAUGGAUAAGCCCACCAUUGUGAACCAAAAGAUUCAACACUGGUGCUGGGAUGACAUAUCCAAACAUGAGGCUCUCUCGACGAAUUGUCUCUCCCAUGACCCACAAGAGGUUAAGAAACGCCGCCUCACACUAAGCCCGAGAACCGGACCUAGUUCCAAGAGCAACGCCAAAGCUACGCCAACGUGGGAGAGCCGGUGAGCAAUUCCGACGAACCGGAAAGGAAGACCCUCCAAAAAUAAACAACCGAUGCAAAACGAACACCAAAAGCGGCGAAGACCGAGAGUGACAAGUUGGAGCAACCGUCGGAGGAGACCAAGAACAGGUCAUAGACGGCCCGCCUCAACUCCGAGAACGGCAGUGGUACAUGAACAACACAGCAGCAGUAGCUACUACACAGCACCCAACACAACCACGAGCUCGUCUCCGGAGAAUCUCCGAAGCCCAACUGAUACGCCCUAAAUCGGGAAGGAUCACUUUAGCUGGGUGUUGGAUAUGAUCCGAGAAGCCAAUCGUCAAGAGAUGCGGAAUGGCUCUUGAUAUACCAACUAUCUAAGGCUAACCACCAAAGAAAGAAUGAAUGUGUUGGCUAACCACCAAACAACACACAAAGAUGAAUUGGCUGACCACCAAAUCAACAAGCCGAUUCACACCAAUGAAUUAGCUAAAGAACUCUCUCUCUCUCACUCAGAGAAGAGACGAAAUAAACUCAAAAACAUAGACUUAUUUUAUUCAUAAAAGAGUUUACAUAUUUAUACUAGAUGUAAUCAAAGAAAUAUAUAAUUAUUCAUGAGAAUCACACAUCUAGGAAAUGAAAAAUUUGACUAGAAAAUAAUAAAUGAGUCAAAGUUGCUGAGUUUGAGGUGGACUGGUCAAAGAGACCCUUGGACUACUGUCCAGGUUCAUUCUGGUCGUUCUGGUCCAUGGUGGUAAGGAUCAAGACGUGGGCUUGACGAUCCGUACGGUCCAAAUUCGCGAGAACUGAAGACCACCGGUUUUGUAAAUUGCAUAACUCUUUCAUCUGAACUCCAUUUGAUCUGAUUCUUGUUCGAGGAGUUCUGUAAUUGAGUUGAGAACAUUAUCCAAGUGAUUUCAUGCGUAGAAGCCUCGAAGUUUGGAAGAUAUGAGUCAAACAAUGAACAUAUAUCUUUACUGCUUCCAUGCUGGUUGGCUUCAAUGGACUGAUCCACGAACCGGGGCACAUCACCAACAGAACCGGAGAAGGUAGGAAGGUCUCACCUACUCGACCCGAGAAAACGAAACCACCUACGCCGGAAAACUCCUCACCAACCCGAGGCAAGACACCAAGCCACCGAAUCUAGAGAGAGGAGACACCCACACACGACCACGCGCUCCCACCGCCACAGAGGAAACAGAUCUAGAAAUUGAAAACCUAGAUCUACUCCACUCCGUAACCCAAAAGCCGACUUCACCGCCAGUACACCCAAGAAUCAACCUCGUCACGACACCACCACUCCGCCAAGAGAUACCUGAAGGUCAGUCACCGAGGUAGAGAUUCCUCCGUUUCUGCUCAGCUUCAUCACAACAGGGCCGGAAACAUAUCAGCAGGGAAGGAUGGACCAGUGAGGAAGCAAGAGAUAGAAAGGGAAAAAGAAAACAAGAUGCCUCCGGCGGCGGAGAACCACCGGAGCAACCGGAGGAAAGAUGAGCUUUUUCUUUUUCUUUUUGAGAGAGUUUGGAGAGAGAAAGAGGAGUUUUUUUUUGGUCUGGUUUUAAAAACUAAAUCGAACCAAAUUCUGAACCAAACAAAUAACUAUCCACUAAACAUUAUUUAGAAAAUGAUUUUUUUAAGUUUUGUGUGUCAUUGCAUUCAUUUUGAAAAAAGAAAAUGUUAUAUAGGUUACUUAAAGAGAUAUAAUAUGGCUUCCUUCUAUCAUGACAUGCACAAAUUUAAUGAUAAAACUUUGAUUUUUGGUAAGAUUCUUAAGCUAAGAUAGUUAGAUAAUUUGAUUGCAUCCCAUAAAUGUAGAUUAUAUUUAUAGUUAUUAUUAAAAUUCUAAAAAAAUAAUAUAACUUUAAAUAUCAUUUUUUAAUAAAGUGAAUUUAUGAUAAAAGAAGUAAGUAAUUUCGUAUAAUUAUUUAUAUUCAUGAAAUUAUUAAAUAAUUUUAACAAAUAAACUAUGACAAUUUUAAUUAAAAUUUAAAUUUUAUGAAUAAUUAAAUAUUUAAGUAAUAUUUGGAUCCAAAGGUAUUAAUGAGUUUUUAAUGUAUUAAAUUUAGUUGGAUUUAAAUGUUAUAUAAUAAUUGUUGUGUGGUGAUUAUUGAUUUAUUGACAUAAAUAAAAUAAAUCAAUUUUUUAGAUGUGAUAGAAUUUAAACAAAAAAUAUGCUCAGAACUAUAGUCUUAAAUAUAUAAACUAAGAUAGAUGAAAUUGUUCAUUUUAAUUUAAUUUUACUUAACUAAACCAAAAAUUAAACUAAAUAUUGUUAAGUCAAAUGGAAAAAUAAAUAAUAACUAACUAUUUAUGUUUUUAUUCUUUAUUUUUAAAUGGAAAAUUUCCACAAAUAUCAUAUUCAUAGUAUCACUUUUCAUAUUAAUUUUACUUAACUAAACCAAAGACAUCUAUAAUUAUAGGGUUAACAAAUCUGGACUUAUGGUUUGGAGUUGGGAUGGGGUAGAGUUUUUGCAAUGUGAAAUUUAUGAUUUUAAUAAAUAUAUAAAUAAAUACUUAAAAAUAUAUAUUAUUUUUUAAGAAAAUAGUUUCAUCAAAAAUUAUAAAAAGUAUAAUACGAAAAACAUAAAAAAAAUGAUUUUUAUUUAUUUAUUAAAGAAAAAUUUAUUAUAUAUAUAUAGAGAGAGAACAAAUGUAUAAGAUUUUUUUGUCACUUAACGAAGAAAGUAUUUUUGAAAAUAUAUGUUUAGUGGUGGUAAACAUGAAUAAUGAUACCAUGAAAAUGGUAAACAUGAAAUUCUCUUUUUUUUUAAUUAAUAAAAUGAAAUUGUAUUUAUACGUAUAAUUAUUUUGAAAGAUUUAUUUCUGUGUGCAGCACAUGAAACAUUAGUUAUGAAAAUGAGUUAAAAGUCAUAUGUAUCAAACUUACUUUUUGGGUUUUCUAAAAAAAAAUCCUCAAUAUAAUUUCUUUUUGCGACUUAAUCCAUGAAAUCAAAAACUGGUCAAUACACGAACUCACGAAGUAACAUUCAUAGGACAUCUGUGUAUUGAUGACAAAACUGUAUAUCGUUUUUUUUUUUCUCAAGACAUUAGAUUUUAUCAUGAAUCUAUCAACCUAGCAUACAGAUUCUCAAUUCUCAAAGACAUCCAAAUCAGAUCAAUAUAACCUAUCAUACGGAUUAGCUAUUUUUAGACAAAAGUACGUAACUUAGAGAUUUUAAACCGUCACCACCAAAACAUCUGACUAGAGAUGUCAAAGCAGACCGGGCAACCCGCGAAUUAUGUUCAAGUAGCCCAAUAGCGGGGCGGUUUGGACAUGUAUAUACAAAUCGCAACUCGCGGCGGGUCAACACGCACGGACUAAAAUAAAAUCGAAUCCGUUGCGGGUUGGACUACUUGAACCCUAGUUCGUCCACUUAACAUUAUUAAAAUUAAGAGUGAUAAAAUAUAAAGCUUAUGAAUAACUUGAGAUACAAUUUUCUUCCUAAACAUUUUAUUCUCUAUUACAAAAUAGUUGACCCAUUUAAAAUAUAAAUGAACAAAAAUAGAAAAAACAAGAGCAAACAAACAAUUAAAGAAAAUCGCAUUUUACAUUUGCACAGCAUAAAUGAGGUUUAUGUUAUGUUUAUGUUAGCAACUUUAAAAUCCAAUUAUUAAAACAAACACAAAAAAGUGAAUCUUUUAUAUCUCAACACUUUUAACUUUCACUUGCUUUGUCUUUAACAUAUAUCAAUACUAUUAAAAAAGAAGGAGUCCUAAAAAACCUAUCUAUGAAAAUUAUUUGGACCUUUUCAUUUUUUAGUCCAACCUAUAAUAUAAAACUAAAUAUCAUAACAUGUCUUUAUUAUAGCAAUAACUUAUUACAUUUUAAUAAAUAACCCACGAUUUCCAACAAUUAUUAUAACGACAAUUGUUAUACUUUUACAUUUUAGCAACCCACAUUAUUUUAAUCACACGAAUGUACAAGAUAUCUUGACUUUUAAAAAGUUUAAUUUAAAAUUUUGACUUUAAAAAUUUGAUUUAAAAUAUAUCAGAUGUUUCAUAUGUUAGUUUAGUUAUACCAAUUAAUAUUUCUACAUUAUAUCAAAGGAGAUAAAAUGUUUCGAAACAUAGGGUUCAUGUUUGGAUUUGCAGGUCUAGGUUCUUCAGAUCCUAAACGUUGACAUAACUAAAUAUUUUAAAAUCUAUAGUUUAAGUUAGGGUCGGUUCUUUUUGGUUUCGGAUUGGUUCGGAUUCAUAAUUUAAAUAUCUGUAGAAUAAAUUUAAUUUUUUAAUACAUAACAUGUUCAGAUUGGUUUGGGUAUUAGAAUCCAAAAAAACACGAAGUACCCAAAACACAAAAAAGACUUGAAACACAAAAGUACCUGAAAUCCAAACAAACACCUGAAAAAUAUGCAUAUACUCAAAAGAUCCAAAAUAUUUUCCGUAAACCUAAUCCGGAGAGCCGAAAACAUCCAAAAUUUUACCAACCCAAAAUAUAUUUUUCUAGAAGUGAAAUUUUACCCAUAACCCCAAACUAUAACCGAAAACCCGAACCAGAAAUUUAAAAAUAUCUGUAAUGCCGAAAACAUAUAUGAAAUACCCAAACAUACCUAAUAUAUAUACACAAAUCAUUCCAUGUACUUUGUGUACCCGAUCGAGUCUCGGAUAGGCUUGUUAUCUCUUGUUCAUCUUCUUUUUGAGAGAUUUACAUUGAAAGACACUUUAUGAGUUAUCUUUACACUAAAAGACACAAUAUUGUUUUGACACACUUUACAGUGACAACUGUUUUAUUGAUAACGAAAAUAACCUUGCUUUUUGCUUUAGACAAGAAUGUUUUUUUUAAGAAGACAACGUAAUGAAACUUAGUUAGUGUUUGGUUGCAUUUAAUAAUAAAGUUGUGAACCAUAAAGGUAGCUAUAUGGGUUUCUGUGAAUGGUUUGUAGACGUGAGAUCAAUUUAAAGACAGAACAUCUAACGGCUACAAAAAGUAUGCCUUUUAGAGUGUAAUUAAUGGGUUUCGAAGGUUGAUAAAGUAGGUGAGUCACAGUUAGAAGAGAUAUGGCCAGGCGAAGUUUGGUUAGCAGAUAUAUAUUCAGACCCUAGUUGUACGGGGAGUAUUGUGGUCAGGUGAUGAAUGGAUGGGAGGUGUGUGGUCACUCGAUGUGUGGACGGAUGUUGUGUGGUUGGGCGAUGAGAUGUGGUUGGGCGAUGGGAUGUGGUCAGAGGAGUUGUAAAGUGGUGGUGGAGAGAUGUAAGGAGGGUUCCGGAAUGGGGAAUCAAGAAUGGGAGCAUGCCUUUUAGGGUGUAACUAAUGGGUUACGAAGGUUGAGAAAGUAAGUGAGUCAUGGUCAGAAGAGAUAUGAUAAGACGAGAGUAUUGUGGUCAGGUGAUGAGUGGAUGGGAGGUGUAUGGUCACUCAAAGUGUGGACGGGUGUUGUGUGGUCAGACGAUGAGAUGUGGUCAUACGAGUUGUGAAGUGGUGGUGGAGAGACGCAAGGGGCAUUCCGGAGUGGGAAAUCAAGAAUGGGUGUCACAUGCGUUUUGUUAUGAUCAUUGCUGAGAGGGACAUAUUGCUGGAUCCCAUAUAGGCUGACUGCAGCAGGAUAUUAGGCCGUGAAUAAUUUUUCACACAUGAAAAUCUAUCAGUUGCGAAAAGCCUCUCGGGGGAGAUGGUGGUCUUUUCUGUUCUCUGCAAAUUGUAUAAACAAGAGGGAGAGAGUUGGCGUUAAGGCAGAGAACACAAACGAGAAGAAGUUGUUGUUUUUCAAUCAAAAAACGAACUUUCCAUGUCGAAUAUUACCUGUGAAACCCAGCGGCGGAAUAUGAUGCAAUAGUUCGGAAGAUCAAAAUAGAGGAAGAGAGAAAGGGAUUAGAUUUCGUAAAGAUUGUGAGAGUUUGCUGGAUUUUGUGAUUUAGAUCCACACUUUUCUAGAGUUUCUAAUUUAUAGAUCAAGAAAAAGAGAAAAAGAAAAAGCAUAGAUAAUGAUUAGGGUUCGUCAAUAAUGGGAGAUGUUCGAAUUUGGGAAUUACAAUCUAUUGUUUAAAGAAAAAAAAACAAUAAAGAGGGGAGUUUGCCCAAGUUUGUCUCGUUGGUUUAUUUCCUAAGAUUCCAUCUUUUUUUUUUGUUUUGAUCAAAUCCUAAGAUUCCAUCUCUAGUUACAAGUACAAAGUGUAAUGAAACCUGAUUUCACACUAGUUAAGGGGUUUAUUGGUCAAUUUAACAUGUGAAAGUGCUCUCUAGAUCCAAUGUGUCUCUGUGGGUAAUUGAAAACAUGAAAUGUGUUUGCUAGCGUAAAUUUUUCCUUCCUUUUCUCUUUCUCUUUCUCUUUUUUUAUCCUCAUAUUUUUCUUUGCUUUUUUUUUCCUUCUUGAUUUUAAAACUUUAACUAAUUUCUCAAAGACUCAAUUUUUAUAUUUAUUUUAUCAAAUAUUAUAAAAUCAUAAUAAAAGCUAUUCUUUUGUUAACAAAUGAACUAUCUUGUGAUGAACGAGAAUUUUCUCACCAAGAUAUGAUUCCUUGCAGCAAAAACACGAACGAUGAUGCUAGUGUGUGGUAUCUCGGAUAGGAAGCUCAUCAAAACCAAAAACCUCAAGAUCAGUAUUUUAAAGAUUUUUGAGAAUUGCACUUUGUAGGUUACAACAAAACAAACUAUCCACGACUGCUCCAUCGAUGAGGAAUAUGCUCCAUUUUGCAGGGUUUGUCCAUCCACGCAUUUCUCAUCCCCGAUUCCAUCCCCAUGAAUCCAUCCGCAUGAACCCGUCCAUAAAAAAUUAUCCACACUUCCUUUUCUUGUUCGAAUUUGAUAAAUGGGAUAGACAUUUAACAUAUAGAAGAACUGUGUGGAUGGGCAAAUCCUGCCAAAUCCCUGCAAAUCACAAUGUCUCCCAGAGUGUAAAUGCUCUCUAUUGAUAGACAUAACAGUAUCAACAUUGGUAGUACCCUUUUAUGUCUCACAAAUAAUAUUUUUUUAUUAUUGAUUUGAGUGACAAAUCUUAAAAACAACUAACAAAAUUCUUAGGCCAGCUCUCUGCAUAGAACAUGUUCUUUCCAUUUUCUUCCUUCUCUCUUACUCUAUUCAUUUAUUUCCUUAUAUAAUUGGUAGAGCAGCUCUAAUUUACAACCAAUGUGGAUGCCCUAAUGAUUUUUAAGUUAUUAUUUUCUCACAACGCAAAAGCUAUAAGUGGUGCAUUCUAUCACACGUUGUCAAUCUACAAAAUAUGCUUUUUAAUGAUUGAUCGGUGCUUGCCUGAUGGAUUAGUGGGGUAGAUUGUGUUAUGUGAAAUCCUAUGUACAUCCAUAUGUCAUGCAAUACUAGAUGAAUUUACUGAAAAUUUAUCCCAACAAUCUACAAUUUUCUAAGAUUCACUAUUGGUUUUGAAAAAUUAGAUAUUUAAAAACUUGAAAAAGAUUUGGAUAAUGUAAUUAUGGAUCUGUCGAAAACAAAUUUGGCUUAAAUAUCUAGAUCUAGAUCAUUUGUAUAUACUAAUUUUUUUAUAUUUUAUUAAUAAUUGAUAUACUAAAAUUAGAGAAAUUUCCUAGGAUAGCAAUUUUUAAGUUUUUGUCACAAAAAUAGCACUCGACGAAGAAAAUGACCAAAAUAAGUUUUAUUAAAGGAUAAAAAUGUAUUUUUACCCUAGGUUAACUAAUCUAGACUUAGGGUUUAGAGUUAAGGGGUGAGGUUUUGGAAAGAGGUUUUCAAUUGAAAAAAAUAAAAAAUAAAUAUUAAAAUUUUCAAAAUAAAAAUAGACUAUUUUGGUCAUUUUUUUUCUUGAGUGCUAUUUUUGGCUAUUUUUGUGACAAAAACUUAAAAAUAGUUAUUUGAGAGAUUUGCCCCUAAAAUUAUAUAGCAAGCUAGUUAUAUAUCAUUUUUAUAAUAUUUUAAUUUCGUAUUGUAUAAUAUAUAUUUUAAGAUAUUCAAAUAUAUGGGAAUAUCUUCUCUAUUAAAAGAGAAGUACCAUUUUUAUCUACUAUAAAAUAGUCAUAUUAGGUCCAUUUAUUCAGUUAUAUUUUUUAUUAUUUACAUUAGUUUAUUUAAUAUAUAACAUUUCCAAAAAAAAAUCUAAAUAACUAUAAGGAUAUUAAUAACAAAUAUAUUUUAACUUUAAAUUUAAAUUUUAGUUUUAGUAAUAACAAAAUCUGUUGAAAAUAAUCUAACAAAAUCUUUUUUAAAAUGAAAUAUUUUUUAAUUAAUGGAUUGAUUAAUUUCAAAAUCAGUAGUAUAAUAUUAUUAUAAAUUUUAUUUUAAACAAAAUAAAAUAAAAUUAUAAAAUAAUUUUAUAAGUAUAGUCUAUAUUAUAUUAAAUAGAAGUAAUAAAUGAUUUACAUUUGAAAAUUAUAUUAAAUUGGUAAACUAAUAUUUUUUGAAAACAUACUUUCAUUUAAAUAAAUAAAAAAAAUAUCAUUCACCAUUUAAAGUGAGUAAAAUAUUAUUCACCCUUUAAAAGGAUUAAAAUUCGUAAAUUCUGUAAUAAUUUUAUAAAAAAAAAAAAUUAUUAACAUAUGUUAAACUUUUAUAUUUAAACUAUAUAUUAUCUUAAAAAAGGUUGAAAACAAUAUAUAUUACCUAUUUUUUUUAAAUGACAGCAAAAUAUUAUAUAAAAUAUCAUAUGCAAAAUAUAACAUAAAAUUAUAUAUGGGCAAUUCUCCUAAAUAUAUAAUUUUUAAGUUUUGAUCACAAAAAUAGAUCACAAGGAGGAAAAUGACCAUAAUGUUUCAUUUAAUAGGUAAAAAGACCAUAAUACCCUAGAUAUAAAAAAAAAUAAAAAACAAUAAAAAAUAAUUAUUUUUUUAUAGUUUUAGAUUAUAUGUUUUCAAAUUCGAACUUUUUUAUAAUUUUUUUUAUAUAAUUUUUUUAUAAUUUUUUUUUCAAUUUUUUUUUGUAAUUCGAAAAUAAUUUUAGAAACUAUUUUUAAAAUUUUUAUUUUCAAACUUUUAAUAUUUAUUUUUUAUGUUAUAAAAUUUUAAAUAUCAAUCCCAAAUCUCCGUCCUUUAACGGAUUAGUUAACACUAGGGGUAUAAGUGUAUAUAUAAUUUACCUCUUUAAUGAAACAUUUUGGUCAUUUUGAUUCUUAGAGUUUAUAUUUGUGACAUAAACAUUUUUAGUGCUAUUGUAGAGUAUUUAUCAUUUAUAUUUAUAAAAUGAAAGGUUAUCUGUGCGUGGAUGCGCGGUUCAAAAUCUAGUUUUAGUAUCUUAGAUAAGCAAGCAUUAGGAGAAAAAUAAGUAACCAAAAAAAAGAGAGAGAAAGACAAACGAGGCCGUUUUAAAUUCGAGAGUAGCUAUUUCUUUUCUCAGAAUAUUUGGUAAAUUCUUCCAAUUUAAUUUUACGGUUCCACAUGAUGAACCCAAAAGAACAAUAACAAGAUCAUCAGAUCCUUUGUGAAGUUCAGUUGCGAAAAUGAAAAAUCUGAGCAGCGAAAGAUCCACCUCAUUCUCCCUCUAGAUUGAGCUCCAUCGAAGCGUAAUUUCAUCAGAUCUCAUUUGAAUCAGAUUCACAUGGCAGGAGCUGCUUCUGCGCUGUUUCUGCUGGACAUCAAAGGUCGCGUUCUCGUCUGGCGUGACUACCGCGGCGACGUCUCCGCGGCUCAAGCCGAACGCUUCUUCUCUAAGCUCAUCGAGAAAGAGGUUUCGUUUUCUGAUUUUGUUGCCUUGUGUAUAGUUUCUGUAGAAUCGGAAAAAUGUUGAAUUCAUCUGUGAGGUUAAGAAGAUUAUUUAGAAUGAUAGGUUUGUUGAUUGGAUUAGAGUAUUCAUUUCUCAAUAUGUUGUGUGUCAGGGUGAUUCACAGUCAAAUGAUCCAGUUGCUUACGAUAAUGGGGUCACUUACAUGUUUGUCCAACACAGUAACGUUUACCUUAUGAUAGCCUCCAGACAGAACUGCAAUGCUGCCAGUCUUCUCUCCUUCCUUCACCGCGUCAUUGAUGUAAGUUAAUUCUCCAGCUUUUAAGGCGUACAUUCACAUAAUUGUAAUGCUGUUACAUAUGAUAGAAGUGGUGAUAUGAUCUAUAUAGGUCUUCAAGCAUUACUUUGAGGAGUUAGAGGAAGAAUCACUUAGGGAUAACUUUGUCGUUGUGGUAUGUUUACUUCUUCCGUAUCUCUUUUACCACUACUAUUUUGGCUAUUUAUUGAAAUUGAUUUAUGGUGAUUGGCAGUAUGAGUUACUUGAUGAGAUGAUGGACUUUGGGUACCCUCAGUUUACCGAAGCAAGAAUCCUCAGUGAGUUCAUCAAGACUGAUGCAUAUAGAAUGGAAGUCACACAGAGACCUCCAAUGGCUGUCACUAAUGCUGUCUCCUGGAGGAGUGAUGGAUUACAGUACAAGAAGAACGAAGUGAGUGCUUUUGUUUUCAAGAGAGGAACAUUUUGUUAUCCAUCUGCUGUGUUUUUUUUUGGUUUUGCAAAUGAUUACAGCCUCUCUGCUCUUUAUUUCUCCAGGUUUUCUUGGAUGUAAUUGAGAAUGUAAAUAUUCUUGUCAACAGUAAUGGGCAAAUUAUCAGGUCUGAUGUUGUUGGAGCCCUCAAGAUGCGAACUUACUUGACGUAUGUUCCUAAAUCAUUUGAAAUGUCAUCCCCCUUUUGCUUUGAUCUUUGUCUUGCCAUUUUAUCUGACUCUUUUGCUCUUUGAUCCAUUCCAUUGCAGUGGAAUGCCAGAGUGUAAGUUAGGACUGAAUGAUAGAGUAUUGUUGGAAGCGCAGGGGCGAGCAACAAAGGGAAAAGCCAUUGAUUUGGAGGACAUCAAAUUCCAUCAGUAUGAUUUUUAAGCUCCAGUGAUCAUUACCCUUGUAAACGAUUCUAUAUGUAUUCUUUUUCUUCAACGCAGAUGUGUUCGAUUGGCCCGUUUUGAAAAUGAUAGGACGAUAUCUUUCAUACCACCUGAUGGUGCUUUUGAUCUGAUGACAUAUAGACUCAGUACUCAGGUUUGAACUAUGGAAUAUAGCAUGGAUAGGAAUUUUUUCCUCCUCCUCAACAAAUUUUUAUCUCAUGAUAUUAUCUUUUUUCAUACUCCUUGGUUCAGGUGAAACCGCUUAUAUGGGUGGAAGCGCAAAUAGAAAGGCAUUCCAAAAGUCGUGUUGAGAUGCUCGUAAAAGCUAGAAGUCAGUUCAAGGAACGGAGGUAAAUAUAUUUUAUGGCACUAUGUCACUUUUGAUUGUCUCUUUCACUUUAAUGCACAUAUCUUGAUGAUCAGAUUCUUUGAACAUUUGAUUUGAGAAUUUUCUAUUUUGCAGCACCGCAACGAAUGUUGAGAUUGAGUUGCCUGUACCAGCCGAUGCAUCUAACCCCACCGUUAGGACAUCUCUGGGGUCUGCUGCUUAUGCUCCUGAAAAAGAUGCAUUGGUCUGGAAAAUCAAAUCUUUCCCCGGGAACAAGGUACAUGCUUUUUUCCUUGAUCCAGUUGAAACCAUCAGCCAUCUAGUCUCAAUGUUAACCUCUAGAAAAACAAAUAUAGGAGUACAUGUUGAGGGCAGAGUUUCAUCUUCCCAGUAUAACUGCAGAAGAAGCAACACCUGAGCGAAAAGCUCCUAUCCGUGUCAAAUUCGAGAUCCCUUAUUUCACUGUCUCAGGGAUUCAGGUAAGCUAGUUUGUUUCCACAUCUUCUGCAUUUUAAGCACACACCCCAAUGCGUAAACUGCCCUUCCAUAAGUGAUUAAACUUCCAUGUACUAAAUGCUGGUGUGGUGUAGGUUCGGUACCUGAAGAUAAUCGAGAAGAGCGGGUACCAAGCACUUCCAUGGGUGAGAUACAUAACCAUGGCUGGUGAGUACGAACUAAGACUCGUCUAAGGCUCAUUCGCCUUUUAUCCUUUUAUGCCAAUUGUGGUUCCCACAUUCCUCCGGGAAUCAAUGAAACGAAACAAAACAGGACACAAGUAGAGCAAAAUAAACGUUUUGGAACUUUUUUAGCCGAUCAAUGCCUUUUAAUUUUUUUAAUUUGACUUUAGUAGCCAUAUUCAUGUGAAUUUAUCUUUAUGGUGAUUUUUUUACUUUACACAUGGCCCUUUUUUUACUUUACACAUGUUUCCUUCUUUUUUAAUUCCAGCUACAUUCUGUCUGUGUUCUGUUCUUCCAUCAAAAUUGUUAAUUGAUGAUAUUUUGGUUCUUGUCUUUAGGGGGCAUAUGUUACUGUAAUAUAUUGCUCUACCAAGAGCACAGCUUUUAGAGCUUUUACAAAUAGUAAACAAAGAGCCAAUUGAAUUAAUCAAUACAAGCGGGCAUUGGAGAGAUGUGAACUUCUGAGUUCGAUCCAUUCCGCCUAGGUUGGUACGGAAGAAUGCGGUUGAUUGUCUUGAUUCGGCGUUUCACAGACGUGUAGGCAUGAACGUAAGAAGCGGGUUUUUGUAGCUUCGUCUAUCCAUUCCACAGUUUCAAUCCAUUCUUUCACUGUGUAUCUUAUGAUUACUCCAUUUCCACCAUGCUUGCCACUUUGGGAAUCCAGUGGAAGCUUUUUCAGAUUCGGGCAUCUGAUUAUAUCGAUUCUCUUUAGACAUGGAAAAGGUAGGGGAUUCCAGUAGAUAUUCUUCAGCUCUGGUAGAUCACCCAGCAAAAGAAAUUCCAGCCUUCGAAAAGGAACAAUCCCUGAUUUUUCACCACCGUGACGACUUUUCUCUUUGUUUAUCACAUCUUCUAAUUGUUUUGCAAAUUGGACGGAGAGAACUCUAAGAUUUGGAGCGAACAUCAGUAACGUCAACUCCUUCACGCAUUUGCAGUCUAGUAUAAUCACUUUAGAGAGGCUCAAGAAGCAUGAGGUCCUCGGAUUGUCUAGAGGAGAAACUGUUUUGCUUUCCAUGCAUAUCGUUCCCAUCUUUAUCUCAGAGAUACUGCACCAGACAAUGUUGAAUUCACGUAGAUUCUCCAUAGAUAUUGGAAGUGAGAUACCAGAUGAUUCAAGUUGCAUACACCUGAUCGUUAGAUUUCUUGUUGCAGGUGUCAACUUAUGAGAGCUCAAAAAUUGUUCCAAACCUUGUUGAAGAUCGAUCUCUAUGGUUAAAAUUUCUAAAUGUUCCAAGGUUUGCAACUCCUCCAGUAUGUUGCAAUCCAAUGAAAAACCAGCACGAGAUAAAUUCAAUAUCUUCAAGUUGUGCAGACUUGAUAAUAUCCCAUCAAUAUUUGAAAGGUUAUCUGUCUCCUCCAAAUCCAAGUGAAUUAGCUUUUUCAACUCUUGCACACCCCUAGGCAAAUGACGUAUACUUGUAUAUGACAAGUUGAGAUAUUGCAAGGAAACUAGUUGUGAUAUUCCAUCCGGCAGUUCAAACAGAUUUCCAUUAUAUGAUAGAUCCAAAACAGCUAGUCUUGGCAUGGACUUGAAGAAUUCACUCGAGAUAUUUGUCAAAUUUGCUUUUUCUAGGAGCAAUGUUGUGAGCUCGAGAUAUUCCUGACUGCUAGGGAGAUGGUGAAUCUUGUUCUUUAUCAGUGACAUCCUUCUUACAACAUUACAGUUCUCAACCUUUGGCAUUUCACUUAACCCAGCACCUGCACGCACAAUGAAAGCCUCUUUUUGUGCUCCUAAAUCAGAUGCAAUCCAUAAGGCCAUCUCACGAACUACAUCAUGCAUACAUACAUUCUCUGUUCCAUACCAUUUGACAUCCGUUAACAGUGAUGCACGAACAAGACUACCAAUUAUAUCAUAACCCUUGUUCUCAGCUCUUUCUAUACCUCCACUUCCGUCUAUUAUCCCUUCGCAUAUCCAUAAGCUUAUCAAUUUCUCUUUAGGAAUUUUAUCAUCUUCGGGAAAUAAAGUGCAAUAUAGUAAACACGUUUUGACCUGCUCCACCUCAAGAUUAUCAUAGCUAUACUUCAAAAGUGGAAGAAUUUUAUCUUUCAUGCCAGAAAACUCUACGGCAUAUGAAGUCAAGACAUCUAUCGUGUAACACCAUUCUUGUAGCGUCCUCUUGCAUGACAUGGCCUCGCCUACAACAUUAAGUGCCAACGGUAGGCCACAACAUUUCUUAGCAACUUUUCUUGCAAGUUCGGGGAUCCCUGGAUCACUUCUUAAUGUUAUUUGUCCAACCUUCUUUUGGAACAAAUCAUAUGCGUCAUCUUCCGACAAGCAUUUGACUUCCAUUGGUUCUUCAACGCCCAUGUGCGCACAUAUAGCCUUGGAACGGGUUGUGAAUGCCACUUUGCAUCGGUUUUGUGUUGUUGGAAACGGGAUUCCAAUCUCAACUAAAUCCACCUUCUCCCAUAUGUCAUCUAAAAACAACAGGAGUCUCUUUUUCCUUAAGAAAUUGUAUAUAACAUCAGCUUUUUGGCUUUUCUCUUUUUGUUUCCAUUCAUCUCCAUCAAGACCAACCUUCCGAGCGAUCUCACUUUGAAUCUUCUCUACUCGUAACUCUUUAGACACCACAACCCAAAUCACAAAAUCAAAUCCACACGUCAUGCCACUGAACUUAUUGUUGAGUUGUGUGAGAAGAGUUGUUUUCCCUACUCCCCCCAUACCGUACAAACCCAUAAUACCAACUCGAUCUUCCAUGAGAUGAUUCCAUGCGUUCUCCAACAUUUCUUUCUGACCAACAAUUGUUGACUGAAGCUGUCUUUCCUCCACCUCAAAUGUGUGAGCUUGCUCAACGAUCACUUCGAAAACUUUACUAUUCAGUUUUUCAACCUCCCUUAAAUUCAUGGAAACACUUUUGCCAUAACGAUAACUCAAUAUUAAACUCUUAGAGCAAAAACCAAGAAGACAAAGCCUUUGAAGUUGACCAUUUCUAGCACUAAGAAGAUUGUUGGCUUCGUUUUCAAAAGUCUCAACUCUAGUAAGCCAUACCUGGAAUUCAGAAAGCCUUUGUAAACCUCUAUCCUCCUCUCUUGUUACCCUUCUUGAUAAAUCAUCACGCUUAGCCUUGAGCUCUUCCAUGGUUGCCCGCCAGAUUCUUCUCGAGGUUGUGAACAUAACCUACUUGGAUGUCUAGCCAUUGACAUACCUUUUUCAUCGAUUGAUCAGAAGAUAUCGAGAGGGAGACGCAGUUGCCCAUUAUAGAAGAACAUAAAAAAGCAGAUACUUGAAAUUUUACUUAUCUGAGAAAGUCAGAUAUGAUGCAGAGAGAAAUUGAAGACAGAGUGUGUGCAGAUAGUAGUUGAAGAUAGACUUUCCUCUUGGUCCACACGAAACAAGAUAUUUUGAUAUAGUGCUCAUUUGAUUUCAACAAUUAUUGAUUCACAUUCACACUCGUUUCCAGUUAGUAGAUUCACAUUUUUUUUUGAAAAAAUUGCCAAAACACGGCAGAAAAACAACUACAUUGUCUCUCUACCAUAAAUCUUUUUUUGUCAGAUUUGGACUUAGAUACCUCUAGCCAACUUAAAAAAUUCAUAUCAAUUAUUUUAAGAGUCAGAAAAUUAUGAAAAAAAUAUUAAUGUACAUAAACAUGGAAAUCAUAUGAAAAAUAAUUAGGUUGACUAAAUAUUAGUGAAACAUAAUUUCAUAUUUUGAUCUUCAGAUAGCAGAAAACAAAAUCUACUAACUACGGCUAUGUAGAUCGUAGUUUCGGUUAACUACAUAGAUAUCUGGCGCUUACAGAUGUUAAAAUCUACGAUUUGGUAAUCGGUCUACUACCGCAGAAAAAAAGGUUACGGUUUUGCUUACAAUCUGAAACACGAAAGAUUUCAUGAACUAUUGUUUCCUAUAUAUCUAUUGGCUGGGAAGCACAGAAACUGCAAGUUACUAAUAAUCUAUCAUGGAAAUAUUUCGUUAUCUACUAAGAUACUAUAACCUAUCUCUGCCGGAUUAUACAUUCUGCCGUCGUAUCUACCAUCAUAUUACAAUCUACUGGCAGCAGAAUGCAUGUUCUGCCAAAUUCGAAUUAUUUAGGAAAAUAUUCCUUAAAUCUCUCCAAAAUAUGUUGAAAAAUAUUCCGUAAAUCUUUAUUUUCCCAAAUUUUACGUGUUUCCUAAAGUUAUUUUUUUUUUUAAAUGACUGUGAUCUCUCUCUUCUUCUUCACAUGUUCUUGAUUAAUUUUGAAACCACCCCAAAAAUUUGAAUCCAUUGUUGAAGAACAUGCAUAUCUAUGCCUCUUGUGGAGUGUGGAAAUUUGAUCCAUGUAAAGGAUGGAGAUUUGCUUUUGAUAAGGAAAAAGGAUGUACAGUACUGGCUGUGGAAUUGAAAAGUUCCUUUGAAGAUCUAAGGACUACGACUUUUGAGGAUUUUUGAAUUGACCAAAACGAUGUCGUGCUUGAGUUAAGCUACUUACCUAUGGAGUUAAUCAGUACGAUAGACUGUCCCCCAGUUAUCAUUGGGAAUGAUCGGCAAGUCAAGAAUUUUCUUACAUAUGUACGUGGAAAAGCUUCUACAAAGUUGUGUGUGUCUAUUUCACAUGUCAAUGGAAAUAGCGACAACAUUGAGCUUGAUGGGGAGCAAUCUAAAUCGCCUUUCAGAGAGCUAGGUGAGCCUUCCUCGUUUUCACCACGAGAUGGCAUUGGUAGUUCAUCUGAAUCGAGCAAGGAUGUUGAAGACGAAUGUAACUCGAACGCCUCGGAAGAAGAUAAAGAUGUUGACUUAUGUGGAAAAGAAGACGAUAGGGGAAAAAGUGUUUGGUUCUCUUUGAAGGAUGUUGUGAAGAGGGGUGAAACGUUUCAAAACAAAUCAAAGUUGAAAGCAGCAUUGGAAAUGUCAGCAAUGAAGAAUAACUUCGAUUACAAAGUGGUGAAUUCAGAUAGAAAACUUUGGUACAUCCGAUGCGUGGACAACAAGUGUAAGUGGAGUGUUCGUGCUGAGGGGUUAUCGGGAUCCACAUAUUUCAUCAUCAAAAAAUAUGUGGCGAAUCAUACAUGUGCUGCGUCAAGUAUGAAUAAUGGUGGUCGGACAGCUUCUGCAAAAACUAUUGGGAGUCUAAUAAUGCAUAGGUAUGAUGGUGUCAAAGAAGGUCCCAAAGCUAAUGAUAUCAUACAUAUUAUGAGAAUGGAACAUGGAUGUGAGAUAUCUAAAUCAUUAGCGUGGGAUGCUCGUGAGUAUGCAAUUAGUCUGGCUAGAGGCAUUCCCGAGCAGAGUUUUGAAAAAAUUCUGAAAUACUUGCACAUGCUGAAAGAAGCUAAUCCAGGAACACACACCUUUUACGAAACCGAUGUUGAUGGUAAAUUCAGAUUUCUCUUCGUUUCGUUUGGGCAAUCAGUACGAGGUUUUCAUACAGCCAUGCGAAAAGUUCUUGCUGUUGAUGGGACAUUUUUGAAGAGCAAAUACAAAGGGGUAUUGCUUGUUGCGACAAUUUUAGAUGGAAACUCCAACUUGUAUCCUAUUGCAUUUGCGGUUGUGGACUCAGAAAAUGAUCGUUCAUGGGAUUGGUUUUUCAGACAACUAAAGGUUGUUGUUCCGGACGAGCGUGCUCUUGCUUUUGUGUCAGACAGAAAUAACUCACUUUGUAAGGCGCUUGAAAAUGUGUAUCCUCUUUCUCAACAUGGAAUUUGUAUUCACCAUUUGUUGAAUAAUGUGGUCACACAUUACAGAGGAAAGGGAGUUGUUGGAUUGAUUGCAAAAGCUUCUAAAGCUUAUAGAAUUGUUGAUUUUCAGAAGCGAUUCCAAGCUGUGUGCAAUAUUAGUCCAGCUAUUGGAAAAUAUUUAACAGAUGCAGAUGUUACAAAGUGGGCUCGCUGUCAGUUUCAAGGAUACAGGUACGACAUCAAGACGACAAACCCGGCUGAAUCAAUAAACUCUGCUUUGCGCUCACCAAGAGAGUAUCCAGUCAUUCCUUUGUUGGAUAGCAUCAGAGAAAUGCUUACUCAUUGGUUCUUCGAACAACGCACACGAAGCAGGAAGCAGAAAGCACACAAAACCAUUAACUAUUGCCAUCGAGAAAAAGAUAGAUAGACGGAUUAACAAGGGUAAAACGUUUCUUGUCCAGCCAGUUAACGAGCAUCGUUUUUUGGUUUGUGGAGAUACAAUCGACUGCCUGGUUGAUUUGGACAGAAGAACCUGCUCAUGUGGAAAAUACGACCUACUGAAAAGCCCAUGUAGACACGCAAUCAGGGCUGGUUUAACAGUUGGCCGAGCCCCAUCCUCACUAACGGAUGACAUGUACACGACUUUCACUUGGAGAACAGCUUAUCAAGAAACUAUCAAUCCAAUAGGUGUUCCUGAGGAUAGUUUGGGUGGUUCCAGAUACUGUUCGGAAUGCUGAUGUGCUAGCUCCUGAAUCAAGACGAGGAGCAGGAAGGAGAAGAAAACGCAGGUAUGAGACAGUUGAAGACAAGCUCCGUUCAUCGCAAGGAGCUCAAGAAAAAAAGAGGCGCAUGUGCUGUCGAUGUGGCGAAGAGAAUCAUAACAGGGCUACGUGUGACAGAGCCAUUUAGACAUGUCUUUGUUUUGGAUUUUCUUGUUUUUCAAUAUGGUAUUGGUUACUCGAUUUGCUUGGUUUACUUGCUUCUGGAUUUUCUUGUGGUUUACUUGAUUUUAUGCAAUCAUUCCUUGAUUUUCUGCAAUGUUAUCUAUUUGACAGUUAGUUGUAAACUGAAGCUGAUCAAUAGGUUUCUCUGCAACCUUUACUCUUUAAUCAUCAUACUAUAAAUUGAAGCUAGCUUUGAAAUACAUAAAUCAAACAAUAAGUAAUAGAUUGUGAACUGAAGAUGAUUAUAAAACCAACGAUUGUAAACAAGAAUCCAUGGAGUGUAUAUUAGUCGAUCAUAAUGAAAACAAAACAAUACUGCAAACUUAAGAGAUUUUGAACCCAUCAAACUCAGACAACAAGCAACCGAUCACUAGAACUUGCUCAGACACUAAGAGAAGUCCAUAUUCCUACGAUUUCUCCUACAACUACCAUAGCCACCGUCGUUAUCUUUAGCUUCUGUUUCAUAUCCUGUGCAACUCUAGCAAACUCCAAGUCUACCUUCUCUUUAAGCUUUUCGGACAUCUCAUGUUCAACUCUAACCAUCUCGGACUUCACCUUUUCCAUAACCCUUUCUUCAAACAUCGUAAUCCCUUGAGCAACCCUCUCAUGUUUCACAUCCACCAUCCGAAUCUCCUCAAUCAAAGCUUCAUCAAUCCAUUUACAUAGAUGAUUCUCAGUUUUUCUCUAUCGCAAAAGAAACAAAAAUCAGUCAAUAUUGUAUUUUGAACUGUAAAUCUAAGUGAUAUAGUUUGGUUUAAUCUGCAACACGAAAUCGAAACAGGGACUUACAUCUCUUGCGAUUUCGCAUCGGUAGAAUCGUUGAUACCUAUUCUCCGCUGUCGAUGAACCAAACGUGGUUAUGCCCUCGCCACACCAACAUCUUGUAGGUACACCAUGAGUAGAGAUUCGAGGAAAACGAGCAGAAGAUGUUGACGAACUGAUCAUUGUGAUUUCGUUGCUAGAUUCCCAGGAUUCACAGAGAAAGAACCCUAAUCCCCUUUUCUCUCUACUUUACUUUCUUAAGUUUCGACAAAUGAAAAGAAAAUCACGUGUUUGGGGGUGUGUGGAUCCGGGUUUAGGGUCGGGUUUUAAACAUUUUCGGGUGGGCCUAGUGGGUAUAAAUCGUAAUUGGGUUAUACUCUAUAACACUUAUAUUGGCUGCUAAAAUACUACACUCUAAUACACUAAAAUCGACAUCUGAGAACUAUAUGAAGACAAAAUUUGAAAAUACUAAUCUGUAAAACAUAUCUUAGUAAUCAAUUAAAAUCGUCAUGUUACAUACUAUAUUGUAAAUUGUUAAACACAUAAUUCUUAUUUACUCUUGUUAAAUACUACACCCUAUAACAUGAUUUAGGGUAUAGGGUUUGAACCAAAUCGAAUUUAGGGGUUGAUAUCUUGCACAUUUGCAUUGUUUUAACUCUUCAUUCUUGCAUGUUUUGGUCAUUUAGAUUAGGGAUUAUGCAUUUUACUUUCCUUUUUGCAUUGCAUAAGUCUUUAUCAGGUGUUGGAGUGUCCAUUGGAGUUCUUGGAGGUACUUGUAAGCAUUUGGGAUCGAAAAGGGAGUGGAAAGUAUUGUUUGAGCGAGUAGAGCACCGGAGCGGGCAAUGGGAGUGACCUACGACACCCGCUCCAGACGAAACGAAGGCAGCGCGACCUCUUGCAGCGGGGUUCGGCACCCGCUCUGAACCAACACCCCGUCGACAUCUCUCGAGAAUGGGAGCGACCAAAACGGAGCGAGGUCCGCAGCCCGCGCGCAAAAAGAAGAAAUGAAGUUGGUAUUCGGAGCGACGUCCCGCAGCGGGGUGAGGCACCCGCUCCAAGCUCAACCUCUCGUCGACAACUUUCAAGAAGUGGAGCGACCACGGGGAACGAGGACCGCAACCCGCACGCAAAAACGAAGAAACGAAGCUGGCAUUCGGAGCGACGUCUCGCAGCGGGGUGAGGCACCCGCUCUGGAAGCAGAGCGACCUCACACACCCGCGCGCGUUUCUCUUCUUCUGGAAGUAGAGCGACCUGGGGGUUUGAACCGUAAUGAAUUUAGGGGUUUCAACUCUUUUUUAUUUAAAAUGUAAAUUAUAAUAACAACUAACAACAACAAUUAAUCAUGAACUCAAAUAAGUUUGAUAGGGUUCAAACCCUAUACCCUAAAUCACUUAAUAUAUCAUUUUCGAAACAUAAACAAUAAUCAUGAACUGAAAUAGUAGAUCAGUUUUAAAACAAUAACAUUAGUGCAUGAAUUGAAAUGAUAAACCACAAACUAUCAAAGACAACAAUCAUGAACUCAAAAGAGUUCAACCGUUUUUUUCCGGAGCACGCUUUGGAGGCUUAAAUAUGGACAUUCGAUACUGCAAGACCUCAUCAUUUGCUGCAUCCCAAAGAUCAAACGCUAUCUUGUGUCGGGCUUCUUGGAUGUUCUCGUCAUUCACCAAAUAAAUAUCUAAACCAAGCAGAUGGCACUCUAUGAACUUCAACGAAUAAGCACCACAAUCAUUGCCACUCUUGUUUAGGGAGCGCAUCGGGACAUAUGAAACUGUAUACUGUUUGACAUUGAAAUCUUUCUUCUUAUCUGACGACUGGACAACCUUGAUGAUUCGUGGAAUGAGGACGGCGAAUUCUUCCACGGCCCUGUUGUUCUUCUUACCCCCACAAUCGAAGACCUCAAUAGUCCGGUUCACAAGAUUGACGCACAUAGAGAUCCAAUGGAUUUGGUUGACACAAAUAGGGAUGUAGAGACGGUCGACAUCAACACUCCAAACUGAACCUGUGCUUCCAUGAUAUGGAAGCUCACCUCUUCCAUACUCGAGAAGGUUGUUGUCGACUUUGUACACUCUCCUGUUUCCAUCAAACUUGCCGUACGCCGUGAUGAUCUGAUUACUGAACAUACAGUUCAUAAAUUCUACUCGGUUUGGCUUCCACCGACGCAAUGAGGUUUUUUCCCGAAACAAAUACAUCAUGGCGUCCAUGUCCUGAAAAAGACAAUACAAUUUUUUAAGGAAUGAGAACCAACAACAAAAUUCAGUCUGCAAAAUAAUUCUGAGCUAAAAUCACAUAGUUCUUCAACUAUUCAUUAGGCCUCAUUAUACGCAAAGCUAGCUCUGCAUCAAAUUUAGAUGGCCCAAUCUGAAGUACUCUGUAAAGAGAAAGCAGUAGUGUGAAUAUUUAUGAGGAGAAUAGAGAAAAAGAGUAAAUCAAUACAAAUAUUACUUACUUGGGCUUGAGACCUUGUCUUAGCAGCAUUUGCAGGACCACCAGUGUGAGAAGGAACCGAAGCUUUAUUACGAGAAGCUCGACUGCGGGAAGUAGUAGGAGCAGGAGCACUAGCGUGAGUAGACGCCGGAGCAGGAGUACGAGUAGGAGCUUGAGUCAAUGUCGUAGCAGCAGCAUGAGUAGGAGUAUAAGCCGGAGCAGCCCCAUGAGCUUGAGUAGAUGUAGUAGUAGCAGCAGGAGUAGGAGUAUAAGCCGGAGCAGCACCAUGAGCUUGAGUAGAUGUCGUAGCAGCAGCAGGAGUAGGAGUAUAAGCCGGAGCAGCACCAUGAGUCUGAGUAUAAGCCGGAACACCAAUCUGAUCUGAGAUGAAAGGAUCGUCUGCUCUAAUUUGGUAAACCGGUCUUCAAUUAAGUCGCGUACCUCAAGCCCUAAGGCAGUAAAAGAAGACUUAAACAUACCCUGGAUAUAGGACUUCAUUCCCUCUUCAAGAUCUCUGUAUUUGUCAGUUGAUCUUUGGCAAAGUAACCUCUUCUUCCUUGACUCGGCUCCAAUAUCCUGAUAUUGGUUCUUUCUCUUCUUUGCAGGAGACACAUGGGCAUUUUCUAUUUCUUCUUCCAUUCCACAGUCACUUGUUUCUCCAGCCUCUUCUUCCUUUGAACCAUCUUCCUCAGAACUGUACGCAUAUGGUUGUACAGUUUCCUGAUAACCCCAAACAUGCUUACUCCAGUCAUACUUCUUUCUGUACAUGUCAAUGAUCAAAUCGACCCUUUUGUCAUUCAUCUCAUCGUCUCGUUCAAACCCAGCAUCAACAAUGAUAUUGCCAUUUCCAGUUGAAGAGAUGUAUGGAAACACAACUCCCUGCAAAAAAACAAAGUACAAAAGUUAAACACAAACAUUAAGAAUCAUGAAAUGCAAUCACAUUAAUUAAAGGAAUCAGAACUUACAGUGGAUGCAAAAUCAGUCUCAAUGCUAAUAAUAUCCUCAUAGGAAACCUGAGCAGAUCCUUUCCAAUUUCUGCAUCUCAUGCUAGUGACGCCUUCUCUGAGCUUCUCACCCAAAAGAGACCCGAUGUCUGGAAUAGCCUCCAUCAACCAAAUUUGAAGUGCAUACGAGAAUCCAUCUAUGACAUAACUGUUCCGUGUCUUCACUUUAUCCCUAGUUUUGGUAAUGGAAGUCGCAUCAAAAGAAUGAAGACCCCACGGAAAUUUUCUCAUCUUAUCGAAAUCCAUCACCAGCUUGAUGUACUUGUGUGGGAUGGACACCUUCUCAUCCUUCGCCAUAACCAGACCAGCAAUCACACACAAAUACACCAUCCUCAGCCUAUCAACAUGAGACCAUGUAUUACAAGAUUUCAGAUGCACCUUCCUGAUUUUCUGUAGGCUAAUUUUUCCUUUUCUCCGCAGCAACUUACUCCAAAACCCUUUAUCACCUCUCCAGUUAUCAAUAUCCAAGUCAGGCUCGUCGUCUUUAUAUUUCAGACCAGUGAUCGCAUGGAAUUCUUGCAUUGAAAAUCUGAGAGCCCUCCUAGCAAAAUGGAACCACAACUCAUGGCGCUUUGCGGUCAGAAGCUGCUUACAAACGAAGCUGUGGAUCACUCUCCCCGAAUACUUAAGCUUGUGCACAUAAAUGGCCAUAACCUGAGCAAAUAGCGGAUCACCCAACAUUUCCUUGUACUCUGCUUCAACAUACUUCUCCACCUUCUUAAGUAUGGAAGUUCGACAAGUGUUGUUGACCUUCUCAACUUGUGUUUCCGUUCCCUGUUUGAAUAGGGUUUUUGGCAACUGAUCCAUCGUCAUACCUGUGAACAAUGAAACAAAUAAAAUCACCACAGUCAGUACUCAUAAAACAAAGUCAUCAUAAUACAAGUUCAUAAUACUUAAGCAUCAAGCGCAAGGUUAACAAAAACAUUAAAAGAAUUAAACUUUGAUAAAUUCCGACACCUAAAUCAUUAACACUAACUAUCUCAACUAAAGUCGAUACAUAUCAAACGCAAACUAUGAUAAUGAAACACAGAAAUUUUAAAAAGAAAGACAUGAAAAUUAAGUCACAAGUUCUUAUACAAACCUGAAAAGCUCGAGGUUUCUGAAAACAAUGCACAAGGAAACAAAUACAAUCACAACAGUCAAUAUUCAUGCUACUUUUAAUCAUAAAACAAUCGUCCAAAGACAGGCAUACUAGUGUAAACAAAUCAAACAAAAUCACCUAAGACAUACAAAAAUGCAAACCACAUACUUUACAUGCUUUAUAGAUGUCAAUACCCAAUCAAAUACGAAUCCAUUCUCCCUCAAUGUCACGAGAAACAACUACAGGUACAAGAGAUCGGUUGCCACAAACCAACAAAAUCAUUCACAGAAACUAAAAUCGAAACCUAUGACAGUCAAACUAUGAUUAAAAAAAGACUCAAGUAAAAGAUACAAAGACAUGCAAAAAAAAAAAUUCACAAACAAACCUGAAAAGUAUCGAUUGAUUUGCUUGAAAUAGAGCUGAGAGAGUAUAUUCCAGAUCGGAGAGGCACGAGCUUCAGUUAUCGGUGAGGUACGAGCUUCAGUUAUCGGUGAGGUACGAGCUUCAAUGGUGUUCGGCGAGUUACUUGAGAACGAGAUGUGAAGUGAGACGUGGUCUCGAUACUGCGAUUAAGAAGAAGAAGAACACCACCGGAGUCCUAGCGGGCAGAAGGAGCACCGGCGACGGCGAGCUCUGACACGCCGAUGACUUGAAAUCUUCUUUUGUUCUCUAUCGCCAAAGGAGGAGGCGAAAUUAGGGUUCUAAGUCACGAUUUGGGAUUAUCCCCUUUUGUUUAUUUACUAUCUGUUUUUUUUUUUACUUUUAACUUUUUUUUAACUAUUAAUUUUACAAAAAACGUUUUAGGAUUAGAUUAGAGACUUAAUUGGGUUUACAUAAAAAAAUAUGCUAAGUGGACAACUUCUUGUUCAUAUUAUGGCAUAUGGACAAUCUAUUAGUUUUUUUGUUGUAUAUUUCCAAUAUUUCCUUUUUUUUAUAUAUAUCUAAAUCCACGCUUAGUCUAAGAUGUCCAGACAUCAUUUCUAAUGUAUCUUGCUAUUUUCCUUUAAAAUAGAAGAUAUUGAAAUGAAUUUUGUUCCGGUGUAUUCUUGUAAACAGUGUUAUUGCACAUUUAAACUAAAAAUAGAGAAAAUAAUAGAGACAAAAAAAAUAGCAAUUUGUAUUUUAUAGGAAGAUGUUUUAAUAACAUCACGAUCUGACCUUCUUGGUUUUAUUAUCUGUGUCAACAAAUUUUGUUAUAAGUUUUUAUUUGAUUUUUUGUGGUAAAGCAGAGUUUGUGAUAUACAAAGUAAAGAAGAUGAAAAUAAUGGAUAAGGAUGUUAAUCCAAUCGCUAAUCAAUUUGCCAAGCUUGAUCCAACCUAUAGUGGAAGGAUUACUCUUAAAUCUCUUGGAAACCAAAUGGAGCAAUUCUUUUAUAAUAUUUUCAUUAUUGAUCGAACAAGCUUGUGUAGAGAAGUUUCAAAUGACACUUCAGUCGAACAUAUACUUGUAGUAUAUGUAAAUUGAUUUUCAUUUAAUGAUUGGGAGUUGGUAUGAAAUAUGUCUUGAGACUAUUUUUUUUUUUUUUCUUUUUUUGCUAAAUAAUGUCUUGAGACUUGAGGUCUCUAUGUAGAUGUUAAUUAGAAAAACAAUACUUAUGUUUAUCCCUAUUGAAUGGUUAAAUUCACUUCACUAUUUAUAACUUACCAAAUUGUCAUAUAGAAUUAAUUGAAAAAAAUAAUAAAAUUGAAAAAUAAAUAGCUGAGAAAAACAACACCGAUGUUAAAGCCGUCUGCAAAACCCGGAACUCUAAAAAUAAAAAAUCUAAACCCAAAACCUAAACUUUAAACCUCAAAUCCUAAACCCUAAACCCUAAACUCUAAAUCCUAAAUUCUAAACCCAAAAUCUUAAACCCUAAACCCUAAACUCUAAACCCAAAAUCUUAAACCCUAAACCCAAAACACAACCCUAAACCCAUCACUUGAUUAGGGUUGGGGUUUAUGGUUUAGAGUUUUGGGUUUAGGGUUUAGGAUUGAUGGUUUAGAGUUUUGGGUUUAGAGCUUAGGAUUUUGGGUUUAUAGUUUAGGAUUUAGGGUUUAUGGUUUAGAGUUUCGGGUUUUAGGUUUAGGAAUUAAAGUUUAUACUUUAGGAUUUGAGGUUUAUGGUUUAGAUUUUAAAUUUUUAGAAUUUCGGGUUUUUUUUCAGCCAUUUUUUUAAAUUUUAUUGUUUUUUUAAACUAAUCCGGCACUUUGAUUGGUUAUAAAAGGUGAACCGAAUUUAACCAUUCACCCAUAGGGGUGAACCAAGUAUUGUUCUAAUUAUAAGAAUAUGUAGAUUAAAAAAAAAGAAACGUUAUUUAAAGUAUGUCUUUUGUAUCCAUAUCCAUAUAAAAUAAACGUUAUCUUACUCCUAACUUGGUCAAAAGGCAAACCAUCAACGCCACCAAGUGAUUGAAACAACUUUAAAAGAUCACCACAUCCCGAGGACAAACCGUUGAACGGAUGCUCAAACGGUUCAAACGUAGCCUUCUCCGCAGCAGGCGACUCAACCACCAAAGGCAGCUCAACAUCAGAGCUCGCAACUUUGCGAGAUUUCGAAGCCGGCGCGUCCUUGGAUGAACGACCAGCAGCAACUCUUUUCUUCACAACCUUCUCACUGCCAGCAACAACAACUUCCUUUCCAGAAACACCAGCGGGCGGGACAGGAGCUGUCGUGCUAGUGAGACCCAUAACAAUACUACAAGCAGAUGCCGAAAGUUCCACACCGGUGGUACCAGACUCAACAACAGAAGUAUCGGCACUGCCUCCAGCAAAACAGUCAACCAAACUCGGAAUCUCGCUCAAAUCCAUUUUCUCCAACAAGCUAUAUUCGUAAAAAGAAAACCAUACAAAAUCAGUGACUUUUUAGAGCCAAGAUCAAGCAAUCAAAGGCAUUUAACCAAAAAAAAAAAAAAAAAGAGAGAAGAAAGAGUGCAUAUUUUCAACCUGAGUCAAUAAACGGGAUGCACUGCCAAACCUCCGACCGCCUCACCUCAGUCCAAUCCCAAGCCCUCGUCGCCUUGAAGUAUUCCACACACUCACUAUCACCCGGAGCAAGAGGAACACCAACUAAGUGACGACCUACAAAACAAGACAACAGUCGAUAAGAUUUUUUUUUUUUUUUUUUAAAUACACCUAUAAGAAUUAAACUACAAUUGUGAGGAUUCCAACUACUCCUAAAAGGGGCACUCAUAUCAGAAACAUCAGGAACCAACGAAGGUGCAAUUCGAACAUAAAAAAAAUUCUUAAUCCAACAUAAAGUUUUUCUCUUCCUCUCCCCUACAACACCACAGCCAGUCUUCAUAGACACAUAAAAAGCCCCGUCGGUCUUGUCACACCGAGUAAUAUGCGCUAUACGUUCAAACAAACAUAGGCUCAUGUGAACACCAAUAUCCGCGGCCGUGAACAGAGCCAAAACUAUAUUUCGAAUUGCAGCAGGAGUAAGUUGAGCCAGUGCAAUAAGAUGAUCAUCACAAUACGCCAGCAGCAACCUCGGGAGGGGAAACCACAAAUGAUACUCGGUGAUCCAAAAGUCAUAAAUACAAGGCCACCCAUCCGGAACCGUCCACGGAUGUUCAUCCUCACCAGGAAUACGCGCUUCUAUGACACCAUUACGACAACAGUUGGCUGAGAUCCACUUGAUUAUAUCAUCAUCAACAAUAGAAGGAAAUGACUCCGAUUGAUCCGGAUGAUUAACAAGAGGACCUAUGAAACUCCUAGGCCUUUCCCUCGCCUUCCUAACCCUCGUUUUCUUCUUCUUCACAUAGCCACAAGGAUCACCAAAGGCAUCAAGCGAAUCAGCAAGGGAGGCAGCCACGCUUUCUUGUUUUAUUUUUCUCAAAAUAUCGAUAACGUCGCCUCGACGAUCACUGCCUCCAUCGGCAUCAUCCCUCCCAUCGCCUACAACAGCGAUUCCUAGACUACCACUAAAACCGCUUUGCUCACCACUAAAACUAUCCUGCUCAUCACUAAAAUCAUCACGCUCACCACUAAAAUCACUGCGUUCAUCAAAACCAUCUCGGUCACCCAUCUCAUCAUCUCCAACAGCAUCAUAAUUACCGUUACUAGCAAACUUGUCUUGCUCACUUUCCUCACCAACAUUAACGUCACCGGUUCCAUUCUGCUCAUCAUCGGCGCUUCCCAGAGCACCACCAUCUUCAACAUCAACGUUUUCGACAUCAUCAUCUCGUCUAUCAUCUCUAGCAGCAUUAUCAGAUUCACUAUCAGCACCAUCCGCAGAUUCCUCACUAUGAGAACUCGAGUACGAACUACCAUCAGAGGAACUCGUAGUUUCCGACGACUACUCUCUCGCUUGAGAGGAUUUCGCCAACUGCACUACAAAAAAUAUGAGUAUUGGUAGCAGUUCACCGUAGCACGAAUUCACGAAGUGCUACUAAUACAGUCAAAAUUGGAUCAUAAUUCUAUGGUAGCACUAAAUUCGUGCUAGCAAAGAUUUUCAUUAAGCUGAGACCCAAAAAUGACUUUUAUAGCGGGAUAUUUAUGUUGGAGCCAAAACACUUAGCGAAAUUUUCUGAUUUUGGCGGAUCUACACUUUUUUUUUUUGCUAAAGUCAUUUUUUCAUUCAUCACCCACAAAAAAAAAAAAUUUGUUCUCAUCAAUCUCUCAUCGAUCUUCUGUUCUUUCUAUUUUCAGAUCUCAUCUCCCCUCUGUUCUUAAUCAUCUGUCUCUCUAUCUUACUCUCCUAACCUCACUCACACCCACACGAUUUCUCAACACAGACAUCUCUCUCUGUAAUUUCACUCUCCUAGUCUCGUCUUCAUCUUGUUCGAGCACUGGUAUGUUGCAGAAAGUUCGACGAAUUCGACGGAUCUAACCGCGCUCGCACCGGAUUCGUGAGCCGUCUCGAAGUUCCCAAAGUAUCCGACUGUAACAGUCGUAAUCUCUCUCUCUCUCUCGUCCCUUUUCUCUCGAUAAGCCCUUAAUCGAAGGUCUUUAUUGAUUUGUUAUUUUGCAGAGAGCAAGUAUGAAAAGGUGACCUUGAAGCAUAACCACAAGUUCCUUAUAAAGGUUAAGGAGCACCAAGAAGGCAAAGGAUGCUAAGAAGCUCGGGCUUAACCGUAACCAUGUGUAAUCUCUGUCUCAGAUUGAGAUUGUAGUCAGCUUGACCCUUGACUCAAGCGUAAACCUUUCUCCGGUUUGUAUAAUCUCUGAUUGAGAUUUUAGAUGAAGGGUUUGUUGUUCUGAUUCUAUAACUCUCGAAAGAUCUCUUCUUUUGCUCUCUUGAUUAAGGAUUCGUAGAUUAUUGAACUAUGGAGACUCGGUGAUGGAUAUAAGGAGUUAUUUCUUGAUGCCCCAGACUCGGUGAAGGUAUAUACAUUGAUAACGAGAUGAUUUGUCUUUGAUAUAUUCAAUCAUAUCUUUGCUGUGGGAAUGUUUGUAGUUUACCUGCAGGGUCCAAACAAUCAAGGUCAUUGGCUUGUUAAAUCUAUUCAGUGUGUACUUGAUAUUCUAAAGAAUGCUGAUAGCAAUGCUGAGGUUACUUUGGAGUUUUGACUCCAUUACUCUUUGUUCUGUUUAAUUGAAUUGGCCCUUGUGUUCAGGGAUGCUGGUGUCUCAGCCAUUGCUUCCCACCUUACCCGUUCCAUGGCAGUCAGUACAUCGUUUGGUGGGGACUUCAAGGUAGUUCUUAAACUGAUUUUAUAUUGUGUCUAAAGUCUAUCUUUGCAAGAUUGCUAUUGACAUCAUCACUUUUUGUCGUAUCAGAUUUGGGUUUGCAACAGUGAGAAGAGCAAGAAGGCUAAAGACUCUAGCUGAAUAUGUCAUGCAGUUGGUUCUUAUAUGUAAUAUCUUUAUAAGCAUUAGGAAUCUUAAACAUUCACAACUGAUUCACGGAUGGGAGUAAUGUAUUACACGUUGGGGAGGCUUAUGUAUAUUUUGGUGCACUCUACAGCACUUGAGAUGGUUUAGUUUAUUAAUUAUCCAAGAACAUACAAGAUAUAUAAAUGUAUAUCUAAAAUACUAUUAAUCAUACUCUAAACCCUUAAUUUUUAAUAUUUUAUCAUAAAAUACAAAGAUACCAACAAAUAAUAUGAUAUAAUUAAAAUCUAACACUAAUAAUAAACUAGAAAAUUUUUUUUGCUUCAAGUUCUAAACCCUAAACAUACCAUAAUUCCAACAUCCAACACUUACAAUAAACUUCAAAAUGAACAUUUGUAGAAAUUUAUAACUAAAACAAAAGCAUAUUACUUUAAGAAUAUAUAAAUUUUCAACAUGUAAUUUAAAAAAAAAAACAAAACCUAAACCUAAACCCUAAUGUUUGAUGUCAGUGUAAUACUUGGAAAGAUUCUAUGUAAGAUGUAUCUAUUAUGAAUUUAAUGCAAUAUAUGUUUUAGUUAUAAAUCAAUUUGCAAUUUGCAAUUUAUAAUUUAUAAAAUAUAAUCUUAAAUUUAAAUUCUAAAUCUCAAACACUAAAUCUUUAAUCUACCCCCUAUAUCUAAUACCCCAAACCUCAAACCUAUGAUAUAAAUUUAAAAACCAAACUCCAAUUAAACUCAAAAACUCAAACCAUAUACUUGAUCCUAAAUCUUAACCAUGUACCUAUUAGAACUUAUAUCCAAUAUAUAAAAAAAAUUUAAUAGUUAAAAUCCUAUUUUUUAAAAGAUUAAUUUCAUAUUCUAAAUAUAUACUUUAAACAAUCAUCCCCCAAACUCUAAACCCUGAAUGAUAAAUCUAAUCUCCAAAUUUAUUUAUUUUCAUUUUAACUCAAAAUCUUAAAUGUAAACUUUAAAUCUAUUUCCAAACUUUAAUUUCUGAUUUUCAACUUAAACCCUAAACUCUAUUUCAUAUACCUCAAUAUCAAUAACAAAUUUUAAAUUUUAAAUUUAAAACUAUAAAUUUAAUUCUAAAGAUUAAUUUUUAACAUUUAAAUUGUGAAAUCUAAAUCUUAUUUUUUUCUCAAAAUUUUAUCAUAAAUAUUCUAUAUAUUAAACACACAAAAUAGAAAAGGAAAAAAUGGUGUUCCAAGAACAAAAGAAUAAAAAAACAACAACAAAACAAUCUGAUUGAUGUUCUUCGUAUUAUCAAUAAGCCUACUGCUACUUCUUUGGUUUAUGCUUUUGAAAGGAGAAACAAUUAAAUAAUUAUUGUCUUUGAUCUUGGUGGUGGUAUCUUUGAUGUCUCUGGUACUUUACAUUAAACUGUUGCUAUAUAUAUAUUAGUUUGAUAAAACGGUUACAGUUUUGUAAACGAAUUUUGAUUUAUAAAAACUCAAUUGCAAUGUAUCUCAAUUGGUGACAAAAAAAAAGAAAAAAAAAUCUAAUUUGGGGUAUAUGAUCAAAUUGCAAUGUAUAAAUGAUAAUUAAACAUUUAGAUUAAAUUUAAUAUUUGAACUUAAAUAAUGAACAGUAGAUUUUUAAGAUUUUUAGUUAGAUUUGGGUAUAUGAUUAAUUUGGGGUUUAAACCCUUACCCUGAACAUAAACAUUAAAAUUUCAAUAUUUUCCUAAUAUAAUUUCGAUCUUAAAUUUAAAUUUAAAGUUUAAUAAUUUUAAAAAUAGAAUCUCAAAUUUAAAUUAUAACCCUCAAACAUUAAAUCUUAAAUCUAUACCCUAAAUAUAAUACCCUAAACCCCAAACUUAAAUCUUACAUACAAAGUCAUAAAUCUAUUUUUUAAUUUAUAAUAUAAAUUUUAAACUUAGACUCCAAAUAUAUUCUAAAACUCAAACCAUAUACUUAAUUAUAAAUCUUAACCCUAAACCCUAAACCACAUACUUCAUAUUAACCUACAUCAUAAAUCCUAAUUUACAAAUUUCAAAAAUUUAAAUAUAGGUUUUGGAAUUUAGACUUUGAGUAUAUAUUCCAAACCAUAUACAAUAACUCUAAAUCUUAUACACCAAAUCAUAAAAUCCAAACAUCAAAUUUAACCUUUUCAAAUUUAAACACCAAAACCUAAACAUAGAUACUAAUAAAAAAAAUUCAAAUUGUAUUCUCAAAUUUUACUCUAAACCCCAAACCUAAGACUCCAAAUAAACUUUAAUCAUGAACAUUAACCUUAUAUUUAAAACUUUUAAAUUAGACUAAACUUUUAACUUUAAUCAUAGUCAUUAAUCAAAUCCUAUAUUAUAAAUCUAUUAUUUAAAUUUAAAUUCAUUUGUUUAAACCCCAUAUAAACCCAUUCAUAUUUAAGUGAAUUAGAAGCUUAUUUGAUGACCAAAGAAAAAGAAUUAACAGCUUAUUUCUGAUUAGACCAAAAAGUGAGGCGUGGAUCACCAUUUUUCGAAUCUCUGCCGUUGGUAAUAUUAAUCUUACGGCUCAGAUUAAUUCACUAUUAAUAUUUUAUGUUUGUUUUAUCUCUUUCUUCCUUUCUUCUUCCACACGAUUCUAUACUUCUUAUUUUCUUCUUCUGUACCUCUUCGAUCUCCUCAUCUAAUCUCAUCUCUCUUAUCCUCUUCCCAUCUCUCUUUCUCCUCUGCUCAUCUUUCAUUUACUUUUCUUCUUUCAAGCAAAUGGAUCUGAACGAAGAGGAUUACCACCGUCAUGCUUCUCACCACCAUGCUCCUUUCUAUUCGGUUUCGCCCUUCACCACCACCACCACCGCACGCUCGUCAACACCACCACCAGUCACGUCUCUCUCUCUCUCUCUGUUUUGAAUCUGAUUUUUUUUUGUUCUUGGUAAAGGAAAGUGGAGGAGGCACAGGAUUGAUGAAUGAGGCACAGGAGAUUGAUGGAGGAGGUAGCAGUGGUGGGUCAUGAGCAGAGCCGGCUUGAAUGUUGAAGACGAAGAAGCUCGGUGAGGAGGCGGCAGGCGGCGGAGAAUAUACAUUAGGUUUAGAUUAGGGUUAGGUAUAUUUUUAAUUUGGUUUAGUAUGCUAAACCGAUUUUAUUUAUUAAUAGUUUGAAUCUUUUUUAUGUUUGUGUUUUGAAAUCUGGGUUCCGCGGAGGAGGCGGAGGGAAGGAAUUAGGGUUUUUUUAGAUUGUAUGUAAACUGGUUUAGUUUGUAAACCGAAAUUUUUUGUAAUCUGGUUUAAUUUAUAAACCGAUUGUAAACCAAAAUUUUAAUAUAAACCAGAAUCAUUUAUAAACCGGUUUAAAAUAUUAGCUAUUCAGUAUUACCUAGAAUAUAAACGUCAUAGCAUAAGUAAAACGCUGUAUUAUAAUAUUCAAUGGCACAAAAAAAUUGCUAUUAAAUGUUCAAAAAAAAAAACUGAGUUACAAAAAGGUAUUCUAUGACAAAAAACAAAUGUCAUAACAAAAUAUUUUAUGGCACACGAAAAGUGCCACAUAAAAUAUUUAAAUAGCGAAAAGAAAUCGCUAUAAAUAGGUAUAAUAUAACACAUGACCAACGCUAUAAUAUCUGUAUAUUGUUACAGCACGCGAAAAACGCUACGCUAGGGGAGGGUCUAUUAUAGCUGCGGCUGUCACGGCGUUCUUCGAAACGCUAUGAAAACGAUAUGAUAGCGUUUAUCGGGUGCUAUUAAUACCGAUAUUUCUUGUAGUGCUGCAUCUGCUCAUGUUCCCGGACAGUUUCCAACAUAUUCUUCUUCACCAAAGAUGACGAACUCGAGACAACAGGAAGCGUUUUCAAAGACAAAUUCGACCCUCCAACACCAGGCUCCGCCACCAAAUUUGUCCCGUGCUCAUCAAAAAGAAACCCGGUCUCUUCCUCGAUCAAACUCGCGCUUACCCUGUCUUCUGCUUCACUUCACGUAAGAGUACCUAACUCAACAACAAUGACAGAUUCGGCAAUCUCCGACCACGACUUGCGGCCAUCAGCAAGCUCCAUCUUACGAACUAACAAAGACAGCUGCUCACAAGCAACCUUCCCAUCCGACGGCAUACCUAUCGACGAACUCAGCUCCGACGUUUCCAUCACCGACGGCAUGCUUGGCACAACAGAAGAUAAGUUCGGAAUGAGAGACGAGCUCGAACCAGAAGACGAUGAGCUCAACCCCACCUCACCGCGACACGGCUCCAUCGACUACGGCAAGCUCGGGACAGAAAGCGACAAGCUCGAACCAAGGAACGAGCUAGGAACUGACGAACUUGAAACAGAAGCCGAGAUCGACCCCACCAAUGGCAAGCUCGUGCCCUCCGCACCUCGACCACACUCUUUCACUAACAACGAACCCGAAGUAACAACAGGAGACGAGCUCGAAACCACCGUAUUUCAUCAACAAAGAACCCGAAGCAACAACAGGAGAUGAGCUUGGAGCCACCAUGAACGAGUUCGGAGCGACAUGAGACGAACUCAGGGACAUCAGGAGGCGAGUUCGGAGCCGCCAUCGACGAGCUCAGGACAUCAAGAGGCGAGCUUGGAGCCGCCAUUAACGGGUUCAAAGCAACAGGAGAUGAGCUCGGAUCCGCCGUCGAUGAGCUCGGGACGACAGAAGACAAAAUCGGAACCUCCAUUGACGAGCUCUUCUCAAGCCCAGCCCCUCCUUCGACGAGCUCAGCCUCUCUCAACGAACUCAGAACCACCAUCGACGAGCUCUUCUCCAGCUCAACCCUUCCUUCAAACGAGCUCAGCCUUUUCUCCCCACACCACAGACCACGACCAAACAACCCUUCCUUCAAACGAGCUCAGCCUUUCUUCCCCACACCACAGACCACAUCACGUCCCUCACGACGAGCUCGAACUACUCACAAAACACAAGCCGACCUCAAGACAAGCCGAGCUCCACACUUUCUCUACCUUAAAAAAAAAGAGGAGAAGAGUAAUGAGAAGAAGCUCGCCGACCUCAAGACAAGCUCAAGCCGACCUCACACCCUAAAAUUCAUCAUCACCAAUGACCAAGUUCACGACAAACAAAACCAGAUUUGCUUUCUUUCUUUUUUAAAAAAUAAUAAAAAGAAAAAGGGAAGAAGAAGAAAGAUGAGAAGCAAUGUCGGCAAAGAGGAACCAAGAAAGAAGAUACUAAAAAAAAUAAUAAUAAAUAAAAGAGGGAAAUGACCACACGAAUAUAAUAAAAAGGAGCAAAAAUUUUACCUUGCUUCAAAAUGGGGGAUACGAACCAUCAGUUAUAUAGGAAACGAAAAAUGUGUUGCCCUAUUUUCCGACAAUUCCCGAGUCUGACCUGAUUUUCUCAGACAGAAAAUUCCAGAAGAAUUCACCAAGAUUCAACACUUGGCGAACUGUGGAGAGGGGGGGGGGUGGACAAUUGUUGGAGAUGGGCUUAGCACAGACCCAUUAAGAGGUAAGCCCAAAAUCAGGUCCGGUCCGUUAAGCAACAAUUGAUGAUUUGGCUAGAAAAAAAAACGUACGUCACUAUAAAUAGAAGAAGUCAGACUCAUUGAAAGGACGGUCAGAAACGUACAGAAAGUACAUAAAAGGAGAGUACAGAAAAGGAGAGUAUCGCCUCUUCAUCACAGACAAAGUCUUAGACUACCUCGACCAUUAGACGAGCUCGGCCCAGACGACCUCAGACCAUAAAAUAGAAAAAUACUUGUUUAGACGAACUGUUUAGAAGAGCAUCUUUAGUUCUUGUAAUUGACCGAGCUUAUUUAUUCUUGACUAUUAAUACAAAAAUCUUUAUCCCUUUACAUCAUUUAUAAAUAUUACAUCACCGACCGGAUAUGGAAACAACAAAUACAUUUAUAACACUUGUUUUUUUUUUGAAACUUUAACUCGUCGCCAUUUAUAACACUUGUUUUCAGGAGAAUUCAUUCACGACAUAGAUAAAUGCAUUUCUUUACUUUAUAAUGAAAUUGAUAAACAAAGGGACAAGGUUAAAAACCGUUUUCAACUAACUGAGCAAGGUAGAUUUCUCCAAACAUUGAUUUUUAUCUUUAACCUCCUCUGCUCCACUGAACAGAGUCUCCACAAAAGCCUCCAUGUUCUUAUCUGAUGACCCUCUUUCUCUACCCGCUUCAACCGCUAAACGCUUCCAUGCCUCACCGUUUUCCCUCAGCUCCACCGACUUCUCCUCCAUCACUGCUUCCAAACACCGUCUUAUCUCUCCUCUCUCCACCAAUCCAUCCUCGUUCUCUCUCACCCUCACACCUGUCCUCCACAAAUCCUCCAGGAGCUUCGCGUUCGUUGGUUGAUCUGACCACAUAGGAAACGCCACCACCGGAACGCCGAGAACCAAACUCUCAAGUGUUGAACUCCACCCACAAUGACUCAAAUAGCAACCUACGGCUCUGUGUCUUAAAACCUCCACCUGUGAGCACCAAGACACAAUCAUACCAACCUCGUCGAGCUCGUGUCUUAAACCAGCUAUCUUCUCAAUCUCUGUGUCGUUCUCUCCUUUUAUUUUCGCUUCUCUGUUUGCUUUAUCAGUUAUAACCCACAAAAACGGCCUUUUACAUUCAAUGAGAGCUCUAGCUAGUUCCUUUAUCUGUUUCUUGGACAAUUCAACCAUUGUUCCAAAAGAAACGUAAAUAACAGAGGAAUCUGUUUUCGAGUCUAGCCAAAGUGUAUAAUUACUUUGAUCUUUUACCGGUUCGCUUCUUGUGAACAUAUCUGGUGGAAGUAAAGGCCCAGCCGCCACCAUUUCGAUAUCCCGGACAGCGGUUAAGGCCUCUGCCUCGAGCGAAUCGAAUGUGUUGACGAGAACUUUCACGUUGGGUUCUUCUUUGAGAAACUCCAUCAACUCUAGAUACACUUCUUGUGCGAUGUUGUUGCUAGUGUUGGAAGGUGAGAGGAAAGAAGGAAGAUCGCGGGUUUCGAGAGUGGGGAGAUUCGGGAACUCAAAACCGAAGUUAUUCCCGGUUGAGUGAUUGUAAUAAACGUUGAACGCCAAAGCGGGUUGGAUCCAUAGGAGAACAGAAGGAAGGUGAAACCUACGUGCUAAUCUUGGAACCCAACUAGGAAGAAUCGUGUAGAUCACGCAAGCCACGGGAGAGUCUCCGUUUUUAUUAGCUUCGAUGAACUCCGACAGCGUUUUAUCUCCGUUACGUUCGAGAUUCAGCAGCCUGUUUUGGACGUCUUCGGUGUUGGAGAUGACCCCGUCGUCGAACCCAUCGGAGAAGGUAAGGAGAGAGAGAUUGUACACGUUGUCGUGGCUUUGGAUAUUAGAGCAAUGGAAGACGGAGUGACAUGUGGCCAAAGUGACACGUGCGCCGGUGGUUCUGAUGAGUCGAUGAGCAAAACGGAGGGAUGGGUUCACGUGACCUUGCGCUGGAAGCGUUACAAGUAGAAAAUGCGGUGGUGCCAUUUUUUGCUCCGCCGAAGUGACUUCGAGAACUUGUGUUGUGUCUCUUUUGUGAAUUUGUGGUGUUGUAUUUAUAAACAAAAAUACGGAUGAGCAACUGAGAUUUGAUUUUGGGUUAUGUGACAUGAAUAACAAAACAUAGCAUUACAUGUACCGGUUACCGCUUUUACGUAAUCCACGAUGACGCCAUGAUUGAUAUCAUAACUUGUCGUCCCCCUGAAAUUUCCAAAGUCUUUUUUUUUACAACAAUUACCAAAGUCAAGUCCAUUUUCUAUUAAAGUCAAUGCGAUGAUUCCUUAUAUUAUACUACUUUAACUUAUAUAUACAUUAUAGUUGAUGGGAUGUUAAUUUCAAUCAAUAAUUUAGUGUCUAAUAAUUAACAAUUUUAAGUCAAUGCAACGAUUAUAACAUAUAUACUAAAUUUGACCCGCGCGGAUGUAUUUUUGAAAAAAUAUGAUGCUAUUUAUUUCUUAUGUCACUAUUUAAAGUUGAAAAAAAAAACUCAAAUUCGAAGAACCGAACCGAUUUCAAUCCGAAUAAGUAGUACCAAAUCCAAACCGAAAUUGAUUAAAUAUCUGAAUUAUUCAAAAUUUUGGUAUUUGAAGAACUGAAACCUAAUCCGAUCGGAACCGAAGUAUUUUGGGUAUCCAAAGUAGAUUUAUAUACUUAUAUAUAUAUUAAUUAUUUUUAGAUUUAAUAUAUAUAUAAACAUCAAGAAUGUAUAUGAUACUUUUAAGUUCAUUUAAAUACUUGAAAAUAUAUACAAAUAAUCAAAUGUAAAUAUCUAAAAUAGUUAUUAAUUCUCUAUACUUAAAUAAUUAUUAAUUCUCUAUCCAAAUAUUUAAACCAAACUAAUUUAUAUGUUAAGUUAGGUACUCUGACAUAUGUUAUUCAAAUUUAUAUGUAAUAAAUUCUAUCGUUUAUAGAUUUUUAAAAAAUUAAAGAAUAUAAUAAAUUUAAUUUUUUAAAAAUAAUUUAAACUGGUUAUCCAAAUCUGAACCGAAUCCUCAAAGAUCUGAACCGAACACGAAAUCUCAAACAGACCCGAAAACGAACCCGAAUGCCCACCAUUAAUCACUAUUAUCUAUCCUAUAUGUGUCAUCAUAAGUUACAUAAAUAUGUGUUAUCGUAUAAUUAAUCGUAUUUCAUACGUACCAUCAAAUAAGUAAUCUUAUAAUUAAUAAUAUUUUAUACGUACAAUCAUAUAAAUAAUUACAUAUAUCUACUUUAAAAAAAAUUGGAAAUCCAUUAUAUUAUAUUAAAAAAUAAUGGGCUUAUGUUACUUGAUAUACAUAUUCAAAUCAAAAUAAUAAUUUAAAAUUGAUUUAUAUCAAAAAUUCAUUCAAAAAUAUACAUAUAUUCAAAAAUUAGUUUCCAAACAGAACUAACUGCUAUCUAUUUUGCUUAAAGUACUUCUACUUUAAUAAGAUAUAUAUAUAUAUAUAUAUUAGGUUAAGAUAUGUGCUUUUGUACAGAAUGAGCAAUAAAAAUAAUUUUUACGUAUUAUUAUUUAUUUUACUGAAAUAAUAAAAAAUAAAUAUAUAUUAAAUAGUUAAAAAGUCAGUAAUUAUUAUGUAUAUAAAUAAAAAACAUAAAGAGAAAGUUUUGUCAAACUUUUAGGCAAAAAUCUAAAACUCUCUCUACGACUCAAGUGCCGCCUCAGCCUCUUCUUUCGGAUCUGAGGUCUUCUCUGGCCGGCUCUCCUCGCCGUGCUGUGAGAGGACCUCCUCGAGCUCUCCUAUCUAGUACUAGUACCUGUAUAGUCUCUUUAGCUUUGCUUGUGGUGGUUAGUGAUGAAGUUUUUGUUCGACGGCGAUGGCGUUUUGGGGGUCGAGCGGUGGUUGGGUGCUGGUUCGUUUCUCGAUGAGGUCAGUUUUUCUGUCAAGGCGUGUUCUCUCCGCCAGUGGAGAUUAGAGAAUCUGUCAGAUUCGAGGGGGUUUGAGUCUGGUUUGAGGGUGGUGCGUCUCGUUGGUUGGUUGAUCUUCUCUUUGGCUCCUCAUGAUCUUGUCUCCGGUUGUUUCGAUGUCGGCGUGAGGUUUGGAAAUAGGUUCUACCCUCUGUUUGUUCUUUGGGACAAGCUGUAGAGGACUUAGUGGAAGGGUGCGUGAGGUUUAGCUGCGGAAGUGGUUUGGCGUCUUACUUGGGCUUGGGAGUACGGCCUCUGUUCAUUGGAGUCAACUCCGGUGCUUGUUGAUCUUUGACGGUCAGAGCUUUUUGCGUGCUCAACUUUGGUUCUGAGAGGAACCGAAGGAGAUAAGUGUAUCUCAGUGCUUAUGCUUCUUUGUUGGUCGAUUGCCGCCGAUUUGAUCGUGAUAGUCUUGGAUUUGGAGUGGUUUUUAUUCAGUUACCGGUUUGUAUGAAUAAGACGUGGGAAGCCUUUGUAGGCUUCGCCGUGGGAUGAUGGUGCGUAUGAGGCGCGUGGAGAACCCACUCAAGGUCCAAUGGAUAGAUUUAGUUGGGAUUGAAGGGUGUUUACAACGACGGUUAAGGAUUCUAACCUCUUUCAAUUCUGUUUAUGUGUUGGUGAUGUUUGUGUGCUUCCAGCCAAUCUCUAUGCUCUUCUCAAAUUGUGUUAAUUGUUGAUGAGCUCUCAUUAGGUAUGAUCGUCUUUGAGUGCAAGGUUGAGCACUCCUUUCCUGAAGUUCCGUUUUCCUGCCUCGACAUCUUUUUUCUUCUUUGUCUUUGUUUAGUUUUAGGAGUUUAUGUUAUGUUCAACUUAUGGCUCCGGGUGGUACAUGUUACCUCGCUGGUUCUUGGCUCCGGAAGGGUAGGCAAUGGCUCUUCCGGCUUUGUGUAAAAUGUUGUUUGAUCUAAUCUUAAUCUACCGGAUGACAAAAAAAGAGAGAAAGUUUUGUAUUUCAUCAAACUAUUUAGUGCCCCCUUUCGUAUUGUCCUCUUACGAAGUAAAAUGGUAUUUCAUCUAAUCGUUGCUAGAGAAAGUUUUGAUCUCUGAUUUGCGUUUACAAAGGGAAAUUGGAUUGCUAGCUCUUUCGGUAUAUAAAAAGCGAAGCUUUUGUUUACUGCCAUAGGUUGGUUUCCUGGUAUAGAAAAGAAAGGAAAUCUCUGUCUAAAGGUAUGCGCCCACGCGCGCAAGAGUGCACCACGAAUGCCUUGACAGCUCUCCUCCCUAGCUUAAUAGACCUGCUGCUGAGCAUGAGCCUUAGAGAGAGUUCUUUCUUUCAUGUUUCAAUGGUAUCAGUCUGUCAUGCAUUGGUGUAUGAUCUCUCAUCCCUAACUAAAAUACUGUUGUUAUAACCGGAAUCUUUCAUUUUUUUAAUCCAUGUUAUAAAUAUAGCCAUAAGUUGGGCAUGGACACGCACUAGAGAGAUGAUCUCCUUGUUUUCUUAGUUUAGUUUGGAACUAAAAUAAGAUUAGAGCUAAUUGAUAGGUCACGCUUUGCCUGUAAAGUUGUCAAAUGGGUAGGCUUACCAUGGAUCGUCCAUGUCCAAAUAUAAAAUAAGCCUAAUCAGAUCUAAAACGUAAACAAACCCUUCAACACACCUCAAUUACUCAUCUUGGUUUUGUGAAUCGCCUUUGAAUUGAGUGCCCAAACCAUGAUAAAAUUCAAAAACAGAUUUAUAUUACUGUGUAAAAACAAAAAAUAAAGAAAUAAGCUUUGGAGUGUAAAAAGAAGAGUUCAUUCAAAAAAAAAAAAAAGAAGAAGAGGAGCCAUGGCCGAUGCCGACAGUCUUAAAUCCACUUAAAUCGUAAAACACCAAAAGAAAAAGAAGAUGUUUUCUUUUACUAGGAAGGAGUUUACGUUAAGGAGAUUUUUCUUGAAAAUAGAGUAACUACAAAACAUUUUUUUCAGAAACCUCUCUCUCUAAGCUUUCUCCCGAACAAGAAGAUCCGCCUUCUCCGGUCCGGCACCCGCCGGUGCCGGAGGUUUAAUCCUUUAACCCUUCCUCUCCUUUUCCUUUUGCCCUUCUCCCCAUCGGUUUUUAACUCUGUCGAGAUGCUCGUGACUCUGAGCCUGGCUGAGUCUCACCGGAAACUGUAGAGGUUGAAGGUGGCUUCAUAUGGUGGUGUUGGAGGAACGGCGAGACAGUGGAACGACAGAUGCGGUUUGUGGUGUUUUUUUUUUGGAUCCCAAUAUGAGUCUGCUUGGGUUUAUGAAGUAUAGGUUUGGUUCUGUUCAUCAUUGUAUCGACUUGUUUGGGUUGUCUCUCUAGCUCCGAAUCUGUUUUCUGGUGCGCGGUGCAGGACUAAGCCGGCUUUGAUGUGGGUUGUUACUUCUUCCAUCGGAUUUGGAGAGACGUGUCUUAGGCAGGUCAAUGGUGGUUAUGGAUGCUCGAUCUUGUUUUCUAUUUCCUUUGGCAGUUGGUAUUGAAGGUCUGGUCUUGAAUUGAGUUCAGAGUUCUUUGAAUUUCUGGUGAAGGAGUGGUUUGUGGCUGUGUUUGAAGAGUCCUUGAUGAGGGCUUUUAGCUAUGGAGUGUGUUCAUAUUGGGGCUUCUCUUCGAUACGGUGGCCUCUUUUGACCCUUGAGUUUGAUUUUUUAGUGUGGUCAUUGCGAAGCUUCGGUGCUGUGUGGAUGUGAUGUUCUUUGAUAUUUAACCGACGGGUUUAUCCGGAUUUUAUGGCAAGGGACUUUGGAGCUUAUACUCUUUCGCGUGGGGUCAUUGAGCUGACGAUUGUCAACCUAGUUUCUUCGUUGACUGCUCGGGUGGAGAUCCGUUUUCUUGUGGCUUCUUUAGGAUGAAGCUUGCUCUUAAGUGACGGUUGCUGGCGGGUCCUCAGGUGUUGGUCUUCAAGCCUUGCUCUCAUCCCAAAUAAAUUUGACAUCCAACGCUUUUCAUUUAUUCUAGCAUCCGGCUCCGGCUAGCUUCUCUUCUUGACGAUUAUGUAUGAACACUAGAAGUUUUUAAGACUCUUUCUCAUUUUUUCUUUUAAGUUUAUGUAAUCGAUUUCAGCUUCUUUCUUGGCUCUGGGGGGCUUUGUUUAGUCCCGCCGGCUUAUGGCUCUGGAAGGAAUGUAUUCCUUGCCGGCUCUGGUUUGUAAGAACUGUUGUUUAUGUGUUUAAUAUAAUCUACAGAUGACAAAAAAAAAAGAGUAACUACAAAACUAACCAAAAUAUAUUAUAUUGAAUAUUAAAUCAGAUGACCAAAUUUUGACAACCGCAGUUUUUAUUAUAACAAUUUAUUGUUAAAAAGAGAAACUUAGCUAAUUUAAAUAUCCACACAAAGAACAAAAUGCUCGAAUAAACAUUUCUCAUGACUACAAAGGUAUUUAGCUCAACUAGAAAAGACCCUGACCAUUGUGCCAAAAGUCAAGUCAACCGCUGGGACAAAACUAAUAUUACUUGUUGUGGUUUCGACUCUAGAGAAAUUAUGGGCUUCGGCCCGAACCACAUGGUAUUAAACAAGUAUUUUGUAUAUAGAUGUAAAUAAAAUUUUAUGUGGUUUAUAGUUUAGAUUAUUCAGCCUUUAAAAAUUAGAACAAUGGCUUAGAUUAUUCAUAGUUCUACAAUAAGAGCAAACAAGAUAUUUUCAUUCCAAGGACAUGAAACUAUACAAUUUCAUAAUCUAUGCUCUCAUGGUCUAAAAGUAACGUAUGCAAUUGAAUACAAGAAGUUAAAGUGGACAUUUCUCAAGAAGAAAAAAAGUUUUAAAACAUAAGCCCAUUUGUAUUUUGUAUUUUGUAUUUUGUAUUUUUAAUUUUGGACAUAAGUAGUUUUAAUUUUUUGUAUUUUUAAAUUAAAAUAUAUAAAAUGACAAUUCGGUAAGCCAGCAUAAGUAUUUUGGACAUAAGUAGUUUAAUUUUUUGUAUUUUGUUUUAUAUUAUUAAAUUUCAUUAUAUUAAAAUAUCGCUAUUUUAAUUUUGGUUAGAUUUAAAAUGUAUUAUUUAUAUUAUUUAAAUAUAUUUAAUCAGAUAUUAGUAAAACGAAAAAUGUAGAAAUUUCAGUAAUAUUUUAAAAUGUGCUGAAGUGGUGCAUUGUGAAGAAAUUAUUAGAUUUUAUUAGUAUAAACAUUUAUCCUCUCAUGUCUCCAAAUAAAAUCAAUUAGUAUUUUAAAUCAACCAACCUCUACUUAUAUAAUGAAAUAAGAUUUUCUCAUUAAGUAUAUUUUAAUUAAAUAGGCAACCAAAAUUUAUAAACUUUAAAACAAAAUUUUGAAUAAAUGUUAAUUGUUAAAUAUGAAUGAAAGUAAAGUUUAGUUGUUUCAAAUAAGUUAUGGUUGGACAUUCCAAUUUUCAAAAUAGUUGUAUACUAGUUUUUUUUUUGUGACACUGAUGGUUGUAUAUUGGUUACAUAAAUCUUUUCGCAACAGGGACAACCAUUCAAAUUUGUUAUUUAUUAUGAAGAGAGCUAAUAGUGAUUUCAGCAGACGAGGUUGCAAGAGUUUUAUUGAACACCACUUUGCUUUUAAAGAAAACUAAUUGCAGAUAAAAAAAGGAAACUAAUUAAAUAUAAAUUAUAUUUAAGUGUUUUUUUUUUUUUUUUCAACUUAUUUAAGUGUUUUUUUAAGUGUUUUUUUAACACCAAGAUUUUUUUAAAGUGCUAAACAACCAGGAAAGCUGAAGUAAUAGUCCAAAAUAAAUAUUGGCCAAAGCAUUAUUUAAUAACCAAUCAGCAAAAGGUGGGGAACAUUAGGUUUUUAUGUGGAACUAUCGUUACGUGCCUUCUUAGGAGCAUUUCAUUUGUUGUGAGCCGUUGCUUGUCAUGUGUGAGACCAUUCACAUUAGAUUGGCUGCUAAGUUGUAAAACAGUAAGAUGCUUCCCCAGUGCAGUAGCCAUAAAAGGUGAUGGGUACUUGGCAGUCUUGGUGUCAACCUUAGUGUGUGAUGAAGAAACGGAGAUCGAUGGCUCCAGACCUAUUGUCAUCAGGCCAAUAAUCACCUCCCUUAGAAGAAAGAAGAAAACAUGGAGAUUACACAUUAAAGCUACAAAUAUUGUUUAAACCAAGGAGAGAAACUUGCAUCGACAACUAAAUCAGGAAUUGGGACAUGUUGACGUUCAUUAAAGAUUCUGGAAAUGGUGAAGGUCUGAUGAUUAGAUGUAAAAUUAAAUGAAGACAGCUUUAGAUGGAAAGUGUAUAUAUUCCCAAUAAUUUCAUUGAUGAAAGGUGGUUGUUUGAACGGAAUUCAGUCGACUAAGAUGAAAGAAGUCAGAGAUGGGAUGACUAAAGACGUUUUAUUAGAUUUGAACUGGAGGGUUACAAAAGUGACAGGAAAAUGAAAGAGCAACAAGAUCAAAGAGUAACAAGAUCAAAGAGAUCGCUUAAAACCCUAGAUCUAGCCGCUCGGUCUGUUCAAUGGUCCAAAAGUCCUCUCCUUGUUGCUUCCCCUUGCCCUUGAUGCCCUAAUUCUGUACCUCUUUGGGCCUUGAUGCGAGAGGCCGAGUAUGCGGGCUUUGACAAGGCUCCCCCCAAGCCAGGCGCUUUUGGUCGGCUUACUCGACCGGCUAAAAGUACUCUAAGGUCGAGCCGAUAGGUUUGGCUGCCGAGCCGACCAAACCGAUCCGACUUGCUGGAUUAGGGUCUGUUAUUCGAUGGGCCUUGUGGAGGGGUGUAAUCCAUCUCCUACAAUAAGUCCCCCCCCAGUUCACUUGUGAGCGACAUGGCGGUCUUAGUGAAUUUGUGGGUCAGGUUUAUUCGGAUAGCAUGCUCUAAUACAAGGGAUAACCCUUCCCGUUUAGUCGUCGGUAUGUGUUUUUAGUCGCGUGGUGUUCUGUAGGUGUCUCUGGUCGCUCAGAGUAGCGCUUGUCUUGACUCGCUUAUUUGCCUACCUGCUUUUAUAGUAGGGUAUAGUUUACUCGGGUGAUAGAUAAUCUUGGAUAAAGCGACGGGGAUCGGUUUUGCUGGUUAACCGGGGACCGGUUUAAAUCAAGACUAGGAAUUGAUUCCGGCCUGACAACCUGAUUGAAAAUUGGUUCGAGCGAGAAACCGAACCGUCGCGAGUAGGUUUCUGGGCAUUUAGGCGGCCUUUUGAGGCCCAUUUAGGCCUUUGUAGACCUAAUGAUUGUGCUCGGGGAACGUGCCUUUGUUUUUGCUAUAAAUAGGUCUCUCUCCUAUGCUUUCGUCAUUCUUCUCUGUAGAUUCAGGUAUCCCAUUUUCUCUCCCUUCUCUCUACUUUUACUUUCUCUCUCUAGAUAGGUUUUUCUUUGUAUAGACUCGUUGGUAUCGUUCGGCGGUUGUAGUCAUCCCCUGAAUUAAGGAACAUGCCUUCGAGAAGUCGAUUGUCGCGAGAAGAGAAAGGGAAGGACAUCGCAGAUUCUCCGAGUCCGACCCGAGAUGUGUCAGCGACCGGUAGUCCAGUGGACGAUUUCGACUUGAUUCAUCGCGAUGCUCUUCGGGACACGGAAAACAUGACUCUAUCUCAGCGUCUUUUGGUCGCUGAUGCUCAUAAGAUGAUUUGUGAUGAAGACGCAGAUCGUGUUGAAAUCGGGAACAGUGAUGUGAGCGGAAGUGAGGAUGGAGGGAGAGACCAAGGCGAUGCUGCGACUGGUUCCAAACGUGGCGACACUGAUGAGUCUGGUCGGUCUCCGACGCCUUCGAGACAGGUUCGCAAGAGAGUUUGUUUCGACCAGAUAGACUGUCGCCCAACUAUUUAUCAUCCUGGUGGGAUCUUCGAAGGGCUGGGUCCGCUGCCACCCGGACUGCUACGGGACCCGCGGGCUCAGUCGUGGGGGAACGUGUUUGGAUCGUCUGCUUCUCAUCAUACCGUGAGGGAUCUAUUAAGGGCGAGCGAUGGUGCUGGCGUUACCUACAUCAUUCCGUCUGCCGAGCAGCGUCCCUGGUCACCUCCGGUUGGUUACCAAUGCGUGUAUGAGUCCUAUUUCGGGGAUCAUACGAAGCUAUGGUUCCCAAUUCCUCGGUUAGUGACGUCUUAUGCAUUCCGCUGAGACAUCGCCAUCUCUCAACUUUUGAACGGGUCGCUGAGAAUAGCCGUCAUGCUAAUGGUAAUGGCAGCUGAGAUGGACAUCUCGAUGAGCGUGAGGGUCUUCGAGGAGUUGACUUUCACGAAGGCGGAGCCAAACGGGAUCUUCUCGGUGAAAAUGCGUUCGAACUACAACGUCUUGACCGGUCAUCCGAAUAAGACGCAGGAUUGGCAACGCACGUAUUUCUUUGUGAAGUCUGAUGAACAUGCUUUCGAAGAGCCGUCGGGGGACGACUACCGCGUUUUGUGGAAUCGGCAACUCGGUAGAGACUCGUAUGUUGGAGUUUCGUUUUAGUCGUUAAUCCUAACUUUUCUUAUCCUUGUGUUUGCAGUUCGUCAUCCGAAUACGAUCGCCUACCCCGAGAAGUUUUUCGAAAGUGCUCAAGCGAUCGCGGCGCAUAGUCAUCUUCGUUGGCCGGAUCUCAGUCGGGAGUGGAUACGUCGUCAGCAAGCUAGGAUCGCUAGAGGUAAGCCUGCUGAUUGCUUUUAGGGCCUACUCGAGUUUCCUUUUGCGAUUUUCAUGUUGAUUCUCUGCUUUUGUAGUUGAUUGGGAGUCGAGGCUUCCUUGCGUUCCCGGUCCCUGUAAGUCGCGCCUCCCUCCGUUUACUCGCAAACAACAGAGACUUCUCGACAAAGCCAGAGAAAUGGAUGGAGUUCCGGAUCUAAGCGCCCUGUUAAAAGGGAAGUUGAAACUGCUCUCGAAGAAAUCGACUACAGUCGACCCUCAGGGACCGUCUAAUUCUGGAGUCGACGUCACUUCUGAAGGUGGUGGAACCUCCCGAGAAGGGGCCUCCAAAGAAGGAGCCUCCAGAGAGGAGGGCCCUAUUGCAAUUGAUCAGGGGGGCAGGGCAGAGACUUCUGCUUCAGGUCCCAAGAAGAAGAAAAAGACCAAAAGGACUAAGGUGGGAGCGACCGACGAGGUUCCUCCCGAAGAGUCUGCUUCCCUCGAUGCGACUUCCGAGGGUUCGAAGACCAAAAAGAAGAAGGAUGGGAGGAAAAGGUCUCGUGGCGGGGCAGAAGGGCAGGAGGCUGUUUUAGUCGGGGCGGCAUCAGAUGGUCACCCGAGGAAGGGAACUAAGAGGUCUGUCGAGGCAGAGCCCCGUCCCUCUACCUCCGACGUGAACGCUGCUGACGAGGCCUUAGUCGACGCUGUUGGGGAGGCCAGCGGCACUCCUGAAAACCUGUCAGAGGAAAGGAGGAAAACCUGCUCGCAAGAAGGAGGUUCUGGUGGCGAGCCCGCGAGGUCUACUCCAGACUCUCCUGCGAGAAACAGAUCUGGAUCUGAAGGGUCCGUAGCGAAGAGGAAGAGGAUCAAAUUCCCUGAUCGUGUCGAGUUUUCCUACAACGAGACAACUCCCCUGAUCCUUAAUCCCCCUAGGUGCGCAGAGCUGACGCGUCAAAUUCGUGGUGGGACGAAGGAGAUGCCGCAAUUGGAAGACCUUUACCUCAAGAACGAGUACAUCGACACUGCUUCCUCGAGAGUGCGGGUAUCUGCGCUACCUUUCACCUUUUAUCUCCUUCUUUGAUUUAUUGGGUUCAUCCAUCUCACGUGGUCCGUGUUUGUCGUUCUGUAGAGUGACGGGAGCAUGAACUUCCUUGUUGAGAAAUACGACAGCGCCCUGAAGCAAACAAUGAUCCAGUUGGGAUCUUUGGAGAAGCUCGCUCAAGCAAGGUUGAAGGCCAUUGAAAGGGUAAGGGCCGAGCAUAAGAAGGCUAACGAGAAGGCUGCGGAGAAGAAAGAAGUUCUUUGAGUGAAGUUCGAAGAGAUGGAGGGUAAGCUCAAAUCCGCCGGCGCGGCCAAGAAAAAGCUUGCCCGAGAGAACACCCGUUUGGAGCAAGCGGCUGCGACCCUUGAGAAGGAGAAGACUGAGCUACUCGAGGAAAGGGAUGCUGCAGUUGAGAAAUUGAUUGGGGAGAGGCAACGCUUGAGAGACUCCCGGGGGCUUGAGGUUACUCGUGAGAGGGAAAGGGUCGAAGAUGCUAUGGGCGAGAAGGCAAACCGCUACUUUGGUCCCGUACGCGACCAUUUUACUCGCUUGGACGCCUUUGGGAAGGCGAAGAACCUGUACGGUCAAGCUUCGGGGACGAAGAAGUGCCUCGAGAUGAUAAAAGCAAGCGGGACGGAGAUCCCGCAAGAAAUGAUCGACGUUUUUGACGAGCAGGAGAAACUUUACGAGGCGGAGGCUACGAAGUUUUGUGUAGGUCCGCUGUCUGAUAGCGAGCUCACUCUUUCUCCGCUGGUUCUCCCUUCCCGUUUCUUCGAGGACAGAUUUAGAGCGUCAUUUGAUCCUUAUGGAUCGAACGUAAAUUUGAUCAGACCAGGGACGGUUUCUCAGCUCAUCACUUCGCUCGAAAUUACCGAGGAGCCAUCGGAGGAGCCACUGGUCGAUGUCACGUCAGUCCCGGCUGAGCACGUCGAGGUCCCAGAGGGAGGUGAUCUUGGUGAACGUCCAGAGAACGAGAACCUUGAGGAGGUCCCCGGGAAGGACAACCUUGAGAUAGGCAACACUCCGGUUCCAGAGGAAGAGACCGGGAACGUGGGCAUCGAGGAUCCUGUCCUCGUCUCGGAUUCUUCUUCUGAAGGACGAGAAGGCGAAGAGGAGGAAGACGAUAGAGUCGAGGAGACGUCGUCGUUGCAGCCCGUCGAGGAAGAGACGACCGAUGAAGUUGGGAAUAGAGAUGUUCCUCCGCCUCCUGCUGUGGCCUCUCUUGUCCCUGUUUCUACUCGGGUGGAAGACCCGACUGUUGCCGCUACUGAAGACCCAGUCGGUCCUUCUGCUCUUGGGACGCCAGAGGAGGUCGGUCAAGAUUCUGCACCUUGACGCUUUGCCUGUGUCACCUUUGUUCUUUUUGCGUUUCUUUUUGUGUUUGUAGUCUUGAUAGACCCUGUUGUUGUAUUACUAGACGUACUUUCAUUUUAUCGGUAAGUCGCUGUUUUCAAGCAGACUUUUAGAUUUGCGGGUUGUUGUGUUUCCAAUCUGAACGUGCAACUUGCCUAAGUAAAUUUCAGUUAUCUUUAGAGUCUCGCGAUAUGUUCGCCUAGAGACAAUAUAUUUUUGACCUUUGGCUUUUGCAAAUAGAUAAUGACAAAACCCGCUAAGGGACUUUGUUCAGUUCUUGUCGUGUUUCGAUUGAGAUAACGUCUAGACGCGUUUUUCUACUUUGAAAACAAGAGACUGAAUCUAAGAGUAGAAGGUUCUUUUUACACGUUUUCUCAAAGACGAUCGAGUAAAUGGGUAGCUAAUCCGUUACACAUUUAGUCGAGAAAAGGUUAAAGAUUCACUCCGUUUGGUCGGUCAGUACUCUUUGGGCGCAGGUGACUCGCGACCGUUUGGUCCAUAGGCUAAGUGUCUGAUCAGGACAUAGCUUGGAGAUGGAACGUGAGUGUCCGCGUACCCCCUACUGGAGGUACGGGAGCCGUUGGGUUCGACAAUCGAUAUUUACUCGAUCAGAGUCGAAACAAAGAACAAGAUUUUGACUUUGGUUUUGUUACAGCUGGACUGGUUAAAGGCUGCCUACGUACCUCGGUUGAGGAUCAAGCCAUUCGUAGUUCGUUUUUCCCGAGUGAAAGUGGCCGUUGGAAGCGCAUUUACUCGGUCGAGUAGAAGCGUCUUAGAUGCAUUGAGUUCCAUGCUCUAGGCACUUCUUCUCCACUUGACGUUUGAAGUCGGUAGACUCCUGGUUUCACAACUUUGAUGAUUUUGUAAGGUCCUUCCCACCUAGCGCCGAGUUUGCCGGCGUUCAGCUCCUUAGUGUUCUCGAACACUUUACGCAUGACAAAGUCACCGAGUUCAAGGGGUCUGGCUCGGACCUUUUUGUUGUAGUAACUCUCUAUCUGAUGUUGAUAGUUUUGGAUUCGUAGCUGAGCUUGGUCCCGUCAUUCUUCAAUUUCAUCGAGGGCAUCAAGCAGCAUCUCCUUGUUGAGUUCGACGUACUGGGGCAUUUUCGAGCGUCGGAGGCUUGAAACGUUAACUUCUGCGGGAGCCAUAGCCUCGACACCGUAUGCAAGAGAGAAAGGUGUCGAUUUGGUCGACCCUCGUGGUGUUGUGUGGUGGCUCCAUAGAACUCCGUCGAGUUCGUCGGCCCAAUGACCCUUUUUCAGGUCUAAACGUUUCUUAAUGCCGUUGAUGAUGAGCUUGUUGGAGGAUUCCGCUUGGCCGUUUCCCUGUGGGUAAUGAGGGGUCGAGGGGCUCAAACGAAUGUUCCAUUGGCUGCAAAACUCCUUGAAGUUGCCCGACAUGAACUGUGAUCCAUUAUCAGUAACGAUUUCGUAUGGUAGACCGUGGUGGCAGAUAAUGUUUUUCCAGACGAACCCACGGAGUUCUUUGUCGGUGACUUGGGCGUAGGCUUCAGCUUCGAUACAUUUGGUGAAGUAAUCAGUGAGGACGAGAAUGAAACGCCGUUGGCGGGAGCAUGGAAGAGGUCGCAUGAACGGGUACGGCGCGACCGUCGUUCGUAACAUUUCAGUUGGACAAUGGAUGCUUGGUGCAUGCCGUUGGCAUUUGUCGCAGCUUCUGGCGUAGGACUCGCAAUCUGCGUUCAUCGUCGGCCAGAAGAAGCCUAGGCUUCUCACUUUGAUUGCUAAUGCUCGUCCGCCCGAAUGGUUUCCUCCAGCGCCUUCGUGUGUUUCGGCCAUAACCCUGACCGUUUCUUCUCCAUGGAUACAUUUGAGGAGUACUUCACUCGCAGUCCAUCGAUGGAGUUCGUUAUCUAGGACGACAUAGUGGGCACUGCGUAUUUUUAGUCGGCGGGCUGCCCAUUUCUCGGUUGGAAGUUCCCCCUUUGAGAGAUAGUCGAUGAACUCAGUUAGCCAGUCGGGGUCGAAUUCAUCAGUAAUGAGCGUGUCGGUUUUGGCGAUUGGGGCUAUGACGAUGGUUUGGUCUGUCGAGAUAUCAAUGCUCGGCUUCUCAAUGCGGUGUAUUGGAAUUGUUCGUUUAACUUGGUCACAAAGCUUGCUUCCAAGGGCUGCAAGGGCGUCGGCGCAGACGUUUUCUCCUCUGGGAAAUUUGACGAGUUCGAAGAAUUCGAACUUUGUGGCUAAGCCCUGUACUAUCUUGUGGUAGGCGUCCAUCCGAUCAUUGCGGGCGUCGUAAUCGCCGCUAAACUGACUGGCGACUAACUGCGAGUCGCAGUAGGCGCUUAGGCGUUUGGCCUUGACAGCUUUUGAUAAGCGGAGUCCAGCGAUCAAAGAUUCGUAUUCUGCUUCGUUGUUCGAGGCUGGAAAGCCGAAGCCAAAAAACUGCCUGAUCAGUUCGCCGGUCGGGGAUUGCAGUUGAACUCCAGCACCUGCGCCUCUAUUAGUCGAAGAUCCGUCGACAUGCAGUGUCCAGUUUGGGUUUCGGAGUGUGAGAUCUUGCUCUAACUCCGGGGCCAAUUCAACUAAGAAGUCUGCAAGGACCUGAUAUUUCGCUGCGGUUCUGUUCUUGUAAGUGAUAUCAAGCUCACCGAGUUCGAUAACCCACUUCGUUAGUCUUCUGGACCUGUUUGUAUUUUGAAGUAUUGUUCGGAGGGACUGGUCGGUUAGUACUUCCACCGAAUGUGACUGAAAGUAAGGGCGAAGCUUUCUCGCCGCUUCGACGACCGCCAGUGCCAUCUUCUCCAGAGUUGGGUAUCGCGUUUCUGGCCCGGUCAUGCGCCUACUUGUGUAGAAGAUUGGCUUUUGCUCACCACGAUCCUCUUUUAUUAGAACGCUACUGACUGCUGCUUGUGAUACUGCGACGUAAAGAGAUAGGAUGUCGCCGAUAUCUGGCUUGGCGAGAACGGGUGGUGUUGUCAGAUAAUGCUUGAGUUGGAUAAAUGCCUCCUCGCAUUUCUCAUCUUAGAUAAACCUUUUGUUACCUCGCAGGAGGUCAUAGAAUGGCAAGCUUUUGUCGGUGGAUCUGGAGAUGAACCGGUUGAGUGCAGCUAUCCUACCCGUAAACCGUUGCACUUCUCUACUGUUUUUUGGGCUCGAGAGGUUCAGGACCGCGGAGAUCUGCUUUGGGUUGGCUUCGAUUCCCCGCUGCGUGACUAUUUGUCCAAGGAACUCGCCUGAGGAAACCCCGAACGUUCACUUUGUUGGGUUCAGUUUCAUGCCGUAUUUGUUGAGAGUUUCGAAGCAAUCUUGCAAGUGACAGAGGUGAUCAGCAGCGUGUAGCGAUUUGACAAGCAUAUCGUCGAUGUAUACUUCCAUGGUGACGCCCAGCUUGUCUACGAACAUUUUGUUCACAAGAUGUUGGUAGGUUGCUCCUGCGUUCUUCAAACCGAAUGGCAUGACCUUAUAGCAGUAGGUUCCUCUAUUCGUGAUAAAUGCCGUUUUUUCGCGAUCGUCGGGGUGCAUCAUGAUUUGGUUGUACCCAGAGAAAGCGUCCAUGAAGGUGAGCAUCUCGUUUCCAGCCGUGGACUCGACUAAACGGUCGAUGUUGGGAAGAGGAUAGCUGUCCUUUGGGCAGGUUUUAUUUAAGUCUGUGAAGUCGACGCAGACGCGCCACUUCCCAUUCUUCUUUUUGACGACUACUGGAUUUGCUAACCACUCAGGGUAGCGCACCUCAGCAAUUGUACUAGCGCCGAGCAACCGGUCGACCUCUUCGUUUACAGCCUUUGACCUAUCGGGACCGAGCUUACGUCGCUUCUGUCGGAUAGGCUUGACUGUCGGAUCGACGUUUAGUUCAUGAGUUGUUAGGGCCGGAUCAAUUCCUUUCAUGUCUGACCUGGACCACGCGAACGUGGACACAUUCGCCUUGAGAAAGUUGAGAACUGAGCAAUAGGUAACUCGAGAAUUUCGCCUUCCUGGGAGCAGGCUUUAUAGGUUGGAGGAGUGACGGAGUUAACCGAUAAAGACGAUCGUUGGAGUUUAACUGUGGCGACUAGGAGUUCCCUAGCGGCUUUUUGAUCUCCUCGCAGUGUUUUGAUUUUUCCGUCCAUAUCGGGGAACUUGACGCACUGGUGAUAAGUAGAUGGAAUGGCCUGCAUAGAGUGUAUCCAGUGGGUCCUUCGUGCUUACAACGGCAAACUUGACAGUUCGAGUGACUCCACAUGCGCAUACCGGAAGGCGGAUUGUUCCCAGUAUUGUUUCGGAGGAUCCGUUGAAGCCGGUUAAUGUUAUGGAGGAUGGUUUGAUGUCGUCAAGAUCGACUCCCAUCUUCUGCAGGGUUCCUCGGAAGAUGAGGUCGUCGAAGCUUCCUGUAUCGAUGAGGACCUUGGUGACGUCAUACUCCCCAAUUGCAAGAACUACAAGAAGAGGGUCGUUGUGGGGUACGUGAAUCCCCUCAGCGUCAUCCGGCGAAAAGGUUAUCGGAGGGUGAUAUGGCGGCCUAGUCGGCCAUCUCUGCGAAGUCGCGACCUGCCGACGGUAAUCCUUGACGGAGCGAACAGAGUUGCCGCAAGGAGGAGAACCGCCCAUGAUGACAUUUAGUUGACGUCGCGUUUGUACCUGCUUGGAGUCUAAGAAGGCGCGUAAAUCGGUUGGUACGCUGCUGUCGUUUUUUGAUGACGGAGUGUCGUUGCUUGACAUCUUAGUUUGCUCCAAACGCCUUCGGAGGUCAGUGGGCUUCGAACGAUUGAGGCGGAUUCGAAGAUCGCAUGCUCCUGCGUUGAGUUUAUCCCUAAGGUCGCCGUUCGAGCGUUCUUUGGGAUCGGGGUCAACUGCCAAGAUACGCCGUGACUUCCGUGCAUUCAACGUUGUUCGGAGAUCAUUUCGCGUGGAGCUGUUGCUAUUUUCGGAUUCGAACUUUCGUUUCAGAACAUCUCUCAAAUCUUCGAGUACAGGUGUGUCAUCGUUCUCAUCGUCCGACGACAAGGUUUGCUGAGAAAGUAUGACCUCAAUGCGUAUGCGGUUAGCUGGUUGCUCUUCGUCGGUCGAGGAGUCUGCCUCGCCGUUACUCUUUGGAGCAUCCUCCUCGUCAUCUCGUUGUUGAGUUUCGCUAUGUAGACCUUUGCCUGUAGCUUUGCGCUGGGCUCUCCUUUCUUUAUUCUUGCUCCAGCUCUUGCCGUUCUUCGGCUUAGCCUUUAGGGGUUCGAACUUGAAGUCGCCACUUGCUAAGGAUGAGAGGUAGUGCGCAUAGAGUGACUUGCACUCUGUCGAAUCGUGCCCUUUGACGUCGUGAUACUUGCAAUGUUUGGUGAGAUCGACGGUUCUGGAAGGUCCUGCCGCUGAACCUGCUGUUGUUGUAGUCUGGGUCGAGCAAACGGCGUCGACUGGUUUGUCGGACGAAUCGAGCUCCCUUACCCACUUGUUCCAUCCUUCUCCACGGACUACGAGAGUUGAAACCAGCACGUUGUUCUCGUUGACGACAUACAUGUAUCCGUCUUUGCGGCCAUUUUUGUCGAUUGGAGCAUGCUGGCGCGGUUCUUGUCGCGUGUUGGCGUUUUUAGCCGCUGGAGCUUUGGGUGCGUUCAUCUUGCUGAGGAUGGCGUUAGUAUCUUCUUCCAUUCGGAUGAAGUUUUCAGAUCGCGCGAUAGCGUCCUGGAGCGACGUAGUUGGGUUUUGGUAUAAAUCCUCUCGGAAUUUAGAACGAACCCACAACGUGUUCCGUAGGGCGUCGAUGGCAAUACCGUCUGGAAUUUUGAUCCUCGAGACUACAGUUUGAACUUCUCCAUGUAGUCGCGGAGGCUCGGGUCUUUGGUUUGGUUGAGGUUCCACAAGCUAGAGGCGGUAGCGCUGCGCUUGGUGAACAUAAUGUAAGUCUUGAGAAAAACUGCUGACAAGUCGCGGAAGCUUCCGAUGGAGUUUUCUUCUAACUGGGAAAACCAGGUUAGGGCUUGCUCGUGGAGAGUUUCAACGAACAGUUGGUAGUAGCCCGCGUCCCUUUCUUCGUCGGGGAGUCGAGCCCGUGCCAUCGCGAUGUUGAAAGCUGUCAUGUGUUCCACUGGGUCUCCGCCGGGUUUGUACUCGGGUAGGCGCAGCUUCUCUAUCUUUCCGAGUUGCACACUAGUCAGAGCGCUAGUAAAAGGAGUGCGUGAUGCUGCGGUGAGGACGCUCUCGAUUUGCGGGGUGGUCGGCGAGAAGGGUUUCAUUAGGCUCCGAGUCGUCUGAGGUAUGAUCGCCUCCGGUCGCCGUUGGGUUGGUGUUAAAGAGGCGACGGCGUAUCUGCUGGGGACGGCUUGUUUGGCUAUCGGGAGCUGUGAGUGCCGCGACCAAAGCAGCUAGUUGGUCGUUGGUCGUCUUUUGGACUUCGUCUUGACGAGCAAGUCGAGCCAUGAUAGAGCUCAUAAAAUCUGCGGCGAUGGGUGGCGCGGCUUUGGGCGUUGGGGUCGGUUCUCCGCCCGGAUCGCCGAAGGUGGCGUCGUCUUGAACCAUGUAGAUCUAGAACGUUACUUUGGUCAGCCCAACGGAGGGUGCCAAUUGGAUUCAGUCGACUAAAAUGAAAGAAGUCAGAGAUGGGAUGACUAAAGACGUUUUAUUAGAUUUGAACUGGAGGGUUACAAGAGUGACAGGAAAGUGAAAGAGCAACAAGAUCAAAGAGUAACAAGAUCAAAGAGAUCGCCUAAAACCCUAGAUCUAGCCGUUCGGUCUGUUCAAUGGUCCAAAAGUCCUCUCCUUGUUGCUUCCCCUUCCCUUUUUAUAAGACUCUUGCCCUUGAUGCCCUAAUUUUGUACCUCUUGGGCUUUGAUGCGAGAGGCCGAGUAUGCGGGCUUUGACAAGGCUCCCUCCAAGCCGGGCGCUUUUGGUCGGCUUACUCGACCGGCUAAAAGUACUCUAAGGUCGAGCCGAUAGGUUUGGCCGCCGAGCCGACCAAACCGAUCUGACUUGCUGGAUUAGGGCCUGUUAUUCGAUGGGCCUUGUGGAGGGGUCUAAUCCAUCUCCUACAUUGGUGGAUCAUUUUAUUGCUAGUUAUCAAAAACUGCACUCUAUAAGUCCAGCACCGGAUUGACAAAAAUUAACAACAGAGAAGGUGACAGAGUGAUACGCAGACCUUGAGAUGUCCAGCUUCAGCAGUGUGUACGUUCUUCAGUUUGGUCGACGAACACAGCUUCGUCGGUUUAAUCAAAGAUGGAUAACUACCUGCACACAGCACCGUAAAACAUGCCAUAGCAAAAAUUAAAGGUAUAUUGAGUAGGUAAAUGUAAAGUUUAAUGACAUUGUGUGAAGGUGAAUGUUUUCUACCAGACGACACCAACCACAUUCGAAUCAUCAUGCAUGUGAAAGAAGAUUCCUCUCCGUUGGAGCUUGAGAGAUGUAAUACCAGCCGUUGGCAGUUUUGAUCCCCGUAACUUUACCGAUACAGAGGAAGUUAAUUGUCUGGGAUUGAUGGGAAAACAGUGGGAGAUUAUUAAAGCCCUAACAGGUUAAAAAUUUGAUAGAGUUGCAUGGUACCUGUCUACCUGAAGUUGCGAUGUCAUGACAUAUUCAUUGCAACGGUGAGAGUCUAUUUUCUGUCACGCAGAGACGGGCCAUGUUGUGUAGUCAGUUGAACCUUCCCGUACCAAUCUAUUCCGGUUUUGAGAGUUUUCAGAGAUUAUUAAUGGACUUUGGAAUUAAUUAGAGACUGCAAAGUCAUGCAAUAACUUGGAGGAUCUAACAUACUUUUCAUAAUAACUCUGGCCAGCAGCUGUCUCUGAGUCUAAGUAGAAAAGAGUGACUGACAUGGCAUUAAAAAAUAACCAGCCUAAACAAAGGUAAUAGAGGUUCAGAAAAUGUUUAGUUCAAUUGAAUAUACAAAGUGCCAUUUUUGGUGAAGUUGGUAUGCUAGCCUAUCAAACACACUUAGGCAAAAAUGACAAUUCGGUAAGCCAGCAAAUUGUAUAAAGUGACAUAAGGCUUGUUGUAAUCCAAGGGUGUAGGAGAUGGAUUACAUCCCUCCACAAGGCCCAUCGAAUAACAGGCCCUAGCCCGGCAAGCUUGACUAGUUUAGUCGGCUAAAGCGGCUAAAGGUGUCAGCUCGAUCCCAGAGCACUUUUAGCCGAUCAGCUAAGCCGACUAAAUACGCUCGGCUUAUAGAGAACAGUACCAAGGCCCGCAUACUCGGCCUUUAACGACAGGGCCCAAAGGACGACACGAUUAGGGCAUCACGGACGGUUACACUAUAAGAGAGGAUGAGGAGACAACGAAGGGAAGGACUUUUGGACAACACACACAGAGGCGGCUAGAUCUAGGGUUUUCCAAUCAUCUCUUUGAUCCUGUUGCUUAAACCUUUGAUCUUGUCUCCUUAUUUCCCGUCAAUCUUGUAACCUCUUGUUUGAUUCUAAAAAAAGCGUCUUUAGUCACCCCAUUCCUACGUUCAUUAUUCUAAUCAACCGAAUCCUGUACAAACAAUUGGCGCCCACCGUGGGGCCGACUAAAGUAACGUUCUAGAUCUCCAUGGUUCAAAACGACGCCACCUUCGGCGCUCCAGGCGGCGAACCAACCCCCACGCCAGAAGCCGCGCCUCCCAUAACCACAGAUUUCAUGAGCUCUAUCACGGCUCGACUUGCUCAACAAGACGAAGUCCAAAAGACGACCAACGACCAGUUAGCUGCUCUGGUCGCGGCCCUCACAGCUCCCGACGGCCAAACAAGCCGUCCACAGCAGAUACGCCGUCGCCUCUUUAACACAAACCCGACGGCGACCGGAGGCGAACAUCUCUCAGACGACUCCGAGCCUAACGAAACCCUUCUCGCCGACCAGCCCCCGGUAGGUCCUGAUCUGGCAACCAUACGCGAGCUCGCUGAGCUCAAACUCCAGAUGACGACGGAUUUGGUCCUGAUUGGAGAACUGAGUUUAUCGACUACCUCUCGAAGGGAGAACUCCCAAACGACAAAUGGGAAGCUCGCCGACUAAAAACACGCAUCGCCCAUUACGUCGUUCUUGACGAUGAACUACACCGCUGGACCGCGAGUAAAGUACUCCUAAAAUGCAUUCAUGGCGACGAGACAGCAAGGGUUAUGGCAGAGACGCACGAAGGCGCUGGCGGAAAUCAUUCGGGCGGACGUGCAUUAGCAAUCAAAGUAAGGAGCUUGGGCUUCUUCUGGCCAACAAUGAACGCAGAUUGUGAGUCUUACGCGAGAAGCUGCGACAAGUGCCAACGGCACGCACCUAGUAUCCAUUGUCCAACCGAAAUGUUGCGAACAACCACCGCUCCAUACCCGUUCAUGCGAUGGGCAAUGGACAUCAUUGGACCACUUCCCUGUUCCCGCCAAAGACGCUUCAUCCUCGUCCUCACCGACUACUUUACCAAAUGGAUCAAAGCUGAAGCAUAUGCUCAAGUCACGGACAAAGAAGUCCGCCGUUUCGUCUGGAAAAAUAUUAUCUGCCGCCACGGUUUACCUUAUGAGAUCGUUACCGAUAACGGAUCGCAGUUCAUGUCAGGCAACUUCAAGGAGUUCUGCGGCAAAUGGAACAUUCGACUAAGCCCCUCCACUCCUCGUUACCCGCAAGGUAAUGGCCAGGCAGAAUCCUCCAAUAAACUCAUCAUCGAUGGCAUUAAAAAGCGCCUGGAUCUGAAAAAGGGUCACUGGGCCGACGAGCUCGAUGGGGUCCUAUGGAGCCAUCGCACAACGCCGCGAGGAUCAACUAAAUCGACACCUUUCUCCCUCGCCUACGGUGUAGAAGCCAUGUCUCCCGCUGAAGUCAACGUUUCAAGCCUCCGACGCUCCAAGAUGCCUCAAUACGUCGAACUCAACAAGGAAAUGCUACUCGACGCCCUUGAUGAGAUAGAAGAACGACGAGAUCAAGCUCUGCUGCGCAUCCAGAACUAUCAACACCAGAUCAAGAGUUACUACAACAAAAAGGUCCGUGCCCGACCUCUGGAACUCGGUGACCUCGUCAUGCGCAAGGUGUUUGAAAACACUAAGGAGCUAAACGCCGGUAAACUCGGCACCAGGUGGGAGGGACCUUAUAAAAUCAUCAAAGUCGUCAAACCCGGAGUAUACCGACUCCAAACCUCACGUGGCGAAGAAGUUCCCCGAUCAUGGAACUCGAUGCACCUAAGACGUUUCUACUCGUAGGUGUAUAAAAAAAAAAAACCAAGUAGAUGCACCCCAUGGUCACUUUUACUCGACCGAGUAAAUGCACCACUCACGGCCACUUUUACUCGGGAAAAACGAACCACGAAUGGCUUGAUCCUCAACCGAGGUACGUAGGCAGCCUUAAACAGGUCCAGCUGUAACAAAAUCAAAGUCAAAAUCUUGUUCUUUGUCUCAACUUCUACUGAGUGGAUGCCUGUUAUCAAACCCAACGGCUCCCGUGUCUCCAGCAGGAGACACGCGGACACUAUCGUUCAAUUUCCUGGCUAUGUCCUGAUCAGACACUUAGCCUGAGGACCCAACAGUCGCUAGUCACCUAUGCCCAAGGAGCAUUGACCGACUAAACGGAGUGAAUCUUUAACCUUUCCUCGACUAAACGCGUAAUGGACUAGAUACCCAAUUACUCGAUUGUCAUUGAGGAAACGGACAAAAGAACCUUCCACUCUUAGACCCAGUCCCUUGUCCUCGAUAUAGAACGAUGCGCCUAAACGUCGUCUCGAUCGAAAUGCGACAAGAGCUGAACAUAUCCCCUAGCGGUUCGUUUCCUUAUCUAUUUGCAAAAGCCAAAGGUCGGGAAUCUAUUGUUUCUAAGCGAACACAUCGCGAGACACUAAAGAUUCUGACAUUUACUUUAACAAAGUUUGCAAGUACAGGUGAGAAACACAACCCACAAAUUUAAAGAUCGCUUAAAACAGCGACUUGCCAAAAAAAAAAUAUAUAUGUCUAAUCAUACAACAACAGGGUCUAUCAAGACCACAACAGAUAAGAACAUAAGUGACACGUCAAAGAACAGAAUCUUGAUCGUCAGGACCCUUGGUAGCGGCAGCAGUUGGGUCCUCCGCCCGAGUAGGAAUAGAAGCAAGAGAGUCUACAACGGGACGUGGAGGAACAUCUGUAUCCCCAGCUUCGUAGAUCGUCUCCUCCUCAGCAGGACGUGGCAGCGACGCCUCCUCGAUCCCAUCGUUAUCCUCCUCCCCAUCCUCUCGUCCUUCGGAGGAAGAAUCCGAGACGAGCACAGGAUCCUCGACACCCACGUUCUUGGUCUCUCCCUCUCGAACCAGAGUGUCGCCUAUCUCGAGGCCGUCCUUUCCAGGAAAUCCCUUCAAAUUCUCGUCCUCUGGGUGCUCAUCAAAACCGCUUUCCACCGGGGACUUGACAAGCUCGGUGGGGACAGACGUGACAUCAACAAGUGGCUCCUGUGACGGCUCCUCAACAACUUCGAGCGAGGUAACGAGCCGAGAAGCCGUCUCUGGCCCGAUCAAAUUUACGUUCGACCCAUAGGGAUCGAAUGACGUUCUGAACCUGUCCUCGGCGAAACGAGAAGGAAGGACCAACGGAGAAAGAGUAAGGCACUGUCGGACAGCGGCUCUACUCGGAGUUUCAUAACCUCCGCCUCGUAAAGUUUCUCCUGCUCAGCGAAGGCAUCGAUCAUUUCUUGGGGGAUCUCCGUCCCACUCGCCUUUAUAACCUCGAGGCACUUCUUCGUUCCCGAAGCUUGACCAUACAGGUUCUUCGCCUUCUCAAAAGCCUCCAGACGAGUAAAAUGGUUGCGCACGCGAUCAAAACGGCGACUUGCCUUCUCAGCCAUAGCAGCCUCGACUCUUUCCCUCUCACGAGUAACCUCCAAACCCCGGGAGUCCCUCAGGCGUUGCCUCUCUCUCUGAUUAGUUUGUCUACCGCGGCAUCUCUCUCUUCGACUAGCUCGGUCUUCUCCUUCUCCAGGUUCGCAGCCGUUUGCUCCAAAUGACUUUUCUCUCGAACGAGCUCUUUCCUCGCCGCGCUGGAAGACUUAAGCUUGCCCUCCAGUUCUUCGAACUUUACUCGAAGAAUCUCUUUCUCCUCUGCGGCCUUCUCGUUGGCCUUCUUAUGCUCCGCCCUUACUCUCUCAAUGACCUUCAACCGCGUCUGGGCGAGCUUCUCCGAAGAUCCCAACUGGAUCAUCUUCUGUUUCAAAGCACUGUCGUAUUUCUCAACGAGAAAGUUCAUACUCCCGUCACUCUGCAAAAACGACAAACACAGACCACGUGAGACGAGUAAACCCGACGAAUCGAAUAAAGAGAUAAAGUAUGAAGGGUAGCGCAGUUACCCGAGCUCUCGAAGAAGCAGCGUCUAUGUAUUCAUUCCUAAAGUAAAGGUCGUCCAACUGUGGCAUCUCCUUCGUCCCACCACGAAUUUGGUGCGUCAGCUCCGCGCACCUAAGAGGAUUAAGGAUUAGGGGGGUCAUCUCGUUGUAGGAAAACUUGACCCGAUCGGGGAACUCGAUCUUCUUCCUCCUCGCAGUAGAACCCUCUGAACGAGACCCUUUCCUCGCAGACGGAUCGGGAAUAGAUCUCUCACCCGUAACAGGAUCACUGCCCCGCUCUGAGACCUCUCUCUCCUCGGGAGGGGUUUCAAGAGAAACGUCUUCUCCCGCGACAACUUCGAUGAGGCCCGUCUCCGCAUCAGAAGGACGCGGCUCUGCCUCAACGGACUUCUUUUUCUUCUUCUUUCUGGGACGAUCUUCAGGCGCCGCUUCGGAACGGUCAGACUCGACAGAACCCCUUGUAACGCCUUCUCGUCCUACAGCCGGCGCAUCGCCGCGAUCAAUGGAGGAAGUAGCCCCCUCGUAAAGUCUCUUCCUUCCUCUCUCUCCCUUCCUUGCUUCCAAACCCUCGGAGGUUUCGUCGAGGGAAGCGAUCUCUUCAAGAGGAAGCUCUUCGGUUGCUUUCCUCCUGGCUUUCUUGCUCUUCUUCUUCUUUUUAGGAGUUGAGGCAGGAGGCUCCGCCCCAACGUCUUUGUCGACUAAACCAGGAGUUCCUUCCUUGGAAGCUCGGCCUGCGUCAGAACUGGUCGCCCCUUGCACAUCGGCAGUAAUCGACUUCUUCGAAAGCAAUUGCAGUUUCCCCUUCAACAGUGCACUCAAAUCCGGUACCCCGUCCAUCUUCCUAGCUUCGUCCAGAAUUUUCUGCUGUUUCCGAGUAAAAAGAGACAGACGCGACUUACGGGGUCCGAGCACGACAGGAAGCCUUGAUUCCCAAUCAGCUGUAAAAAAAAAAAAAAGAGAAGAGAGACUUAGUUGUUGAUAGAACUUCUCGGAGAAAGACCGAUGAACUCACCUCUAGCAAUCCUAGCUUCUUGGCAUCUUAUCCACUCUCGACUAAGAUCAGGCCAACGAAGAUGACUAUGAGCCGCGAUCGCCUGAGCACUCUCAAAGAAUUUCUCAGGGUAUGCGAUCGUAUUCGGGUGACGAACUGCAACAACAAGAAACACGCCGUUAGGAUACUCGAAAAAAGCACGAUGGCAACAAACACUAUCUACCAAGCGUUUUAUUCCACAGAACGCGGUAGUCGUCCCCAGGUGGCUCUGCGAAGGCAUGCUCGUCAGAUUUGACGUAAAAAUAUGAGCGCUGCCAGUCCUUCGUCUUGUUCGGGUGCCCUGACAAGACGUUGUAGCUCGAGCGCAUCUUCACUGAGAAUAUCCCAUGUGGCUCCGCCUUCGUAAAAGUCAAAUCUUCGAAUACUCUCACACUCAUCGAAACGUCUAUCUCCGCUGCCAUCACCAUUAGCAUAACCGCGAUGCGCAGCGACCCGUUAAGCAACUGACAAAUGGCGAUGUCCCGACGAAAUGCGUACGACGUGAUCAGUCGGGGAAUUGGAAACCAGAGCUUCGUAUGGUCUCCAAAAUAAGACUCAUAGACGCACUGAUAGCCAAUCGGAGGCGACCAAGGACGCUGUCCCCUGGAAGGAAUGAUGUAUGUAACGCCGGCACCUCCACUUCGCCUCAAUAAAUCCUUCACCGUCUUGUGGGAGGAGCAAGAAUCGAAGACAUUCCCCCACGACUGAGCCCGCGGGUCAUGAAGCAAUUCGGACGGGAGUGGUCCGAGUUCUUCGAAGAUCCCACCAGGAUGGUAGAUCGUGGGUCGGCAGUCUAUCUGGUCGAAAGGAAUCUCCCGACUAGCUCGUCUCAAAGACCUUGAGGCUUGGCUAGACGCUUCAAAGCCGCUACCGCCCACGUCACUGCUCCCGACUUCAACGCGAUCCCCGCGUUCGUCACGGAUCAUCUUAUGAGCAUCAGAGACCAAAAGGCGUUGAGAUAGGGUCAUAUUGUCUAAAUCCCGAAGAGCAACAUCAACGACCAAAAGGCGUUGAGAUAGGGUCAUAUUGUCUAAGUCCCGGAGAGCGUCCCGAUGAAUCAAGUCGAAAUCAUCCAGCGGGCUGUCAGCUACCCGCUCAUCUCUGGUCGGACUCGGAGAAUCUGCGACGCCCUUCCUUUUUUCUUCUCGCGACAAACGACCUCUCAGAGGCAUGAUCCUGGAUUUAGGGGACGACUACAAUCGCCAGACGAUACCGACAAGCCUGUGUGAGGAGAAACGUACCUAGAGAGAGAAUGUAAAAGUAGAGAGAAGGGAGAGAAAGCGGAAUACCUGAGCUUGCAGAGAAGAAUGACGAAAGCGAAAGGGAGGAACCUAUUUAUAGCAAAAACAUGGGCACAUCCUCCGAAGCGCAAUCAUUAGGUCUACAGAAACCUAAAUGGGCCUCAAAGGCUGCCUAAAUACCCAAAGGCUUACUCGCGACGGUUCGGUUUCUCGUUCAAACCGAUCUCUAAUCAAGAUGCCAGACCGAAAUUAAUCCCCGAUUUCGGUCUAAACCGGUCCUCUAACGUAAACCGAUGAGAUAAGCUUGAGCCCUUAUAUCGGAGUAAUUCGCCUACCGAGUAAAACGUGCCUCCGUGACAAAAACCUGGGCGAGCAAAGCAGAUCGUGAAGAAGUACUACUCUAAGCGACUAGAAACGUCAAUAAAGCGGCAUGCGACUAAACACGCUAGGACCUGAUAUACGAACGAACCUAACCCACAAAUUCACUGAGACCGCUACGCCGCUCACAAGUGAACUGGGGGGGGAGGGCGACUUAUUGUAGGAGAUGGAUUACAUCCUUCCACAAGGCCCAUCGAAUAACAGGCCCUAGCCCGGCAAGCUUGACUAGUUUAGUCGGCUUAAGCGGCUAAAGGUGUCGGCUCGAUCCAAGAGCACUUUUAGCCGAUCAGCUAAGCCGACUAAAUACGCUCGGCUUAUAGAGAACAGUACCAAGGCUCGCAUACUCGGCCUUUAACGACAGGGCCCAAAGAACGACACGAUUAGGGAAUCACGGACGGUUACACUAUAAGAGAGGAUGAGGAGACAACGAAGGGAAGGACUUUUGGACAACACACACAGAGGCGGCUAGAUCUAGGGUUUUCCAAUCAUCUCUUUGAUCCUGUUGCUUAAACCUUUGAUCUUGUCUCCUUAUUUCCGGUCAAUCUUGUAACCUCUUGUUUGAUUCUAAUAAAAGCGUCUUUAGUCACCCCAUUCCUACGUUCAUUAUUCUAAUCAACCGAAUCCUGUACAAACAAAGGGUCAAAAUUAACCUCUUCACUCGCAGGUUUGCCGUUAUACGUUGUAUGCCUUGUGUAUUGCCGUUAUACGUUGUAUGCCUUGUGUAUUGUCAUAUAAUGUGAUCAUGACUGUGGUCAACUCUCCACCUGCAGAAUUAUGAAAUUAAUGAUGUUCUGGACAGAGUCGUGGUGGUUGAAUGAGAUAUGUGAAGGAUCAAAACACAAAGAAACAGACCAGGGAGGUGAGUGUUGGUUUAGCCAAAGCUAAUAGUUGGUCAUUGUUCUAGAACCUAAACAUAUCUUCUGGUAUUUGAUUGACGGAAUCGUAUAACAGAACAAACGCUCUAAGAUCGUUGAUUCGGAUGGCGAGGGGGGGGGGGGGGGCCUUAACGGGCUUUUCUCUUUGGAAAAGCUCUGCAUGAAGAGCAACCGUCAAAUAAGUACGGUAUGGUAAGGUUAUCAGUUGAAAUCGGAAAACAAAGACAGUGUACACUCCCCGGAGUUACCAUUGCAUCGAUGAAGAACAUGACGACGCCCAUGAGGUAUCCUCCUUUCUUUACAUUAGGCCCAAAAACAGGAGCUGUCGAACCUCCACGGGAUUUGCACAACGGCCGGCUUUCAAGUCAGUGAGAAGAAGGCGUGUGGUGGCCAUCGAAGAUAUAUGGGCUUCAAAAAAUAGUUUCAAGUGAAUUUAUAGGAUCUGUGGUUUUCAUCAGAGCAUACGCCGGUAUUUAUAGGUGUAGCUUUAGUACGUUACCAUGGAAGAGAGGAAGGUCAUCAAUGCGAAGGAGUGGAGGUAGCGCCAGUAAAUGUGAUCAUUAUAGGGUUGAUUGAAUGAAACGGUGUUUUGAUUGUAAGCCUAAUAUAGAGGAACAGUCGCGGUGGCCGUGGCUACAAUAUUCCGACCAUCGAGCUGCGUUUGGCCGUUUAAGAAAGAUAUAGUUUAAUAUUUCGACUGAUUGGCUUAUCUCUUGCAAUCUCAACGAAGGGGGCCAAGUAUACUGUCAGCUUAUUUUAAUUUAUUGUGUUUAGUCUCAGAAUAAUUGAGCAGCCUACUCGAAACAAAAUUAUAAACAAUCCAUAAAACUUAAAUAGAAUGGUGCCACGUGUUGUAUUUUCCCGCUGCUUUGAUGCUGAGGUGGAUGAUUGUGGAGAUACUAUUGUCUACUUUAUUAUUAUAGAAAAAUAAAACUAGAUCUUUUUUACCAAAACCAUAAAAAUAGAACUUUUUCACCUAGACAAAUUUCCACCAAAAAUGAGUCGAUCAAUCUUACUAGACUAAUACAAUAUACGAAUAGGAAGUAGAAUGAAAGAAACGGUACACCAAAAAAUUAACAAGUUUUCUCGCCAAAAAAAUAUUUCAUAUCAAAACUGUAGUAUCUUAUUUCACAGGAAACCACAAAAUUGAAUCUUUGCACAAAACCGCAAAAUGAUACUUUUCGGCAAAACCACAACAUAUAUAUUUUCUUCCAAAAUCACAAAAUCUUGUUUCCACUAUACCAUAAAAUCAUGUUUUCUUGUCAAUAUCGUAAAAGCAUUUUUUUCCGUUAAAACAAGUUUUUUCCGCCAAAAGCCAUAGGAUAAUAUUUUCCAGCCAGAAUCUAAAAGGCGCCAAAACCACAAUAUUGAAAAUACAAAAAGAUAUUGAGAUUCUAUGUUUCACGUGAAUUAUUUAAAAUAUAUGAAAUGGUAACUUGGAUACCCGCAAACAAGUAAACCACAAUUUUGAAAAUAAAAAAAGAUAUUGAGAUUCUAAGUUUCACGUGGUGUAUUGUUUUAGGGUUUUUUUGCAAAUUGAACUUACAAUAGGCUGGAUUUUUUGUGGACUAUGAUGGUAAUUUUACUGUAUGUAUAUUAACAAUUUCGUUGGAAAGAGGACCUAGUCUCCAUAAAAUGAUUGGCGAUAGCGACGGCGACUCUGGUUCUAAGGAAAUCGCGAAAGAGAAAGGAGAUGGGGGGCUAUUGGAGAUUACAGAUCUCGGUGUUUCUCAGAGGAAAGAGGUGGGAAGAGGAGGAUCUCCUGUUCGGAGAAGUGAAGCGGUUGAUAUCGGACUCAAAAAGGUCGCGUACUCUGCUGCGCUGGUGGACGGGAAUUUAGGGUUGGAUCUACAACCCGAUUUUGUUGUUAAGGAGGGAGUCGCAGAGGUUUCGAUUCCGGAGGAGGUGUUUGCAGAUGUUGAGCCUUUUUAAAGGUGUUUUGUCGCUGGAUACUUUAUGAAUGAUGCUCCACAUAUUAGAUCGAUCCACGCAACAGUAAACAUGAUUUGGAACCUUCCUGGGAAGAAAUCUAAAAUUGAUGUCCAGUUCAUCGGGAAGAUGACAGUACUCUUCAGAAUUGAGGAUGCGGCGGUAAGAAACAGAAUCCUUAACAGGAAGUUCUGGCAUAUCUCUGAAGUUCCAUUGAUGCUGGGUGAGUGGACUCCGGAAACGACUCAGUCUCCUCCUGAUCUCUCUGCUAUGCCUCUAUGGGUUGAUUUACUGAAUGUUCCUGGAUACCUAUAUUCGAAGGAAGGCCUCAAGUUUCUUGCCAGAACCUCUGGUAAAUUCAUUAAGCUUCACCCAAACACUGAGCGCUGCAUUCGCAUGGAUGUCGCUAGAGUUUUGGUGGAAGUUGACCUAACCAAGCCGUUACCAAACAAGAUCAGUUUCCAGAAUAGGGAUGGCCUCCCUGUCUUGGUACCGAUCAGCUACCCGUGGGUUCCCCCUCGGUGUCUUACUUGUUAGAAAUGGGGUCAUUCUGCUACGGACUGUAAAGUGCAGAGGCCACUUCCUCAUGUUCAGCCUCCGACCGAAGACGCGACUACAUGCUGUGAAACUGACAUAGUAGAACUGGAAGGUUUUUCUUCUAAAGAUAAUGUGGAGAGGUCUAGUUCUGCGAUUGUAACUAAGCUUCUCACAGAACUGGAGUCACUUUCAGGAAGGGAGAACUUGUCUAGUAAGCCCCCCCCNNNNNNNNNNNNNNNNNNNNNNNNNNNNNNNNNNNNNNNNNNNNGACCCCCCCCCCCCCCCCCCCGGUAGAGGAUGUGGAUCAGUUGAGCAGUGAACAGCAGGUAUAGGAAAUUAAGGAGAAGGAAUGGGAUUUAGUGACACUGAAGAAUGGGGGCAUGGCGUCACCUGGGAAGGUUGUCAAGGCGGUUGAGGGUUACACCUCAUCGAAUGGGUUCCAAAUACUGCAGGACCUGAGAGAGGAAAGUGAGAUUAAUGAGGAUGAUGUUGACGACGAGGCUGAUGAUGAGGUUGAGGGUGGAGUUGGUGCUGUUGUUGAAGCGGAGGAUGCUGGUGCUCGGGGAAUAGUAGAUCAGGUUGUUGGCAACACUACUGUCACCGCAUCUCUAACUGAGGUAGUGGAGACAAAAGACUUGAUAAUCCCUCCGAAGCAUUCUUCUUCUACCAGAGGUCGAGGCAGAGGAUCAAAGCGUCUGAUAGUGAGCUCAAGGGGCUUGGUACAUGCUGUGGUACAUCAACAGAAGGUGCAGAACUCAAGCAAAAAAGCUUCCUCGAGGAAGCACUGAUGUCGUCGUUCUUUGCUUGGAACAUGCAUGGGUUCAAUAAACCACACAAACAAAGGGCAGUUAGGUAUUGGGUUAAAGCUGCUAAAUUAUCUAUUGGAUGUUUGACUGAGACUAAAGUGAAGGAAGAAAAUUUUCAAAAGGUGUUUGAUGCGACGUUCCCGGGAUGGAGUUGCGUGCAUAACUACCCAAAUCAUAGACUGGGACGUAUUUGGGUAUGCUGGUCGGAUGAGGUUGAGGUGUGUCAUGUGUCCACUAGUAUGCAGAUGAUCACAGUGUGAGUGAAGUAUAAGGCUUCGGGAGAUACUUUUCUCUGCUCAUUUGUAUAUGCUUCUAAUUAUGCAAAUGAGAGAAGGGAACUAUGGAGGGAAAUGGAGGUGAUAGGCUCAUCAGUGGGAAAUAAUCCUUGGAUUAUACAAGGGGAUUUCAACGUUGCUUUAUCAACACAAGAACACUCCUGUGCCACAGCUUCUAGAAUGGAUAUGAAUGCGAUCAGGGAGUUCCAAGAUGUGGUGGAGAAGUGUGACAUGAUGGAUUUAGCGCAAGUGGGGCCUCUUUUACUUGGUCAAAUUGUCAGGACGACAAUCCUAUUAGUAAAAAUCUUGAUCGGGUGAUGAUAAACAGUGUAUGGAUAAAUGAAUUUUCCCAUUCUUUCGUUACUUUUGAGUAUGGGGGAUUUUCUGACCACAUGCGGAUGCACACACAGCUGCGAGAUGUUCCCCCGGUUAAUAUGAAGCCUUUUAAGUUUUUUAAUCAUCUCAUUGGCCAUCCUAAGUUUCUUGAGGUGGUCGAACGGGCCUGGAAUGAAUCACCACCUCUUUUCCACUCCCCGUCGGCGCUUGGUAUGUUUCAGGAGAAGUUGAAGGCCCUGAAAUUUGAUAUGAGAGGACUAAACAAAGAUCUCUAUGGGGACUUACCAGGACGUGUGAAGCUGGUAUAUGAAUUGCUUUGUGCUAGACAAACUGAAGCUAUGCAGAAUCCGUAAACAUCAACUUUUGAAGCUGCUUCUGACGCUUGGGAACACUGGCAUCACAUAUCUGGGAUUGAGGAGCAGUUUUUCUAUCAAAAGUCGCGAGUGCAGUGGCUUGGACUCGGGGACAGGAACUCCAUAUUUUUCUACAAGGUCACACAAAAUCGAAAUGUCAGAAACACGAUAAGGAGGAUUGUCACUGGGGAUGGUCUGAUCCUCACUGCUCCAGCAGAUAUCAAGAUGGGGGCCGCAGCUCAUUUUGAGUCCUUCCUAAAUGGCUCUACUCCUCCAGGGCAGCAUGUUUCUCAAGAAGAAAUCAGUGAGCUUAUUGAUUAUCGCUGCCCAGUAGAGAUGGUGGCGAUGUUGCAAGCUCCGGUCCAGGCUGCGGAAAUAAAAGAGAUCCUCUUCUCAAUGCCAGCGAACAAGGCUCCUAGGCCAGACGGUUAUCCUAUGGAGUUUUAUAAGGCAGCUUGGUCAGUUGUAGGAAGAGAUUUUGUUACGGCUGUGCAAUCAUUUUUCAUCUUCGGUUUCAUGCCUCGUAGCAUUAAUGCAACUCUGCUCUCUUUGGUCCCCAAGACUACUGAUGCAGAGAAAAUGACUGAUUUCAGGCCUAUUGCGUGUUGCAAUGUCAUUUACAAAGUGGUUUCAAAUUUAAUUGCUAGGCGACUCAAGGCUACACUCCCUGAGUCUAUUGAAUUAAAUCAGUGUGCUUUUGUUGAGGGCAGGUUUCUCCUGGAAAAUAUCCUACUAGCCACUGAGCUUGUCAAAGACUACCACAAGAGCUCGGUACCUCCAGAUCAGCCAUCAAAUUGGACAUCUCAAAGGCAUUUGACACUAUCAGUUGGGAGUUUAUUGAGAAGACUUUGAGAGCAAUGGGCUAUCCAGAUCUGUUUAUUACUUGGAUUAUGAGAUGUAUUGAUACUGCAGCGUUUUUGGUCUCUCUCAAUGGGGAGUUAACAGGGUUUUUCUCCAGUAGCAGAGGUAUACGGCAAGGGUGCUCGCUGUCUCCGUAUAUCUAUGUUAUUGUCAGCAACGUUCUCUCAAAGCUCCUAAACAAAGCGACCACGGAUGGUCUUAUUGGCCCUCAUCCUCACUGCAAAGAGAUUAACCUGUCGCACCUGAGUUUUACGGAUGAUAUAGUUGUCUUUACCAAUGGAUCCCUGGAGUUUCUCAAGAACACACUCGAGGUGUUUGAUAAGUUUGCAAGUAUGUCGGGGCUUGCUAUCAAUGUAGCAAAGUCAACUGUGUUUGCUGCGGGUUGAGGGAAACAAGCACUUGAAGCUGCAGCGGGGGUCUCCGGUCUCUCCAUCUCUGCGCUACCCAUCAAGUAUCUUGGAUUUCCCCUCACCACGAAGCUUAUGAAUAAAACUGACUAUGAGCCCCUGAUCACAAAAAUCAGGAAGAGGUUCCUAUCUUGGACGAGUAAGGCUCUUUCUUACGCAGGUUGCAGCUCAUAAAAUCAGUAACCGCGAGCAUCACUAACUUCUGGUGCGCCGCUUUCUGUCUCCCUCAAGCUUGUAUGGAUGAGAUAGAAAGUAUGUGCUCUGCUUUCUUAUGGAGCGGCUCCCCGAACAACACGUCCAUGGCGAAGGUUGCGUGGGCUGAAGUUUGCUGUCCUUUUAAAAAAGGUGGUCUGGGGCUGCGCCGUGUUCAGGAAGUAGGUACCGUUUUUGUUUUGAAACUUAUAUGGAGGCUCUCUGCUCACUCCUAUUCGCUCUGGGGAACGUGGGUGAGACAAUAUCUGCUGCGAGGUGAGACUUUAUGGGAUGUGAAGGACACAGGUUUGGGUUCUUGGGUCUGGCGUAAAAUCCUCAAGUUCCGUACUCUCGCGAAGCAGUUCCUGUGUAUGGACAUCAAGAAUAGCCAAACAGCGAAGUUCUGGACUGAUGUGUGGCUCCCUGCAGGGAGACUGAUUGACCUUGCUGGUGAGAUUGGAACCCAAAAGUUAGGCAUUCCGAGAAAUGCGAGAAUUUGUGAUGUUUUGGAUGGGGAGGUUUGGAAUCUAAGGGCAUCUCGCGAUCAGCACAUACAGCAGCUGAUGCAGGUAAUUCGCCAGUUUCCUUUAUCGCUGACUGUAAAUGUCCCUGAUGGAGUCAUGUGGAGGAACGGCCCUGGCGACUAUGGGGAUAGUUCAUCGCUUCUAGUACUUGGCAACAGAUCAGACAGAGUAGAGAUGAAGUUCAGUGGAGCAUGAUUGUCUGGUUCUCCCAAGGGGUACCUCGUUUCUCUUUCAUCACUUGGCUAGCUCUCCGUGAUAGGCUCUCAACACGCCAUCGAAUGCGCAGAUGGGGUCAAUCGCACGUUUGUAUAUUAUGUGGUGAGCCAGAUGAGACGAGAGAUCAUCUAUAUUUUUCUUGUCUGUAUACUUACACACUGUGGUUGCAAGUUGUGGGGAAUCUCUUCGGUGCUGAGCCUGAUCCGUACUGGGGCAUCACUAUAUCGCGGCUGAUCACAGGAACAUAUGAUCGUCUUACUUUCAUAUUGUUGAAACUUGUUUUGCAAGUAACCAUAUACUACAUCUAGAGGGAAAGAAAUUAUAGGAGACACAGCAACUCUGUUAAGACUGUGGACCAGCUUGGCUGUAUCAUAGACAAGACAAUGAAUAGCCGGAUAAUGUUGACCAAAUAUUAUCAGAAACCAAAGCUGCAGGGUCUGAUGUGCCGCUGAUUUGAAGCUCACAUGCCUUAAUUCUUUACAGAUUAAUACACUAGUUUGAAGUCUUGAGUCUUAUUCUUUGUACAUAUACAUUCUUUUGCUCUGAUCAAUAAAUUAAACAUUUCAUCAAAAAAAAUUUUUUUACUGUAUGUUAACUCUAUUAGUAAGCAACAAAAUUUCGUUACAUAUUUUAUUUGUUCAUUGAUAUUAGAGAAAUUGCACUAGAUAACGUAAAGAACUUAGUUUAUUAAGGAUAUGGAAAAGAGCUACAAAAUCACUGUGCAUUUUUCUAAAUCCCGAACUUAGCCCUUUAGCUAAACCUGGGUUUACAAAGAACACGACAAAUAUUUCAUUUGCCUUCGCUCGGCCGUCCUAUUUCAGUAAGCAAUCAGCCUCCACCGCCGUCGUCAGUUGUAAGCAUUCGUCUCCACCGCCGUGUUCAUGCCUUUACUUUCGUGUUGCUGCCCCCACCUCCACUAUCGUGUUCUUGUAAGCCUUUGCCUCCGCUGCGUCAUCACCGUGUCCCCAUAAGUCUCCACUUCCACCACAGUGUUCUUGAAAAUCAUAUCAAGUGAUGGCUAUUUUACUAUAAGACAGACAUGGAAUCGAAUUUCUCGAGUCAUAUUUUUCCCCCAAAGGUGAUUUCGGAUUCACUUACAAAAUUAUUAACUUCUCCGACCGUUUUCUCCGGAUCAAGAUAAUGAGUUUGCAUGUGGAUUCUAUAUCUAAUGGAGAAGGUUGGACUAGUAUUGCCGAUUGGCUCGUCAUUUCAAGAAGACAAGAGGAGAAAAUGAAGCUCUCGGACAAAAGAGAAGUCCCUCUAACCUAGUGAUAAGAAUUUUGGUUUUGUGUGCUUCAAGAUCUAUGGUUUUAGAGUUUUGAACCUGGGUGUUCAACUCCUAAACUUUCACAAAAAUUAUUUUCGGUAAGUAUUAUUUUCAUUUAGAAGUUCCAUUGAUCUAGACUGUACAUUUAUAUAUGAAAUCUCUAUAAGAUUGUUACUCCGACACAAGAAUCAACAAAUUGGAUAGAAAAGUAAUUACACACCCUUCACACUAUUAAAUUUGCAAAUAUUUUCAAAUUCUGCAUAGAUAGCUAAUUACCUAUGUUUCUAUGUAUAUAGAGCUAAAUUGCUGUUGAUAUUAUUAGAAAAGGACUUUAGAAGUCUAAUUAUUAUUUUAUGAGGCCUGGAAAAUUAUUAUUUGAUAUAUUUUUAUUUAAACUUCAAAUUUUCUGGAGCUUAGAAAAUAAAUCUUAAAUAGAAUACAAUUUUUUGGUUAAAAUUCUAUGUUUAUUUUGGUUCAAAUAUGAUUCAAAUUUCGAUUAAAAAGACUAAAAAUGACUAAGGUUUAAAGUAGUAUUAUGGUUUAGUAUUAUACAAAAAUAUAUUAUGUUAUAUCUGGUUAAUGAGUAAUAUAAAAUUUAUUAAUGGUUUCUUUUGUCAACCUAUUUCGUUUUAGUUUUCUUCUUUUUUUUCCUCCCAGCUCGAGAUUUCACUAGCUUCUUUGAAGGCGUUGAUAAAAAAAAAAAAAAACAACUUGGUCCAAAUAUGUAUAGUUGCUACAAUGGGCCAAUGAACCAUGAAGCCCAUUAAAAGAUCCAUAGUCUGUCUUCAUCUCCUCCAUUCCUCUCAAGCUCGACAGUCUAUUACGACGGGGGAAAAUGGCGUUGCGACAUUUGAGCCGACCGAGAGACAUCGUAAAGAGAUCGACGAAGAAGUACCUCGAGGAACCUCUAUACCACCGUCUCUUCAAGAACGGUGGAUCAGAGGUGAGUGUCCGUCAGCAGCUGAAUCAAUUCCUAAAGGGCACUAAUCACGUCUUCAAAUGGGAAGUCGGAGAUACCAUCAAGAAGCUCCGAAGCCGCGGCCUCUAUUACCCAGCUCUCAAGGUAUCGCAUUUUCGAACAAGUUUAGGUUUAGGGUUUAAGUGUUCAUUACGAACAAGUUAGUCACUGGUACUGAAGCGGAUAAAGAUUCUCUUGAACUAGGUGAUUUUUUAUUGUGAGAUUCAAAUGUAGAGUCUUUUUGGGUUUUUGCAGCUAUCUGAAGUUAUGGAACAUAGAGGUUUGAACAAGACGGUGAGUGAUCAAGCAAUCCAUCUCGAUCUCGUCGCCAAAGCUCGUGGAAUCGCUGCUGGGGAGACUUACUUCGUCAAUCUUCCGGAAACAUCUAAAACCGAGCUCACCUAUGCGUCUCUUUUGAACUGCUACUGCAAGGAGUUGAUGACUGAGAAAGCAGAAGGUCUUCUCAACAAGAUGAAAGAGCUCAACAUUACUGUUAGCUCCAUGUCCUAUAACAGCCUCAUGACUCUUUACACAAAGACAGGACAGGCCGAGAGGGUUCCGGGGAUGGUUCAAGAAAUGAAGGCUGAGAAUGUCAUGCCUGAUUCUUACACGCACAAUGUCUGGAUGAGGGCACUGGCUGCUACUGAUGAUGUUUCUGGUGUCGAGAGAGUCAUUGAGGAGUUGAACAGAGAUGGUAGAGUUGCUCCAGAUUGGACUACAUACAGCAAUAUGGCGUCUAUAUACGUUGAUGCGAGACUGUCUGAGAAGGCUGAGAAGGCACUUCAAGAACUUGAGAUGAAAAACACGGACAGGGAUUUUAAGGCGUAUCAGUUUCUUAUUACAUUGUAUGGACGACUUGGGAAACUGACUGAGGUUUAUAGGAUUUGGCGUUCGUUGAGGCUGGCUAUGCCGAAAACCUCAAAUGUAGCUUAUUUGAACAUGAUACAAGUGCUGGUGAACUUGAAAGAUGUAACUGGUGCGGAGACACUGUUCAAGGAAUGGCAAGCUAACUGUACUACUUAUGACAUCAGGGUUGUGAAUGUGAUGAUUGGAGCUUAUGCAAAAGAAGUUCUCAUUGAAAAAGCAAAAGAGCUCAAGGAGAAAGCUCCGAGAAGAGGAGGAAAGCCGAAUGCUAAAACGUGGGAGAUCUUCAUGGAUUACUAUGUUAAGAGUUGUGAUACGGCUCACGCACUUGAGUGUAUAUCUAAGGCAGUUUCCAUAGGCAAAGGAGAUGGUGGUAAGUGGUUACCAUCACAGGAAGCAAUCAGUAGUUUAAUGAUCCAGUUCGAGGAAAAGAAAGAUGUUAAUGGAGCUGAGAAUUUGUUGGAGAUUUUAAAGAAGGGAACUGAUGAUAGUAUAGGUGCAGAGAUCUUUGAAUCAUUGGUAAGAACGUAUGCAGCAGCAGGAAAGAGUCAUCCUGCUAUGCGCCAGCGUCUGAAGAUGGAAAAGGUUGAGGUUAAUGAAGCGACGCAGAAGCUUCUUGAUGAAUUAUGUCACGAAGAGUGAGUAAAGGUCUCUGUUCAUCUCUCUUCUCCUUCAUAUUUUUCCCUUCAGGGAGGGUACUUGCAUUCUGACAGCUCUGUUUCUUUAAUAAGAAUAGGCUCUUUUUAUAUGAUAGCGAAUACGCAAAUCAAUCUUAUGGGUCUGUUUUACAUUCACAUACGACCGUUUGUUUCAUGUGUUUUCUGUGAAUUGUUUCGAGCCUAGCUUCCAUUUACAGUUAGAGACAACAAAACUCUCUCUCUUUCUCUCUUUUCUAUCCUAAAGUUAGUAAUAAGAUAUAAAGUUUAGUUCUUUAAACUUAAUAAUUAACAUUAUCUCUACACAUGGCACUUAAAAUUUUGAAAUGGUGACAUGUUUGAAAUAUAUCAUAGGUAAUAAGAUAAACUAGAGUUGACCGGCUUUGCACGCACGGGUAUUUAUUUUUAAGUUUUUGUACAUUUAUAUUCAUUUUUCAUCAUUAGUGUUAUAUAUUUUAGAUUUGUCACCAUAUAACUAAUUGUAUUCAAAAGACCUAGACUGUAUCGGGUAAUAAAAUUAUUUUUGGUACAAAUAUCCGAACCCGUUUCAAAUACAUUAGUUAUUUAGAUAUUUAGAUAUUUUUAUGUUCCUACACAUUAGAAUAAAAAUCAUUCAGACCCGGAUGACCCAACUCGAACCCCACACAUAAAUUUAUAAUAUACAAGCGGAGCCUAUUUUCAAAACCCAAAAAAAAUGAUCCCGAAAGAAACAACUUGUACCUGAAUGAAUACUUGAAUGUCCAUAUCGAACGGAUUCUGUAAAUAAAUUAAAAAAAAACUCUUUCUAUAUAUUUGGCUAAAAUAAAGGAAAUAAAAAGAUUUUUUUUAUUUAGUAAAAUAGUUAUACAAAGUAAAACAUUAAGUGACAAGAAAUGUAAUACGUUUUAAUUAUUUUGAUUUAAAUUAUUAUUUUGUUCACAUAAACUAUGACUUUGAAUUAUGUGUUUCGUUACGUAACUUUUCACCGACUGGAACUAACAUAAAUUUUUUUUAGUAAAACAGAUUAAAUCAAACUAUUAACCAUAUGCAAAAUCUGGUUAUUUUACAUUUUUGAUUUUUAUAAUUUGCACAAAUUUAGGGUAUGAAUAGUGAUCAAUGAGCUAGAUAUGAUUUUUAUAAUUUGCACAAAUCAUAAAACAAACCAUAACCAAAACUAUUACACAUGGAGCUAGAUAUCAUUUCUCAACAUAGAUAAGAUUGAAAUCCAUUUGACAUCAUCUAUUUGUACCACUUUGGGCAGAAGACUUUCUGAAGACUUCGUGGGAAGUCGUUAGCAUAAAAUAAAUUAGAAGACUUUCCAUUAAGUCUUCCGAGAGUCUUCUGAGAGUAUUCCUAGAAGUCUUCUAAAGUCUGAUUCAGAUCUGAAAAAUCUGCAUAUUCAAAAACAUUCAAAUGGCUUCAAAACAGAGAAAACUUAAAAAAAUAUUUUUUUAUGCUUAAAUAAUAAACAAAACAAUCACGUUUGGUUGAACCUAUAACUUUUUAGAAUGUAAUAUAUAAAACACAAAAAAUAUAUAUCAAAAAAUUGUACCACUUUGGACGGAAGACUUCCCGAAGACUUCGUGGAAAGUCUUCUAUUAUAAAAUGCAUUAGAAAACUUUCCAAGAAAUCUUCCGAGAAGUCUUCUGAGAAGUCUUUCAAAGUCUGUCUAGAUCUGAAAAACCUGCAAAUUCAAAAACAUUCAAAUAGCUUCAAAAUACAGACAAACUUCAAAAAUAUAAUUUUUAUGUUUAAAUAAUAAACAAAACAGUAACAUUAGGUUGAAUCUAUAGCUUUUUAGAAUCUAAUAUGUAAAACACACAAAAAUACAUAUCCAAAAUUUAUAGAUCUAGUUUGAAUGAGUGAAAGAUGAGAACCAUAUAAUGAAAAACCUACAAAAAGAAGAUAAAUUAAUGAGAAGACAUAAGAAAAAAAAUGAAAAAUAGAUUUAAAGUUUGGUUUUUUGAUGUUUAAAGAGAUUAGAGAGAGGUUGGAGAGUUUUAGAGUAAGAAACAUUACAUUUUUCUUUGCAGCCAUUUGAGAGGAAGAAAGAGAAUGUAUAAAUUUUCUUUAUAUAUGGAAACAAAAAUUCCAAUUAAGUUAAAUAUUUUCGAUACAUAAGACUUUUUGGAAAGUCUUCUAAGAGCCUAAAAUCAAAUAACUAACUAAAUAGCAAAAAAAAAAAACACUUCAUUAAACUUAAAAUCAAAAUUUAAAAUGUUUAAUAUACACAAAACUAAACACAUAUAUGCCAAAUUUAAUUGUUUUCUUUUAAGUUAAGAUUUUCAAAUCUAACCGUAAGAAAAUUAACAAUACUAUAACAUAUGUUAUCAAACCCUAAACCAAAAACUAUCAUGACUCAAUCUACAUUCACUCAUAUAUGUUAAAAAUAAUCCAAUUUUAGUAAAAUUAAAUUUAUACCAUUUAGAAAUGUUUAUAUUUACAUGAUUUAGAUUUUUCUUCCUAUCAAAAUAUAUUUUAUAAAUUACUUUUAAUAUCUAAUACAUGAAAAGACUUCUGGAAAACUUUGUUUUUGACGGAAAACAUAAAUUCUAUUAAAUUUUAUAUGGAAAACCUACAUUCUACAAAAAUUCAGGUGGGAAUAUGUUAGAAGACUUCUUGGGAAGUCUUGUAGAAAUCUUUCACAUCCAACCCUAAUCAAAUAACUAACUAAAUAGCAAAUUCAUUAAACUUAAAAUCAUCUUAUAAAAAGUGUUUCAUAUACACAAAACUAAACACAUGUAAGUAAAACAUUUUGAGUUAAGAUUCCAAAAUCUAACCCUAAAUACAAACAAUACUAUAAUAUAUACAAUACUUUAACAUAUCUUACCAAACCCUAAACCAAAGUCUUCUGGGAGUCCUCCACACCCUAUAAUCAAAUAGGUAAACAAAAAACAUUUCCUUAAACUUAAAAGAAAUUUAGAAAAUGCUUAAACCAAAUUAUUAGAUAGUCACUAAACACGUAUAUGUCAAAUUAAAAAAAAAAUCAAAAGAUAAUAUUUCAAAUCUAACCAUAAAAGCACAACAAUACUAUAACAUAUGUUACCAAAUCAUAAACCAAAGGCUAUCAUGAUUUGAUCUUCAUUCACUCAUCUAUGUUAAAAAUAAUUCAAUUUUAGGAAAAUUAAAUUUUCAUAAUUUAGAAAUGUUUAUUAAUACAUAAUUUUGAUUUUUUUCCUUUUCAAAAUAUUUUUUAUAAAAUUUAUUAAUUACUUUUAAGAUCUAAUACAUGAGAAAACUUCUCCCAGAAGACUUCUAGAAGACUUCGAUUUAGGCGAAAAACCUAAAUAAUUCUAAAAUUUUGGCGGAAACUCUAAAUUCUACUAAAAUUUAGACAAGAUAUGUCCGAAGCAAAAAACACUUCUUUAAACUUAAAAGAUACUUAGAAAAUGUUUAAAUCUAGUUAUUAGUCACUAAACACGUAGAUGUCAAAUUAAAAAAAAAGAUAAGAUUUCAAAAUCUAACCCUAAAAAUACUAACAAUACUACAACAUUUGUUACCAAACCCUAAACCAAAGACUAUCAUGACUCAACAUUCACUCAACUAUGUUGAAAAUAAUUCAAUUUUAGUAAAACUAAAUUUACAUCAUUUAAAAAUGUUUAUUAUUACAUGAUAUCAUUUUUUUCCCCAUCAAAAUAUUUUUUUUAAAAAAAAUUUAAAUUAUAUUUAAGAUCUACCGAACAAGAAGAGAAGACUUACAAAGAAUAAUGGUAAAACUCAAUACAUGUUAUUCUCACGCAGAGGGUUAUAAUGGUAAAACUCAAUACAUGUUAUUUGUUUGGUCUUAAAGAUGUUGUUGUAAUUUCACAAGCCUUUUGAAUUAUUUUUGAAUUUGAUUGAAUUUGAGGUGUUUUUUUGUAUUCAAAAUCAAUUUUGAGUCAUUUUUGACAAUUUUUCUAAAAAAUCUGUGCAACGGCACUGUUCCAUAUUUAGUGAGAAUAUAAUUAACAUAGAUCUAAAGAUUUCAAGCAAUAAUUACAAAUUUUGUUCACUUUUGAACUUUAUUUUAGUUUGGUAUAUAUAUAAAUUUUAUGUAUAAGAUUUUUGUUGUUCAAUAUAAAUAUAUAAUACAAUGUCUAAUAUUUUUAUUUAAAAUAUAUAAGUAAGUGAUUCAUCCGCCGCGCUGUCGCACCUAUCUAAACAAAUUCCACAUUUAUCUGAACAAAUGAAUUUGUACAAUAUAAUUGAAUUAUGAAAGUUAGGUUAAUAUUUUCUUUUCAUCUCUUUAUUAUACUUAUAAAUUUGGGGUUUAUUAUUUACAUUUAUUAAAUUUACACAGUAAGAGUUUAAGUUGAUUAUUGUAUUAUGUUAAUUAGGAUUUUGAUUUGGAUUUAACGCUUCAGAUGGACUAUAUAUUACUCGUGUUUCCGUUACACAGGAUUGUUCAUCAUUCCUUUUUGUUUUCUAUAGUUAGAAAUCAUAUUUACCAUUUCCAUUAAUUUACUCACUUAAUAUAGCAAUUAUUGACAUUUACUUUGGUAAAUCCGGUCAUAUGUCCGUCUAAAUUCGGUCUGUUUCUUUUUCAGUGUCUUCUGUUCACUUUAGUUAUAUUAUGUUUUUUUUUAAUAUGUCUUAUGUUAAUUUCACAUUUUCAAGGAAAAUCAAUGGAGUUAUCGCAAGUACCUUUCUAAAGUCUGCAUUAAGCCUGAGCAUUUUAACAAAAUCUGAAAACCGAACUGAAUGAAAAAAAAAAAAAAAACGAAACCAAAUCAGAAUCGUUAUAAAGAUACCUGUAUGGAGACUAAGAGCUAGGUAUAUUAAGGUUUGGGUACAAUUCUUGAACCAAAAUUGGUAUUAAGAUACGAAAACAUCCGAAUUAGUUUAGUCUAUGAAUUUUUACAUAUAUUAAGGUAAUUUAGAAAUUUUGUAUUUUUUUGUUAUUUUGAAUACUUUUUUGUUAGUUUAAAUAUAUUAACUAUUUUAAUUAGAUUUUUGAAUAGUUUAUAUAUUUUGAGUAUUUUUCAGUUUCGUUAGUUUUAAAAGAUUUUUAGGAGUUCAAACAUAGUUUAUAACCCGAUCUGAAUUGAACCCGGAAGGAAGCGGACAAAUCUGAUCUAAAAAUUAGUAAAACUCGAAUGAGACUUAUGAGCAUACUACCAAAAAUUAGAAUCAACCAAACCGAACCCAAACGGGACACCGAAUACCUACGCCUUGUCUGCACUCAUGUGUCCAUCUUAUAUUGUAUUGUGCUUCUGUCUCUUUUUCAAUUUCGGUGUAGAUACCUUUGUACAUGCUUUCAUCCGAGUAACAUGGCAGGCAUACUUCUGGGGGCAGUAGUCCAGCUGGAAAUUUCUUCCAAGUGAGCGGAAAGAUAAGUGGUAGCAAACUUUCAUUGUAAGUCUUUCCUUUCCCUUUCCUUUUCAUUUUCUAAGUAAUGAAAUAAUCAUCAUAACUAACUACUAAUGUAUUUUCUUAUUUGACUUAUAAGCAUACUACCGAAAAACCAAAUUUGAAGGCUCCUAUAUAUGCCCAAGAAGAGAUAUAGUUUGAUAGGUAGACCUUUGCCAAAAACAAAGUUCAAAUCUCUGCACGCUGCACAUAGAGCUUGAAGUGAUCGACGGAUAAUCGGCUGAAACUAGUGCUGGUCAUAGCUCAAAUCAUAAUCUAUCUAUUAACCCCUUAAGCAUAUACUGUAUACAAUGAUGUCUAUUUAAAAUAUGCUGGAAACUAUCAUCGAACAUUUCAAUCGCUCAUAUAUGCCCUAUCAAAAUAAUCUAUGGUAUAAAUCCGAAUUUGUUUAAUUUGCAUGCAAUAUUUCCUUUAAUUUUGGUUAUUUACCUAAACCCUAUUUACCUAGGAUAGGCCAUCAUUCUCUUGUUAUAAGUACAAAACGUUUGUGUCUCAAAAUAAAUAAUAGAUAAUUUUUUAUUAAUAAUAGAUAAAUAAUAGAUAAAACCUUGAUAAAUAGGUUCUUCUAACUAAAUUAUCAUUAUUUGGCAAGUCUAAGUUUGAGUUUUUGUCCAAAUGGUUUACACGAUAGAUCGUAACUGAUGAUCGAUUCACAUUCUAGCAUUAAUCGGAAGGUACUCCAAACUCGGGUCAAACAGUGUGGUAGCCAGUCCACUUUAUAGCACUAAAUGUGUUUUUCCUGAAACCAACCGGAUCAGCUGAUAUGGUUUAUCAAAAAAACAAAAGGUUCUUCUAAACCUGAAAUGACCCUAACAAAAAAGAGUUUUUGAGACCAUAAAGCAAGAAUUCAUUUUGGGUAUCUAGUUAUAUAAAGAAGAACUUGAAUCCCUCCUAGACUAUACACGUUGACAGCAACGUCAUUAAUUCGCACGCCGACAAGCCGACACGUGUCCCAGUUAAGUGAAACCUAGCACUUCAUUAAACUAUUUGUUACAUGGGUUUUUAUUUGACAUGGACCUUCUUUUUGUUCGAUUAUGCCAAUCCAUCAAGGUGUUUUUCCAAUUGGAAAGGCGGCGUUGAACGUCUUAGGGUUUCUUUUUGCUUCGUCUCCCCCAUUCGAGAAUGAGACAGAAACAAAAUUCUAAGAGAUAUUUCAGCUUCUUAUUGUUAAUUUAUACCAGUUACAGAUUCUCCAUCUUAAAUUCCUUCUUAAAUCAUCACUCACGAUCAACCUUGAAUGCGAGCUUCUUCAUGCAAGGCGGUGGGAUCUCGAUUAUAAAAAGGUAAGUUUUUUCUAUGAAAACCAUCUUCUCAUUCCCUCUAAACAAGACAAUAGACUUAUAUCCAGAAAAUGGCUAACCAGCGAUCUUUCUUGGUUGCAAGUUGUGAGCUUUCAAGUGUUGGAUAAUUCCAAUUAACUUGAGGAGCAAGUUAACUCAUUAAAGUGAAGUUUGAUGGGUUAAGGAAAAAGGAAAACAUAUCGAGCUUAGGAAUGUUUCCAUAUUAUUAUUAGGAAAAGAUGUAGCUUCGCCCUUAGGAAAAGAUGUAGCUUCUUCCUAUAUAAACAGUUCUCAUGGAGAGAUGUUCCAUCAAGAGAAACACAUUGAAAGGUUUAGUUUUGAGAGAGUUUCUAAAUCUAAUAGGAAGAGAAGUUCUUAUAAUCUUUGUGUUUGUGCAACUUUAUCAAGUAUCUUGUGGAUUGACUUUUUCCUUUACUAAUUGGUAUCAGAGCUCCAGGUUUCGAAGGUCGUUUACAAGAGGAGUUGUAACUUCGAUCAAAACAUGGGAGACGAUUCUCAAGCACGUGAUAAAGGUCUUGAGAUGAAGAAGGACAUACGAUGUCCGAUGCUAACAUCGACCAACUACACCGUAUGGUCGAUGCGAAUGAAAGUGAUGCUUCGUUUAUACGAAGUUUGGGAUACGAUUGAUCCAGGGAGUAACGAUGCAAAGAAAAACAAUAUGGCGAUUGCUCUAAUCUUUCAAUCAGUCCCGAAGGCGCUAAUACUUCAGAUUAGAGAACAUGAUACAUCGAAGAAGAUUUGGGAAGCUAUCAAAUCCCGUAACCUAGGUGCUGAUCGCGUGAGAGAAGCAAGGUUACAAACUUUGAUGUCUGAGUUCGACAAACUGAAGAUGACAGACACAGACACGGUGGAUGACUACGCAGGAAAACUUUCAGGCUUAGCAUCGAGAGCAGCCGCAUUAGGAGAGAUAAUGGAAGCAUCAAAGCUGGUAAAGAAGUUUCUGAAGGGACUUCCAAGAACGAAGUUCAUUCACAUCCUAGCUUCGUUAGAACAAGUGUUGGAUCUAAAUUCAACAGGAUUCGAAGACAUUGUUGGGAGAUUGAAGGCUUUCGAAGAACGCAUCAAAGAAGAAACCCAAGAUGAAGAUCAAUCGAAGCUAAUGUUUGUAAAGAAUGAUGCACAAGGUCGUGGAAGCCAUAGCAACUCGCGAGGAAGAGGCAGAGGUAGAGGUUAUGGUGGAAGAGGAAGAGGACGAGGAAGGUCUAAUGGUUCUGAUGGUCAUAACAAAGGAGGAGAAGCUUCGGACAAGACCAAGAAGGACUACUCUAAGGUUAGAUGUUGGCGAUGCGACAAGAUGGGGCACUUCGUGUCACAUUGUCCUACACGACCAAGAGAAGAAGCUAACCUAACGGAAACACAAGAAGCAGAUGCAUUAUAUAUGCAUGAAGUUGUAUUCCUCAACGAAGAGAGAGUGUUUCCUAAGAGGUUUGAUGAAUGCGAUGGAAAUACGAGUAUAUGGUACCUUGACAAUGGUGCAAGUAACCAUAUGACAGGCAAGAGAGAGUUCUUCUCAAACCUAGAUGAGAGCAUCAAAGGCAAAGUCAAAUUCGGUGAUGGAUCAAACGUCGAGAUUGUUGGGAAAGGUUCGAUCACGUUCAUCGGAAAAACAGGGGAGAGAAGAGCACUCAAAGAUAUCUACUACAUCCCAAGUCUUAAACACAAUAUCAUAAGUCUUGGACAAGCAACCGAGAUGGGUUGUGAGGUUAAUAUGAAAGAAGACUUACUGAUGCUGAAAGAUCCCCGUGGAAAGCUAUUAGUACAAGUCGCAAGGCAACCAAACCGAUUGUACAAGACGCCAAUGGAGGUUGAAUUUCCGAAGUGUCUUCAAAUACAAGAAACUGAUGUUACAUGGACGUGGCAUGCACGGCUAGGACAUGUGAACUUUGGAGUCAUGAAGAAUAUGGUAGACAAAGAGAUGGUAGUAGGGAUGCCUCAGGUGAUACACGAGAAAGAUGUGUGCAGCGCCUGCUUAGUUGGGAAGCAAACUCGGAAGUCUUUCCCGCCUAAAGCAAAGUAUCGAGCAUCACACGCAUUGGAGUUGGUACAUGGUGACUUGUGCGGUCCGAUAUCACCAUCAACACCAGCAAACAAUAGAUAUGUAUUUGUCUUAAUUGAUGAUUACUCAAGAUAUAUGUGGACGAUGCUGCUAAGAGAGAAGAGUGAAGCGUUCGAUCGGUUCAAAAAGUUCAAGGAGUACAUGGAGAAUCAAACGAAGCUACAACUCAAGACUUUUCGCACCGAUAGAGGAGGAGAGUUCACAUCUUCUGAGUUCAUUCGUUUUUGUGAAGAAAACGGUGUAACUAGACAUCUCACCGCACCGUAUACACCGCAACAAAAGGGUGUGGUUGAGAGAAGAAAUAGAACACUAAUGGAGAUGACUAGAAGUUUGAUGAAAGCUAUGAAGAUACCUAAUCAGCUAUGGGGAGAAGCAGUACGUCAUUCAACGUAUCUCAUAAACCGCAUUGCUACAAAGGAUUUGGAAGACAAGACUCCAUACGAAAGCUUGUAUGUUAAGAAACCGUACAUUGAGCAUCUAAGGGUUUUUGGAUGUGUAGCUUUUUCAAAAAUCAACAGUCCUCAUCUCAAGAAGCUGGAUGAUCGAUCAAGGAUGGUGAUCAACCUAGGCACAGAGCCCGGCUCAAAAGCUUACAGACUCUAUGAUCCGGUCGCGAAGAAGAUAGUUGUUAGUAGAGAUGUAAUCUUUGACGAGAAGAAAAGUUGGGAUUGGUCCACACUAUCAACAAACGUAGACGAAGAACCAGGAUCAUUCAAGCUUCCUCAUAUUGAUGUUACAGAAGAAGGAGAUGGUGAUGAGCAUCAAGAUCACCAACACCACGAAGAGCAAAACAAUAAUGAAGAAGAAGAAGCUGUAGACGCAGAUGAACAAGAGCAAGUAGUAGAGAACAACGAUGCAAACCAAGACCUGCAUGUAACAUCAAGAUAUGGUCGUAACAUCAAAAAACCAAAGCGGUUCGAUGAUUACAUCCUACUCGCUGAAGUUGAAAGUGGCAGACUCUUGCUCACCAUCGAUGGUGAACAAGAAAUUUACAUCGAAGCUGCAGUAAUACAAGCUUGGAUCGAUGCAAUGAAGGCAGAGAUCGAAUCUAUCAUCAAAAACAAAACCUGGAAGCUCGUCAAGAAGCCGGCAGGUGUGAAACCGAUAGGUUUGAAGUGGAUCUAUAAGACCAAGAGGAAUGCAGAUGGAACGGUGAUCAAAUACAAAGCAAGGCUAGUUGCAAAAGGUUAUGUGCAACAACAAGGCAUAGACUUCGACGAAGUAUUUGCACCAGUUGCUCGGAUAGAAACCAUACGACUACUCUUGGCGUUAGCAGCAACUAAUGGAUGGGAGAUCCAUCACUUAGAUGUGAAAACUGCGUUCCUCAAUGGAGACUUAAAUGAGGAUGUAUACGUUACUCAACAAGAAGGCUUUGUGGAGAAAGGAAAGGAGGAUCAUGUGUACAAACUUAGAAAAGCACUAUACGGUUUGCGUCAAGCUCCGAGAGCUUGGAACAUCAAACUCGAUCGUGUUCUCAAGGAGAUGGAGUUCACGAAGUGCACCAAGGAACCUGCGGUAUAUCAAAAGAAACAGAAGGGGGAGCUUCUGAUCAUAGCUAUAUACGUUGAUGACUUGUUUGUAACAGGGACUUCACUCAACGUUAUCAAGCAAUUCAAAGAUGAUAUGUCAAGAAGAUUUGAGAUGUCAGACCUCGGGAAGCUUACAUACUAUCUUGGUAUAGAAGUAACGCAAGGAGCUGAUGGCAUUCACAUCAAACAAGAAGGAUACUCGCAAGGUAUACUUGUCAAGACGAAGAUGGAGUCAUGUAACUAUACUCAUGUUCCGAUGCACACGAGUUUGAAAGUAUCAAAGGCAGAGGAGGAGCCUGAGAUUGAUGCAACAUCGUAUCGAAGCAUCAUAGGAUGCUUAAGGUAUCUUCUUCAUACACGACCGGACUUGGCGUUUUCGGUUGGUGUAUUAAGCAGAUAUAUGCAGAGUCCAAGUGAGAGUCAUGGAGAAGCAGUGAAGCAUCUAAUACGAUACAUAAAGGGCACUACAGAGUAUGGUCUCUUCUUCAAACGGGAUGGAACAACGGAGAUUACAGGUUACAGUGACAGCAGCCAUAACAUAGACGUUGAUGAUGGAAGAAGCACUACAGGGUUUAUGUUCUACCUAGGAACAUCUCCGAUCACGUGGACAUCGUGCAAGCAACCCACAGUGGCACUCUCUUCAUGUGAGGCGGAGUUCAUGGCAGCUACGGAAGCUGCAAAACAAGCAAUUUGGUUAAAGGAGUUGAUGGUCGAGAUCAUGAACAAAGAAGACAAGAAGGUCGUGUUGAAGAUUGACAACAAGUCAGCGAUAGCCCUCACCAAGAACCCGGUGUUUCACGGUAGAAGCAAACACAUACUCUCGAAGUACCAUUUCAUUCGAGAAUGUGUGGAGUUCGACUUUAUCGAAGUGAAGCACGUACCUGGAGUGGAGCAGAAGGCAGACAUACUCACUAAGCCAUUGGCAAGGAUCAAGUUCGAAGCAAUGCGCAAGUUCAUCGGAGUUCAGAAGAUCAACAUACCUAAGAUUCAAGUUGGAAUUUAGGGGGAGAAUGUUGGAUAAUUCCAAUUAACUUGAGGAGCAAGUUAACUCAUUAAAGUGAAGUUUGAUGGGUUAAGGAAAAAGGAAAACAUAUCGAGCUUAGGAAUGUUUCCAUAUUAUUAUUAGGAAAAGAUGUAGCUUCGCCCUUAGGAAAAGAUGUAGCUUCUUCCUAUAUAAACAGUUCUCAUGGAGAGAUGUUCCAUCAAGAGAAACACAUUGAAAGGUUUAGUUUUGAGAGAGUUUCUAAAUCUAAUAGGAAGAGAAGUUCUUAUAAUCUUUGUGUUUGUGCAACUUUAUCAAGUAUCUUGUGGAUUGACUUUUUCCUUUACGUGGGAUUUGUGAACAUUAGCUACUGAGGAUCUUGGUAAGUUGGAUAGGAAGAUUAAGUUGACUGAAUCCAUUCUCGAAAGCAUACCCUGCACAUUCAUAUUGUUUAUUGAUAUUCAUGUGAACAUGCGACUGAUUGUUUUUUUUUUUUUUUGAACAAAAGCUUUGCAAGAAAGUUUAAAGCUUUGUCUGUGACCUUGCCACACUUAUGUAAGCUGUAUAACUGAUUUCUUUAACUCCGAUGUUAUUUUAUACUUUUCUUCUCUUCGUUUUUGUUCUCUGUUUCUUUUUGUGUGAAUCUAAUUGAUAAAAAUGUUCCUCUUGGACAUGUAGAUUGGUUUUCUGACUGGUGCUUGAAGCCUUGAAGAUUUACCUCUGGUAUAUUGAUUUCUCUUUAUGAAAAAAUUAAUCUUCUAAAAGGAUGAGAGCAGGUAGCUAAAUUCUUUAGCUUUUGAAUAUUUUUAGAUGUUGAAUCUUUUACUGGUUUCUGCUUUGUAGCUCUCAAGCUGUUUUGAUGGUCGUUACAUGUUUUUGGAUCUUGCAGUUGUCAAUUUUCAGAAAAUGAUCAUGCUGUUGGAAGCUCGAUAGAGAGCUGGAAGAUGCAGAGCAAAAGGUCACAAAAUUAGGAAGAACGAUAACAACGUGUGUGAGUGAGUUGUCUAUGAUACAAGAACCGGCAACUAAUGGGGGAAAUAAGCUAUGAGUUGAUAACAUCAAUGCUGACAGAGGUUUUCCUGAGACAGAUUAUCCUGGUAACGAUAUUCCUGGAGCUGGAGCUGUGACAACAAAGCUCUCUUAAGGUGUGACCAGGGACAUUUUGUAUACCAAGCUUAUACGGAGAAUCACAUCAUCCAUGGCACUACCAAUAGGUCCAUAAAUACAAAGCACCCGGUUGUGGUCAGUGGUUCAGACACGGAAGAGACUUCUAGGUUAUUUAAUUUUUGUGAGAUGAUCUACCCGGGAAGACAUCAUGCCGUAUCAUUUUAUUAGAACAACACAAAUUUUCUUUUGCUGCCUUUUUGUUUGAAUUCGCUUUUGACCAUUACCUUAUGUGCAUGUUCUCCCAACAUAUCAACGAUAUUUUUUAAUUGUAUAGAGAUCUUUACUUUUGUGGUAUUAUCAAAUUCUUUUGUUAGUUGCCAAACAACCUCUUCUUCUUUUUUUAUUCGAACUGAAAUUGACUUAGAAGGUAAUCUACUCGGUCUCUAAUGGAAGCCAUUUAUAAACAUCAAAACCUUUUUUUAUAAAGAAAACAGAAACAACUCCAAUGGCUUUGGAUAAGGGUUUAAUAAACACCAAUUUUUUUUUAAAAAAAAUUGAUAAACACCAAUUUCAUAUACUAAGAAGAUAAAAUAAGUUAGAAACCUUUUUGUAUUCAAGAAAAAAAAGAAGGAAUAAACCUAUUUAAUAUCAGAUUAAGUUACUGCUUGACGAAUUUAAUAAAAAAACAUAUGCAUUUUGUUUUUGAAAUGAUGAAAGCUUUGAGAGCUACUGCCUCCCCUAAAUCACUAUGAAGAUAUUUCUCUAUCCAAGAUAAUCAUGUUUUGAGAUGGACGCACAUUCUGAGAUCAACUAUAAAAUCCAUUCACAAAUAUAACACCCACAAUGAGAUAGCUACAAUUAUCUUUUAUUCGUCAAAAACAAAAUAUGCCACCCGACAAAAAAAGAAAAAUAUCUUACCAAAAGAGAAAAUAUUUAAAUACAUUUUACAUUUGAUAAAAAUAAUUUUCACAAAAAGAGAAAAUAUUUAAAUACAUUUUACAUUUGAUAAAAAUAAUUUAUACAUAUAUAUAUAUAUAUAUAUUUCAUCCAUGAAUAAUCCUGUUAGGUUCAGUAUAAAAUGGACUUUUAAAAAAUCAGUCCAAUAUAAAAUCUAUUACCGAAUAAUAUGACUGGUAGAACUAGAAACGACUUCCAAAUUCUUCUAUGCACGAAUAUUUCUUUCUAAAGUCUCUGAGUCACCUAGAGAGACUUUUUUUUUGACACAUCUUACACUUCAAAAUCUGAUCGUACGAAUUUGAGAUUUUUUGCAAAAAAAAUCAAGAAUCAAAAAUAAAAUAAAAAGAAAGAUUUGUACUUGGAAAAAAAAAGACAAUCUUUUAAAGUCGGCACAUGCUGAGUCUCCAAUGUCUGUGAAUAAUACUGAAAGAUAAUUUAAGACGGUAACAGACGAUCGGUUCACCCCCUGGCAUUAGUCGGAAGGUAUUCCAAACUCUAGAUCAUGCAGUGUAGUAGCCAGUCCAGUCUGUAGCACUAAGUGUGUUCCUCCCGAGACCGACCGGAUCACCCGAUAGGAUUUAUCAAAAAAAAAAGUAUAAGAAACAAAAAAAAUUAGAUUUACAUUAAGGUUACAACUUACAACAACUAUUGGUUGAAUGUUUCUUUGCUAAAAAUAAUCGAGAUGACAAGUCAUUAGAAGUUAAAUUUGAACGAAAUUUAAAACAAUAAAUUUUAAUAAUUAAUUACGUUUUUGAUUUCUUAAUUAAAUAGUCAAAUAGACAAAUUAUCAUGUUAAAAAUAUAAAAAUUAAUUUUAUAUUUAGUUCAAAAUGAAUUAUAUAUUUUAACUUUUUGUAUAUUUGUUUACCCGCCGUAGGACGGGUUUUGCCCUAGUUGAUAAUAAAAGAGGAAUGGGUUACUNNNNNNNNNNNNNNNNNNNNNNNNNNNNNNNNNNNNNNNNNNNNNNNNNNNNNNNNNNNNNNNNNNNNNNNNNNNNNNNNNNNNNNNNNNNNNNNNNNNNNNNNNNNNNNNNNNNNNNNNNNNNNNNNNNNNNNNNNNNNNNNNNNNNNNNNNNNNNNNNNNNNNNNNNNNNNNNNNNNNNNNNNNNNNNNNNNNNNNNNNNNNNNNNNNNNNNNNNNNNNNNNNNNNNNNNNNNNNNNNNNNNNNNNNNNNNNNNNNNNNNNNNNNNNNNNNNNNNNNNNNNNNNNNNNNNNNNNNNNNNNNNNNNNNNNNNNNNNNNNNNNNNNNNNNNNNNNNNNNNNNNNNNNNNNNNNNNNNNNNNNNNNNNNNNNNNNNNNNNNNNNNNNNNNNNNNNNNNNNNNNNNNNNNNNNNNNNNNNNNNNNNNNNNNNNNNNNNNNNNNNNNNNNNNNNNNNNNNNNNNNNNNNNNNNNNNNNNNNNNNNNNNNNNNNNNNNNNNNNNNNNNNNNNNNNNNNNNNNNNNNNNNNNNNNNNNNNNNNNNNNNNNNNNNNNNNNNNNNNNNNNNNNNNNNNNNNNNNNNNNNNNNNNNNNNNNNNNNNNNNNNNNNNNNNNNNNNNNNNNNNNNNNNNNNNNNNNNNNNNNNNNNNNNNNNNNNNNNNNNNNNNNNNNNNNNNNNNNNNNNNNNNNNNNNNNNNNNNNNNNNNNNNNNNNNNNNNNNNNNNNNNNNNNNNNNNNNNNNNNNNNNNNNNNNNNNNNNNNNNNNNNNNNNNNNNNNNNNNNNNNNNNNNNNNNNNNNNNNNNNNNNNNNNNNNNNNNNNNNNNNNNNNNNNNNNNNNNNNNNNNNNNNNNNNNNNNNNNNNNNNNNNNNNNNNNNNNNNNNNNNNNNNNNNNNNNNNNNNNNNNNNNNNNNNNNNNNNNNNNNNNNNNNNNNNNNNNNNNNNNNNNNNNNNNNNNNNNNNNNNNNNNNNNNNNNNNNNNNNNNNNNNNNNNNNNNNNNNNNNNNNNNNNNNNNNNNNNNNNNNNNNNNNNNNNNNNNNNNNNNNNNNNNNNNNNNNNNNNNNNNNNNNNNNNNNNNNNNNNNNNNNNNNNNNNNNNNNNNNNNNNNNNNNNNNNNNNNNNNNNNNNNNNNNNNNNNNNNNNNNNNNNNNNNNNNNNNNNNNNNNNNNNNNNNNNNNNNNNNNNNNNNNNNNNNNNNNNNNNNNNNNNNNNNNNNNNNNNNNNNNNNNNNNNNNNNNNNNNNNNNNNNNNNNNNNNNNNNNNNNNNNNNNNNNNNNNNNNNNNNNNNNNNNNNNNNNNNNNNNNNNNNNNNNNNNNNNNNNNNNNNNNNNNNNNNNNNNNNNNNNNNNNNNNNNNNNNNNNNNNNNNNNNNNNNNNNNNNNNNNNNNNNNNNNNNNNNNNNNNNNNNNNNNNNNNNNNNNNNNNNNNNNNNNNNNNNNNNNNNNNNNNNNNNNNNNNNNNNNNNNNNNNNNNNNNNNNNNNNNNNNNNNNNNNNNNNNNNNNNNNNNNNNNNNNNNNNNNNNNNNNNNNNNNNNNNNNNNNNNNNNNNNNNNNNNNNNNNNNNNNNNNNNNNNNNNNNNNNNNNNNNNNNNNNNNNNNNNNNNNNNNNNNNNNNNNNNNNNNNNNNNNNNNNNNNNNNNNNNNNNNNNNNNNNNNNNNNNNNNNNNNNNNNNNNNNNNNNNNNNNNNNNNNNNNNNNNNNNNNNNNNNNNNNNNNNNNNNNNNNNNNNNNNNNNNNNNNNNNNNNNNNNNNNNNNNNNNNNNNNNNNNNNNNNNNNNNNNNNNNNNNNNNNNNNNNNNNNNNNNNNNNNNNNNNNNNNNNNNNNNNNNNNNNNNNNNNNNNNNNNNNNNNNNNNNNNNNNNNNNNNNNNNNNNNNNNNNNNNNNNNNNNNNNNNNNNNNNNNNNNNNNNNNNNNNNNNNNNNNNNNNNNNNNNNNNNNNNNNNNNNNNNNNNNNNNNNNNNNNNNNNNNNNNNNNNNNNNNNNNNNNNNNNNNNNNNNNNNNNNNNNNNNNNNNNNNNNNNNNNNNNNNNNNNNNNNNNNNNNNNNNNNNNNNNNNNNNNNNNNNNNNNNNNNNNNNNNNNNNNNNNNNNNNNNNNNNNNNNNNNNNNNNNNNNNNNNNNNNNNNNNNNNNNNNNNNNNNNNNNNNNNNNNNNNNNNNNNNNNNNNNNNNNNNNNNNNNNNNNNNNNNNNNNNNNNNNNNNNNNNNNNNNNNNNNNNNNNNNNNNNNNNNNNNNNNNNNNNNNNNNNNNNNNNNNNNNNNNNNNNNNNNNNNNNNNNNNNNNNNNNNNNNNNNNNNNNNNNNNNNNNNNNNNNNNNNNNNNNNNNNNNNNNNNNNNNNNNNNNNNNNNNNNNNNNNNNNNNNNNNNNNNNNNNNNNNNNNNNNNNNNNNNNNNNNNNNNNNNNNNNNNNNNNNNNNNNNNNNNNNNNNNNNNNNNNNNNNNNNNNNNNNNNNNNNNNNNNNNNNNNNNNNNNNNNNNNNNNNNNNNNNNNNNNNNNNNNNNNNNNNNNNNNNNNNNNNNNNNNNNNNNNNNNNNNNNNNNNNNNNNNNNNNNNNNNNNNNNNNNNNNNNNNNNNNNNNNNNNNNNNNNNNNNNNNNNNNNNNNNNNNNNNNNNNNNNNNNNNNNNNNNNNNNNNNNNNNNNNNNNNNNNNNNNNNNNNNNNNNNNNNNNNNNNNNNNNNNNNNNNNNNNNNNNNNNNNNNNNNNNNNNNNNNNNNNNNNNNNNNNNNNNNNNNNNNNNNNNNNNNNNNNNNNNNNNNNNNNNNNNNNNNNNNNNNNNNNNNNNNNNNNNNNNNNNNNNNNNNNNNNNNNNNNNNNNNNNNNNNNNNNNNNNNNNNNNNNNNNNNNNNNNNNNNNNNNNNNNNNNNNNNNNNNNNNNNNNNNNNNNNNNNNNNNNNNNNNNNNNNNNNNNNNNNNNNNNNNNNNNNNNNNNNNNNNNNNNNNNNNNNNNNNNNNNNNNNNNNNNNNNNNNNNNNNNNNNNNNNNNNNNNNNNNNNNNNNNNNNNNNNNNNNNNNNNNNNNNNNNNNNNNNNNNNNNNNNNNNNNNNNNNNNNNNNNNNNNNNNNNNNNNNNNNNNNNNNNNNNNNNNNNNNNNNNNNNNNNNNNNNNNNNNNNNNNNNNNNNNNNNNNNNNNNNNNNNNNNNNNNNNNNNNNNNNNNNNNNNNNNNNNNNNNNNNNNNNNNNNNNNNNNNNNNNNNNNNNNNNNNNNNNNNNNNNNNNNNNNNNNNNNNNNNNNNNNNNNNNNNNNNNNNNNNNNNNNNNNNNNNNNNNNNNNNNNNNNNNNNNNNNNNNNNNNNNNNNNNNNNNNNNNNNNNNNNNNNNNNNNNNNNNNNNNNNNNNNNNNNNNNNNNNNNNNNNNNNNNNNNNNNNNNNNNNNNNNNNNNNNNNNNNNNNNNNNNNNNNNNNNNNNNNNNNNNNNNNNNNNNNNNNNNNNNNNNNNNNNNNNNNNNNNNNNNNNNNNNNNNNNNNNNNNNNNNNNNNNNNNNNNNNNNNNNNNNNNNNNNNNNNNNNNNNNNNNNNNNNNNNNNNNNNNNNNNNNNNNNNNNNNNNNNNNNNNNNNNNNNNNNNNACUUGAUGUCUUAUGCUUAAUGAAUGUGAGAGUUGGUUGAUUUGAAUGUGUGGAUGCUUGAUGAUGAGUAUAAGGGCAAAAAGGAGUUGAGAUAGGCCUAGAGAAGCUAGAGUGUAAUAAGAGAGUGUGCUCAUGUUGGAUUAGAUGUUGAAUUGAGUGCUAGUUGUGUUUCUUUUGGCUAAGAGCUCCCAUCUUCAAACCUCUCUCCCUAUGAGUUCUAGAAAUUUCACUUGUGGACAAGUAAAAGAACAAGUUUGGGGGAGUUGAUAUCUUGCAUAUUUGCAUUGUUUUAUCCAUUCAUUCAUAAACAUUUUCAUCAUAGAGAUUAGGAUAUAGACAUGUUUAGGUUGCAUUUUGCAUACAUGAGUCUCUAUUAGGUACUGGAGUGCCACAUGGAGUUCUUGGGGACAUUUGGAGCUCAAAGGCGGUGAAAUAGGUGAUCAUUAAACGAGCAGAGCAUGGGAGCGACCUCCUGGAGCGACAUCACGAAGUCGCUGUGUCCCACCUCUCAGAGGGACCUUCCUAAAGCGACGCCAUGAAGUCGCUCGCGUUCUCGUUACUCCGAACAGUCUUAGAUGACCCUGGAGCGACCUCUCAGAGCGACCUACCAAGGUCGCUCCCGAUCCAGAGCGACCCGUUGGAGCGACGCACCAAAGUCGCUCGCAACCAUCGGCCUUGGAGCGACUUGCCCAGAGCGACGCACCGAGGUCGCUCGCAUCUCACACCCCUCUCGGAGCAACCUCCCAAAGCGACACCCCGAGGUCGCUCGCGUCUCUAUGGCGAGACGACACGAAGCGAAGCCCGGAGCGACCUCUCAGAGCGAUCCACUGAGGUCGCUCCCGAAGGCCAGAGCGACCUCUCGGAGCGACAUGCCGAGGUCGCUCCGCGUCUAUUGUUGGGUCGAUUUCUAUUUUACUUAAGGGCCUUUUGGUCAUUUCAUUAUGCACGUUUUUAUUUUCUAAACCUAUGUUUUUAUACUCUGUAAGCCACCAGGAGGAGAUUAUCUUUUUGGAUCUAUUGAGAAAGACACAAAAACUCUCUUGAGAAGUUCAUCUCUUGGAUUUUGAUUGUUAUGUUCUUGUGUUCUUGUUGAUUUCUUAUCUAUUUCUUUACAUGAUUAAUCUGAAAUCCAAUAUGGGUUUAAGAGGAAUCAUAGAGAUUAGUGAGUAAUCACCUUUUGAAUUCAUGGGUUAGGGAGAUCAAGGGUGAUUAGGUUAGUUCUAGAAUGUUUUAGUGUAAAUAUUUCUUGUUCCUUGCUAGUAGAGUAUUCAUAAUGCAUCUUCUGAGUUGGCCACUCAAAAGUUGAUCAAUAGGCAUUUCCCACCCGAAAGGUGUUUGAUGAAAUGCCUGAGACAACUCUCCUAGGCUUUUAGUAUACUUUGCCAAAGACAUUUGUUGUUAAAGAUGCUAAGAUAGCUAAUAGACUUGUUAGUAAUGAUUGCUUUCAUAUUAUUCAACCAAAGACAUUUGAUGUUUGAGAUGUGUUAGCAAAUGAGCAUUCAUCUAGACAUAGAGCUUGCUUAGAAUUGUGUCUAGGCUUAAGGUUGAUAGUUUGAUUGAUCAUUUGCCAUCCUUAGUUCGAUACUUGAUCACCCAAGGUCUAAUCCCUAUGCCCAUGAGUUCUCUUUUCCCUUAGUCAAGAAAGUAUCAUUCUGUUAUUGCUUUCUAGUUUUAGUCAUAGCUUAAAACCCAUUUAAAUCAUUGGUUGCACUUAGAUUAAGUGAGUACUUGCAUUCUCAGUGCUUUGAUAUCCCUCAGAACUGGUUCGACAAUCACUAUACUACAACAUUUGUCUUAGGAGCUUGAAAACUCCUAACAUCAAUUCCCCCACGAUUUUAUAAUAUCUUGAGCCAACUACGGGUGAUUUGUUUAAGGCCAGAUAUGCGGAUUAUCAUUUUAAUGAAUCCGAACAUCCGACCUUAUGGGGAGAUAGCAGCAAAAUGAUAAAAGAAAUUUCAUGAAAUCAAACAUCCAUUUCUUGGCAAGAUCCUCGAACUCAAGUGUGUGAUCUUGAAGUUCAAAAGAUUAUACAUUUACAAAAGCUAGCUAAUCAAUUGCCAGAUUCCUUUGCUGACCCGAAAAGUGUGACCAAGUCAUACAUACCUGCUGCUAAUGCACCAAUAAGAUAUGAUGUUCAAGAGGGACACAAUCAAGUUGCUACAGAGUCUAGCCAGCGUGUGAAACGUGGUAGACCAAUAGGUUCCAAAGAUAAGAACCCUCGGAAAAUAAAGAAAGGUGCAACCGAGGUUCAUUAGACACCAGACAGGGCCGCGGCUGAUCAAGCCCGUGAUGUGGCUGCGACCAACCCGGCUUUAGACAUGGCCGGAUCUGAUGCCACUAAAGUGGCCGGCCCUGAUGUGCCAAACAAUGAUUCUUGGGACGCCAAGAUUUAUGGUACUGAUGGUGCAGAUAAUAAUGAGAUCUCAAUGAAUUAUGUCUUGUCUGGGAAACAGUGGAACAUAAAACAUGUCAACAUGGAUGAUUUAUUUGCUUAUGAAGUAGCACUUGAACUUAUGGAUAAUGAGGAUCAAGAACCCACGUCUAUGUAUGCAUGCAUGCCAAGAUCAGAUUGGCUUAAGUGGAAAUAAGCCAUAAAUGUGGAGUUAAAAUCACUGAGAAAGACAGGUGUGUUUGGUCCAAUAAUCCGAACACCUCAUGAUAUUAAACCAGUGGGAUACAAAUGGGUCUUUGUGAGGAAGAGAAAUGAGAAUGGUGAAGUCAUGAGGUAUAAAGCCCGGCUUGUUGCACAAGAAUUCUCACGGAGACCUGGAAUAGAUUAUGAGGAGACAUACUUCCCUGUGGUGGAUGCUACGACCUUCAGAUUUUUGAUAAGUCUGGCCGUAAGAGAGGGUCUGAAUUUGCGGUUAAUGGAUGUUAUAACCGCAUACCUUUAUGGUCCACUGGAUAAUGACAUUUAUAUGAAAGUCCCAGAGGGUAUUGAAUUGAAAAACAAAGAGAGUUCUCGAGACCAACAUUUUAUUAAGUUGGAAAAACCUCUUUAUGGACUGAAACAAUCUAGACGGAUGUGGUACAAUAGACUCAGUGAGUACCUAGUAAAAGAGGGAUAUAGAAAUGACCCUAUCAGUCUAUGUAUUUUCAUAAAGAAAUUUGAAAAUCAUGGGUUCGUGAUCAUAGCUGUGUAUGUUGAUGAUCUGAACAUCCUUGGAACCUCUGGUGAGAUUUCCCAAACAGUUGAAUACCUUAAGAAAGAAUUUGAGAUGAAAGAUCUCGGGAAAAAAAAAUUUUGUUUGGGAUUACAGCUUGAGUACAUAAGUGAUGGUAUCCUUGUGCAUCAGAAGGCAUACAAAGAGAAAGUACUCAAGAGGUUUAACAUGGCCGAUUGCCAUCCUCUGACCAGUCCCAUGGUCGUGAGAUCACUCGGCCCGGACACUGACCCAUUCCGUCCCAAGAUGGACGAUGAGGAUGUCCUAGGUCCUAAAAUGCCAUAUCUCAGUGCCAUAGGAGCUUUAAUGUACUUGGCAACUCAUACACGGCCUGAUAUAGCCUUUGCCGUGAAUCUACUGUCCACGUUCAGCUCCUGUCCGACCCUAAGGCACUGGAACCAGAUCAAACAGGUUCUUCGUUACCUACAAGGAACGAAAGACUUGGGUCUGUUUUAUACUAACCAUAGUAAGGAUGGUUUAGUUGGCUUUGCCGACGCUGGAUAUUUAUCAGAUCCACAUCAAGCUCGAUCACAGACACGAUAGGUCUUUAUACAUGGAGGUACAGCCAUAUCAUGGCGUUCCAUGAAACAGACCAUCGUGGCCACAUCAUCCAAUCAUUCGGAAAUACUAGCCAUUCAUGAGGCCAGCCGCGAGGUUGUUUGGUUGAGAUCGAUGAUCCAACAUAUCCGAUCAGAUUGUGGGAUGGUCGAAUGCAAAGAGCCGACCAUUAUCUUCGAGGACAAUGCGGCUUGCAUAGCUCAGCUCAAAGAUGGUUAUAUCAAAGGGGAUAGGACAAAACAUAUUUUGCCUAAGUUCUUCUUUACCCACGAUUUGCAAAAGACCGGAGAGGUCAAAGUGAUCCAAGUACGGUCUAGUGAUAACUCUGCCGAUUUAUUUACUAAGGCACUUCCGACCUGUACAUUCAGGAAGCUCACGCAUCAGAUUGGGAUGCGUAGGCUGAAAGACCUCCACCGAGGUUCUCAUCAGGGGGAGUAGUACAUGUUGUACUCUUUUUCCUUCAUCAUGUUUUUGUCCCACUUGGUUUUUCAUGAUAAGGUUUUAAUGAGGCAACAUUAAGCGUAUUACAAUCCAUGUAUGGUUAUGGCAUCCAAGGGGGGUGUUAUAAAUCAAUUGAUGGAUGUCCAUAACCGGCCCGAUCAUAAACCGGCCCAUCCGUAGGAGAGAGAGAGAGGAGAGAGAGUCGGCCUACUGAGGAGAGAGAGAGGCGGCCACAUGUUUCAUUUUCCUUGUUUGAUUAGGAAUUUCAUUUCUUUGUAAUCUUUCCAUAUUAUGUAUUAGUAGUCUUUCUUAAAUCCUAGUUGGUUUAGGUUUUGGAUACUUUCCUUUUUACUUAUCUUGUAAUCCCCUAUAUAAAGGGAACACUUAUUCAUUAAUGAAAUACAGAAACAUUCAGCUCUAAAUCUAUUGUUUCACAACAAUUUACCUACAAUCUGUGUUCUACUCUUUCCUCUUCGUUAAAAGAAAUGAUUAAUAAGAUACCAACGUAUUUUUUUGGUAAAACAAGGCACCAGCUUUCACUUCUUUCUUUGUUUAAUUUUCUAAUGAAAACUAAAGCUUGAUUUCUUUUUGUUCAAUUCUUUAAUUACAAGAAUCUAAAGCUUGAUUUAUAACAUUAAUUUUUAAACGCAUAUAUUUACCAACACAUGAAAUGUUAUGCCUUUCAUAUAUUAUGUUAUAUCUUACUUAUAAUUUCAUAAUAUAUUUUCCUUUAUCAGCUCAUAUAUAAUUACCAAAAUCAAAUUUAUAUAAUACUCAAAUAAAAAAAAAUCUAUAUUCUUGAAAUCUAUAUUUGUUUGAGAUCUAACAAUGUUUAAAAUGUACCUCACUAUUGUUAUUAUUUAUUUACUAUAUAUCUAAAAAAUGGUACAAUAAAAUCUAAAAUAUUUUGAAAAACAAACAGAUUUCAGAAUAUGAAAAUAGAUUACAGUUAUUACAGUUAAUACAUUCAAAUAAAUAGAGAUGGUAAAUAAACAUAUUAACUCAUUCAUAUUCAUAUUCAUAUUAAAACAACCUUUGAUCAAUACAAGACAAGUUAAAAAUGAAUGAUCUCAUUUGAGUUAUAAAUUAUUAGAAAUAGAACUAUAAACAAUUUUAAACAAGUUUAAUAAAAUAAAAAUAAAAAUAAUCAGGCUUUUUGAAAGUGUAGAUCAAAAUUUAAUAUUCAUCAUAAUGGAAUAUGAAUAAUGAACCUAAUCACACAAGAUCUUAUUAAUACUUUAAUAAAAUAACAUGAAUAUUAUUUUAAAAAAGUUUCCAAAAUCGUCGACUAUUAAUAUAUUACUAAAUAUAAAAUAAAUUCAGUUACUAAGUAAAUAUUUUUAAAAAUACUAAAUAAUUAUUUAUUUUAAAAUUUUCAGAAAUAUAAAUAAAAUUACUAAAUAAUUAUUUAUUUUAAAUUUUUCAUAAAUAUAAAUAAAAUUACUAAAUAAUAUUUUAUAUUUCAAUUUAAAUAUAAAUUAUACAUAUGUAAAUAUUCAAUAAAAAUAAUACAUAAUUUAAAUACAAAAUAAUCUUCAGAUAUGUCAUGUCAUUCAUAUAUCAAUUCGUUUAAUAAUCAAAUGCAAAUCCAAUAAAAUAAAAAUAUAAUAAAAAUGAAAAAUACAUGUAACAGUUUGAAACAAUUAACUAAGUUUCAUAUAAAAUAUAAAAUUGUUAUGUUUUAAAGGGUCAUAUACAAAUUUAAAAAUAUAUACUGCUAAUGAUAUAUAUAUAUAUAGAUGUGAAAAUAAAUACCCGUGCGGUUGCACCGGUCAAAAUCUAGUAAAGGUUAAAAUCGAAAAUACAUCUACUUAAUUCAGCCAAUCAAAAUGUUUUCUUCUUUUCCUUCUCUUUCCUAUUCGAACCUCCUUAUUCUCUCUCCUUAUUUUCUCUCCUCGACGAUGACCACCAUUGUUUCUUGAAUAUUUUCUUGAUUCAAUUCAAACAUAGCACCACAUUUAAGCCAUUCUAUACGAAUAAGGAGUUUUAAUCUCCAAAUUCAGGUAAUUUAUUCUUUGUAUUAUUUUUUUCUAGCUUAAAUCUAUAGUUGUAUCCACCAUUGAUGUUGUGUUUGUUAAUUGUAGAUGUGAAAUCGAUUUCAUAUGAGUGUUAAUAAUUAACUAAUUGAGCAUUAUUUGGGAGUUAUGUUUAGUUGAUCCAUUAAAAAAAUAAAUUGAUAAUUAAUAAGAAAAUUGGUUGAAUCAAAAGAAAUUUUGUCAGAUUAGUGUUUUCUUAUGAAGAACAAGAUGGUAGAACUUAGUAUAAGUAUAUAAGAGUAAAUGGUACAGUUUUAUUUAACUAUAACCGUAUAACUUGUAGAACUAGGUAAAACUAUGACCAUCCAACUUGUAGAAAUAUGUAAACUUAUGACCGUCCAACUGGUAUAACUUGGUAUUAUUUCAAUCGUAAAACUGUGAGCUUUGUGGGGGCUUCAAGUUUGGACAGAGUUGUCUUUGAAUAGAGCGAAGAACAUUUCUUUAGGUGACUCUGAGAAUGCUCUUGAGCUGCUUCUUCGAUCUUAAUUUACAAUUGCCAUGUUGACCAAUUUUGAGUUCAAUGCAUGCUACUCUCGGUCAAGGUAAAUCACUAUUUUUACGACUGGUGGUCAUACAAUAUAGUCAUCGGUUUUUCUUCUUCUUUUUUGUAAAACAGUCGGUGGUUUUUCUAGUUUUCAUAAACUUUAUGUCAUUCUAGGCUUUCAAAGUAUCGACCCAUCACCAUCCGACGACAAUUUGAAUGUUUGGCCUCCCAAGUUUAAAGGAGUGGUCAUUGGCAUAUAAAUUCUAUUGUUGGCAAUUACAAGUUUGAUUUGGAAUAUCUUGAUUUAGUAUAUAAUUUUUAAAAUACCGUUUUUACUUUGAGCUUUUUAAAACAACAUAUAUGCAAAUACACACACACACACAUAUAUAUAUUUAUUUACUUAUUUAUUUAUUUAUUUCUUAUUUGAAUUACUUCAAAAAUACCAGGUUAUUUGGAUGUUCCAAUAUUUCAAAUCCCGGUUAGCAAAAUGGUCUAGCGGACUAUUAAAGGUUUUAUCCAGAUUAAUUUUGUAAUACAAAAACCAUUUUCCGGCUGUUACUGGCAUCAUCCGGUUAAGCUAUGUAAUAUCUGAUAAUCAAACUUCAUCUCCAUCUCAAUGUACUCUUUAUCUGACAUAAUGCAAUUGUUACCAGUUCUUUUCGGUGCCAGCAGGCAAAAUCUCUGUUAAUUAACAAAAUGAUAUUGAUGGUUAUUACAUGUUUAAUCUUGAUAUAUAUGUAUUAUCCAGUUAUGUGACCCCACACAUAAAUGUUACUCCAUAUAUUCUAAUACCAUUAUUUUUUUUGUUUUGUUUUGUGGGGGUAUUUAAUACAGGAGAGAAUGAAGUUUUAAUUUCUGAGGAACUCUUUGUGAAUAAUAAUUGCUAUUAUUAACAAUUGUUGUUGUUUUUUGGUAUUUAUGUUAUACUUUUUUUUGGCAACGAAUUGUUGACUAAAGAGUAAUAAAUUUCUCUGCCUUUCUUUGUUUGAUAUUUUUAGUUAUAUUCAUUCAAUUAUUGAUUCUUAUGAGUUAGAAAUUAAUGGCCGGAGAAAAAAAUUAUCUAGUUAGAUUGUUAUGUAGAAAAAUGGUUAACAUGAUUUUACUUUAACCGAUAAUUUAAAAGUGUUUUUUUCAUACCAACCCGAACAACUUUGUAAAGCCCUGCAUUCCCACCAGUGUUUCAGAGCAUUUUUAAAUUAACUUUUUUUGAGAGAUUCAUUGAUCACCAAAGUGCCCCAAAAAAAAAACAGCGAAACACCCGUUAGAACUUUUGGUAAAACCGCAAGUGAUUUGCAGCUGUAACUUCUCCAGCUUCACAUUAAACACAUGCUUGUCCUUCUUUUCCUCUGCUUUUCUGGUUCCAGCCUCUUGUUUUGCUCUCUCCCUCAUGCCUUAGAACGAAAUCAUUUGCUGUUUUGCUCGAACGCUGGGGUCUAGAACCAUAUGAAUAUUGCUGGAAUAAACGCACUUGCACAGACCAUUUUACUUGGGUUGCAUUGGCGAAAAUGAACGUUCCUGCAAAUUGAUACUUCAUUACUCUACAGCUCUGCUACCAUACAAAGCCAACCUAAGAUUAUUUCAAGUGACACAAAAAGAAUUUUACAAUUCUACAAAUCUACACAACUCUCCCUUGUUAUAUAAAGAGGACAACUUUAGAUUUAUGGGUUACUAAAUGAUGUUAUUGAUCAAUGCAAAGAGAUCUAAAUUUACAGAAUGAGAAUGAUUAUGCUUACACGAUGAACACGAUAUGGUCGAAGAUUAAGCCUUUACAUCUAACUGAUAUGGCGGAGUGCACUCAACUUGAUUAGGUGACUCGGUUAUCUCAUCCAAAGUGGUUGAAUCAUUGAACCGAAUCACAUAGCUGGUGAGACAGUGGACUUUGACGGUGGCUAGCAUGAGCAGGCCUGAAUAUGAGUGUCGCCUGAAAACAGAAAAAACCGAAAUCGUAAUCAACAAACAUAUCUAGUUGAUACCAUCUCUAAAUGAAAACAGAAUUUUGAUAACUCUGAAUUUAAACGCCGCUGUGUAUUAUGAAACUACAAUGAAAUUGAGUUAGCCAUAAUACUGAGAAAGAAGUUUCUCUUGUCAGAUUAGUAAGAUGGUGAUGAUGAUGUUCAUGGGUUCGAGACUGACCUUUUUAUAGGUGGACUUCCACCGCCUUUAAGGAGCACUGAGUGAGGAACCAUGGUUUGCGUGGGUCCAAGGAGUUAAGAAGGCUUUUAAUGGCAAUGGAACACUUGAUUACGAAACGAAUGGGGAGAUGUAUAGAAGAAGAAACGACGGGAAGGGAGAUCGACACAGAGAUUCCAGAACCUCCAUUGUAGUUUGUUCUAUUCCAGGAUAUGAAGAACCCAUCAUCGAAGAAGGAUAUCGUGGAAACGUUGCGACUUUUGUGUGUUGAUUUUGUAAGCCCAAAUAUUGAAGCUCAUAAACAUACCAACCAAAAAAUAAAACAAAGAACAAUCUCGUUAGGCCCACUACAACCAAACGAAACGAAAGCAACGGAACUGAGUUGACACGUGUCACUCUCUCCUUAUCUUAUUUGCUGACGUGGCAACACUAGAGUAGAGAAAAACUCUUUAUAAUAAUAGAAGAUUUAUUUCUAAUUAAACGUGAAUAAGUCCAAAACUUAAAUGACAACAUUUGUAAGUAUAUAAAAAAUAAAACAUUAAAUUGAUAGAUUAGAUAACACAUUUUGUACAUGUUAUUUUUUUUCAAAGUUGAACAAGUUAUAUAUAUAACGUUGAUUUUUUCUCUUCUUCUCACAUGGUAGGGGUUUUUGCGACACGUGCCAUCUAUGUUUUUUUUUUUUACAUUUCAGGUCCUUUCAGAUUAUUGCAAUUUGACCAAAUAUUUUCUAAUCGUGAACUAUCUAAUCUUUUUUGCAUUAACUAUCAUCGUAUGAAGUUUGAUAAUCUAUUUUAUUGUUAACUAAAAUUCAAGAUGAAUAAAGAAAUAAAUAAAAUAAUAUAAAUAUAUUUUACAUAUUUAAUUUAUUCACAACUAAAUAUAACAUAAAUUUUUGUUAUUUUAUUAUUUUUAACUAUUUUUAUUAUUUAAUUUAUGAAUUAUAUAUUUAUUUAACUAUUAAAAAUAUAAAAUUACCAAACUAAUAAGAAAAAAUUAGAGUGCAAUACAUAAUCUAAACAUAAAACUUUCACAGUCAUAGAGAAAAAGUAAAAUAUCAUAGUAACACUAACUCAAUAAAUGUUUGGAGCUGAAAAAAGAUCAACAAAGAAGACUAACUUAUCUCAUCUUACCAUAGAAUGUCUCGGCUAAAACAAACAUAUUUCAGAAAAAGGUAAAAAGAUAAAAUAUGAGAUAAAGCAAUCCCCGGAACACAAAGAAUCGAGAUCAAGCACCAGCGCAAAAAACCAAAAAAGUGAGUCAGAGAAAAAAUAAUCAUCGGAAGAACAAAGUCACCACGAAACAAAAAGACACAUCUCUAAAGCACCGGAAACACAACCACCAGCUAAGAGAUAAGAAUCACCCCCACAAAAUAAACAAGCACAUACAAGGCGUACAUGCCAGCGAAGAACCACAAAACUUUGAAUACAAGAAAAUAAAGUUCCAAAAGACUAACUCCGCACACCUACACCAAAGGAUGCAUGAGAAGAAGAUAAACAACCUGAGUGAGGGAGAAUAAAAGCCAACCACCGAGAAACCAAAGCUUAAUCUUGAGACCAUAAAUAACCUUCCAAGUGUAAAAGCAUACACAGAGAAAAACACUAUCCAAACCUGGAGUAGCAAAUAUGGCGAAAGGGAGAGCCACAAGAGACGUAAUCAACGAUAAAAGGUGCAACGAGACGAGAGAACAAAGAGAUAAAAAGAGACAAAAUGAAAUCAACAAACCGUUGAGCCAUCCUCGAGCUAUGAAAAAGAGCAUAGAAGUCAGAUCACUAAAACCCCGAUCUUGAAAACCAUGACGGCAAACCAGCUACGAGGAAAACAACAUCAAUGACAACUAAACUCUGAUCCAACCCAAUGAGAUGUAAUUUCUAACAUUAGCCAAAACCUAAGGAAAAAGAGGAACAAUAUUGACCGAAAUAACAUACAACGCCGUAAAAAAUAACUCCACAACAUGGAACUAAUAUGUCUGAUCUAUAACAAAUACAAAAUAAUCUCACAGAAAAAGAAGAUGAGGAAAAACAAGAGCACAUAAAUGAGUCUUUUCCUAGUGAUGGUGAGAAGCAUUGCACACCGGAGAGGUAAACAAAAUACAUAGAUGAUGAUGACUCAAUGCAGUGCCGUCCCAAAACUUUAUGAGGCUUAAAGUCUGUCUAGAUAUGUGACCCUUAUAAAUAAAAUUGUUAAUAACAAAAGCGUAAGAAAUGGGUUUUGGUAUUGCUCCAACUAGGGACAAGAAAAUCCAGCUUAUCUUCCUAAACCAUUUAAGCUACAUACAAUUUUGGUUAGUGUGGCCUAUAUUUCAUUUUUAUAUUUGUGGCCUGAAGCCAAUGCUGCACCUACCUUAAAGGAGGGACGGGUCUGGUUCAAUGUCAAAAUAUGGAGGAGAAUGUAAAAAACACCUAAAAAGUAAUGUACAAAAAUAUGAAAAAUUAAAAUACAAUUUUGACGCCGUUAAUCUUAGAAUCAACAAAUGCUUAAAGACAAAAUUAUUGAAAUUCAAUAUGUUUUACAUCAGAAACUCAUUUCACCACUAACAAGUAGUAUUAUACAUACAACGACACAUUAUUAAAAACACAAACACAUAAUAUAUUAAUUUAUUACAAACUACUACAUAACAUAAUAAACAUUAAAUAAUGCUCUUCACGAAUAAAUACUAACCACAUAAUCACAUCAUCAGAAAAUCAUAUUUAAAAACAAUAAAACAAUAUUCCGCGCCAAAUGCGACCAACCCUAGUACAUUAAAUAUUUCAUCAAAAGAAAAUUCUAAAUGGGGCUCGGAACCCCAAAAAGCCUAAGCAAGUAACUCUCUUUCUAGUUUGUUACAUACUGAAUUUUUGAAUUAUGUACUAAUUAACUUGGAGUUCCACCUCUAUUAUGAUCAGUUUAUCACAAUCACAAGUUCAGAGUCAUUUCCGUGAUGGGAGUAAAUCAAAUGGAAAUAAAUAUAAUAAACAAAUUUGCAUUUUUUCAUCCUGUAUGGAGUGAAAACUUUGGUUUAUCUAUCCAAGUAAGGUUCUCCCAAAUAUAAAAAUAAACUUGCAUUUUAUUCUCUACAUAUUAUAAAUUACUAUUAAAGAGAAUAUUUGAGUUUCCCCAAUGCAAAAUAUACCUUAAGCCUUCUCGAUUCUUGGGAUAUUUCUCAAUUAUACUCACCAUUGGAAGUAUAUUUCAAUUAAUUAAACUGGUGACCUAAUGCGCCUCGUCUUUUUUUUUUUAUAUAACUAUACGCCUUCGUCUUUUCGCUUGUUUAUUACCAAAUGCACAGUAGUUUAUAGUUUAUACCAUGCGUAUUAGACUUCCCUAAACGAAUCCGUUGCUUUAUCUCUUUUCUCUCUACUCUCAAGUCUCAACCAAUCUGUUAUAUUCUGAUGCUCGUUGAUACACUAAAAGUAGAUCUUUGUCUACUGUCAAGUUAACAGUGUAGUUGUAAUAUCUUUAUAUUCAAUUUCAGAGGAUCAAUUCACACUUUAUCUUUAUGGGAUCAGAAUUAAACUAAAACAAGUGGUUUUUUUUUUAAAAAGUCAAUAACGUAAAUAACAAGUAACAAGAUGAGGUUGUUUUGAAUUGAUUUAAAGGCGCUAGUCUAGGGUUUCUUCUUCAGAUAUAGAAAUCGCAAACCAAACAAUUAUUCAAAUUCAAUUUAUAACAAAUCUAAACUCGGAUCACUCAGGUUGAAUCAACUCACUCUCGUGGUAUUGAUUCCUUUGCAAGUCGGUCUUGAUGCCUAAACUCUCGUUUGGAUCAAGACGCGCUAGCAAGCUUUAGAGAUCAAGUCUGAUAUGUUCACAGUACACCCUAAUAUCUACUCUCGCUGACUAGGGAUGCAAAGUUCAUCCAAAUCAUAUCAAGUUAUCAAUUAACGGCUAGCUAAAUUGAUUAACCCUAAUUCAUGCACUAAGUGAUCGGUUCAAUGCAAGCAAUAAGAACAUAUAUGAAUGUAGACAAUUUUAAGAUGACUUAUUUAUGCUUCAGUUUACGAAUCCAAAACCCUAGAACCUUAAACUAACUCGGUGACUACUCAGACAUAACACAAGAACAGAAAAACAUGAUUUCUGAAUAAUACUGCAUAUAAUAGAUAAUAGAAAUCAGAGGGUUCAUGAUAAUCUUCUCUAGGAGAUAAAUGAGGUCUUCUCCCUUACAAGUAGCAAUCGCCCAAAAAUUAAAGCUCCCUCAGGUCUUUCUUGCGUAAAAACUAAGGUAGGUCUAAAGUAAUAAAUAGGAGACUAUAUAUAUAGGAGCCACAUGCGACUAUAGGGAAAAAUAGGAAAUCUAGGGCAAAUCCUGAAAUAUUUGGAAACUUCUUUUUUUUUUAUCUCUGCCGCUGGAGCAGAUACUCGGGCUGCUCCGGUCGACUGUUCUGCGCGAAAGACUCCAAUUCACACUCUUUUUCUCUUCUUUCCCUCCAUCUGGUCUAUCUCUCAUCCAAUGCAACUCCAGACCCGUAAUGACUCAAAAGGACUAAAAAAGACUCGAUAAAACUUUGAAAACUAUUAGUAAGACAUACAUAUAAUGUGCCAAAAACACAAUAUAUCACUCGUUCGAAAAAAAUCAUAGCAUACAAACAAGAAGUUUCAAAAAAAAAUAAUAAUUCAUAGCGUGCUUAUUUAUUUGUCAUUUGAAAACAUUACAAAAAACAAAAUAAAAUAAAACUUAUCAUUUUACCAAGAAACAAGACUUUAUAAAAGGAAAUUAAGAAUUCCACAUGUCGGCAUGAAUAUAGUUACCCGUUUUAGCAGUAAAGAAUCAUAAGGCAUCCAUAUUACAAAAAUUAUUAGAAGAUAGAAGGCAGUUAAACAGUUUAGGGAUAUAGUUUAGUUAGGAAUUAAGAGAAAGAUUAGUUAGUGAGCUCACAUACCCAAACACUUGUGGGACAAUUUUCUAAUCUGAACAUUGAAAAUGCACUAUUUUCAUACAAUUAGCAAGUUUGGUGAUGUACCUUUUUUGUAUGGAAAUUUGGUGUUCUACUUUUAAUUGUAUGUGACUACGCACUUACCGGCAACAUUUAGUCUGUGCGGGAGUGUUCAGACUAUUUGUAUAGCGCAGUGUCUACGUAUUCGAUAUUGUAAGCAGCAUGAUUUUUCAAAACCACAAAUAAUAGGUUUAGUCAACCAUAUGCAUUGUAUGUCUGAGGCUUCGUACCAAAUAUUCUGUUGUAAAAUGUAUAAUGUUUUAAGCCACGAAAAUUAUUAAUAAAGUUAUUUUUGUUGAAAAUGUAUCACUAAAUUAUACAUUUUAAAUUAUUCAAACAAUUUUAAAAUAGAUUACAAAAUAUCAUUGAAUAUACAUUUUGAAACUGAAGAAGUAACUUAUAGUAAUACUUUCCCUAAGAAAUCUUNNNNNNNNNNNNNNNNNNNNNUUUCCCUACGAAAUCUUAAGUUAUAUAACGAGAUUUCAAAAAAUAAAUCUUCAGUUAUAAAUGAAAAGGAAAAACUCACAAAUCAACUACAACAAUCCUUAGCCAUGCAGCUGAAAAGUAUUUGUGUGUAUAUAGUACAACGAAAAUGUAAACUGAAGAUUUUGUAUACAAUGCUUUGUACAUCAAAACUCGUAUUAAGAUUGUGAAUAAUUGGAACCUUAAAAGAAAAAAAGAUUGUGAAUAACUGGUGUAGAAAAGGAGGUUAUCUUUUUAUAUAUAUAUAUAUAUAUAUAUAUAUAUAAAUAAAUGUUAUUUUGGUGUGAUAAAAACUGAAAAAGGGAUAAAAAUAAUUGAAGCUAGAAAAAGCCAACAAGAUAAGAGACAAGCCAUGAACGUGAUCUGCCCAACAAAAAGGACUUCUUUUUUUUUCUUUUCACUCCGUAACUUUUCUAAAAAGCAGAUAAAAAUCUUAUGUUUAAGUUUUUCUUUUGAUCUUUCUUUCUUUGUGACCCAUCCUUUCAGUCCAAUCAGAUCAUUGUAUAUUAAAGUGUCCUUGAAAAUUCUGUCCGAAAGCAAAAGUGCAAACAAUUUAAACUGAAAUCAUGAAACAUAAAAUUACACUAUUUUUUCUUCCUACUAAUAUAAUUUUCAAAAAGAGUGUAGACUUAAAAAGGGGAGAAAAACAGAGAGUCUCUUCUUUUCUUGUUAUUCUGUCAGUAUCUUUCUGUGUGUGUUUUUUGGCAUUUUCAUUUGGGGUUUUGCUUGUUUGGUCCCUUUUAAUGAAUUUUUAAUUCCGUUUUUUCUUUCAGUCAUUUUUAAUUUGGUGGUUUGCAGUGAGAGAAGGCAAAUGAGAUUAGGUGAUUAGGUAAUAGUGGUGUUGAAUAACAAGGAGACUAACUUUAAAAUUAGAAUGUUGUAGUCUUGUAGAGAUUAACUACUCAAUAAUUACCCAAGAAAGAAACGAUUAAAAUAAUAAAACCAAAACAGUAUCAGUCGAGUGCUUUUUUUUGUGCAUUACUUUUCUCAGAUCUCUAGAAAAAAAUUCUCAGACUUUCAGGGCAUUUUGGUGGUUUAGUUUCUCGGGAUAAUUCUCUCCAUACUUUUUUAUACUUACUCUUUCUCUUCCUCUCUUCUUUCUACGAGCACUCAUUCUCUUAAUGCUUCAUCCAAAAACUCUCUUUCUGAGCUGGGUAUCUUAACAAGGCGUCAUUUUUUCUUCUUCUUGUGGGUCUUCUCCUUUUACUCCAUUCGAUUUGUAUUUAGAAAGAAAGAGGUCCAUUGCUUGAAAAAGAUUGCACAAGGUAGUUUCUGUGUCUGAAAAAGACAGGGGAAGUAGAGGAUAGAAAGAUAGGAGAGACAAAGGCCAAGUCUUUCAUUCACAUUUGGGAGAGAGAGAAAUGAGUUUGUGGGUUUUCUAAGAACUUCUUUUACAGAUAGAAAAGUUGAUUUGCUGUAAGAGGGAAUAUUGCCAUGGUAGGUGCAAGAUUGGUGUUUUGGAGAUUAGGGUUUCUGGUUUUGGUAUGGUUCCCUGAUGUCACUACCGCUACACUUUCUCCUACUGGUGUUAACUAUGAAGGUCAGUAGUCUUCUUCUUCUUUGGAGCCAUCUCUGUUUCUGAAAGAAAGGAAAAAAAAGUUAAUUUAUAAUUUGUCUAAAACAUAAGUACUUCAGAUUGGAGUUUCUCUGAGAAAUUUAUCAUGUUUGUUUGUCUAUGUAAUGUUUCUUCGCUUUUGCGAAAAUUGUGGCCGAAUGUUUUGUGUGGAUUGUGUUAUUUUUGUAUUUAUUGGAUAAUAAAUACCAGCUUUAAAUGCUCUCUCACCAAUACCAGCUCAAGUUUUACUUAUUUCUUGGGUGAAAGAUUUCUGGGUUUUUUUUUCUUUCUGUUUCAAUAUAAAAAUGCAGCUUUUAGCAAAAGAGAGAAUUCACAAGAGUUUUGAGGCUAGAUUUUGUUAUCUUAAUCUGAAUUUUUUUGUUUUUGUUGCUGUUUGGUCUGAAAUGAGCAGUGACGGCUUUGGUGGCUAUAAAGAGUGAAUUGAAUGAUCCGUACAAUGUUUUGGAGAAUUGGGAUGUGAAUUCAGUUGAUCCAUGUAGCUGGAGAAUGGUCACUUGCACUGAUGGCUAUGUCUCUGCACUGUGAGUCUUCUCUUUUCUCUAGUACACACCAGACAAAUAAGCCAAAUAGAUAUUUGAGACUUAUGUCUUGUUUGCUUAAUGAAACAGGGGACUUCCUAGCCAAAGCUUGUCUGGUACAUUGUCUCCUAGAAUCGGAAACCUCAGCUAUCUACAAUCUGUGUAAGAUUCUUCACUAUCUUUAAUUCUUGUUCUGUAAUUUUUUUUAAAAAAUUAUUGUUGUUGAGUUUAAUAAGAUUUGUGAUGUAGGUUGUUGCAAAACAACGCAAUCUCUGGCCCAAUUCCUGAUACGAUUGGGAGGUUGGAGAAGCUUCAGACACUUGAUCUUUCCAACAAUUCAUUCACCGGGGAGAUACCGGCCUCACUUGGAGAACUCAACAACUUAAAUUACUUGUGAGUGUUCCUUUUUGGGAUUCAAACUCCAGUUCAAGUCUCAGUGUCUUAUUCCGUUCUUGUUCAUUUUGUCUUUUUUUUUUUCAGGCGGUUGAACAAUAACAGUCUUUCAGGAACUUGCCCCCAGUCUCUGUCCAAGAUCGAGGGGCUUACUCUAGUGUAUGUCCCCUCCACUUUGCCUCAUGGUUUAACCAAAUAGAAUCUUACCAACUUAUUUGUUAUUUUGAUUCUUUAAUGUGCAGCGACAUUUCGUAUAACAAUCUUAGCGGUUCGCUGCCAAAAGUGUCUGCCAGAACUUUCAAGUAAACUUUACCAAACUUUAUCCAACUACUUUGAUUUUUUUUUUUUCCGUUGAGGCGAAACUAAGUUUGUUCUGUUUCUUGGACACUUUAAGGGUGAUCGGAAACGCAUUAAUCUGUGGCCCAAAAGCUGCUGCAAAUAACUGUUCUGCUGUCCUCCCCGAGCCUCUCACGCUUCCACAAGAUGUUCCAUCAGGUAUUAUUAACCCAUCUGUCCCUUUUUUACUUAUUCCGUCAAUAUAGCUUUUUAUCUUAACAUCUUUCUAUUUUUAGAUGAUUCAGGAACUCAUACCAAUGGCCAUCACGUAGCUGUUGCAUUCGCCGCGAGCUUCAGCGCUGCAUUUUUUGUUAUCUUCACCAGUGGAAUGUUUCUUUGGUGGAGAUAUCGACGCAACAAGCAAAUAUUUUUCGACGUUAAUGGUUUAGUCUCUUCAAAAUUUCUCUGCUUUUCCAUCAUCUUGUGCUUUUUUUUUUUUCUUUUUCUGAAAACAGUCCCAUCUUUAUUUCUGCAGAACAAUAUGAUCUAGAGGUGAGCUUAGGGCACUUGAAGAGGUAUACAUUCAAGGAGCUUAGAUCCGCAACGAAUCAUUUCCACCCGAAGAAUAUUCUCGGAAGAGGCGGAUACGGGAUUGUGUACAAAGGACACUUAAGCGACGGAUCUUUGGUGGCUGUAAAGCGUCUCAAAGACUGUAACAUUGCUGGCGGAGAAGUCCAGUUUCAGACGGAGGUAGAGACUAUAAGUCUGGCUCUUCAUCGCAAUCUCCUCAGGCUUCGCGGUUUCUGUAGUAGCAACAACGAGAGAAUCUUGGUCUACCCUUACAUGCCUAAUGGGAGCGUGGCCUCACGCUUAAAAGGUAAAUGCAGUUUCCAAAUCCAUUUUUUGGGUAUUUUUCCGCUCCUUUUCGAGAUUUUUAAAGUUUGCUGCAACUGUUGUUAGAUCAUAUCCGGGGAGAACCAGCGUUGGACUGGUCGAGAAGGAAGAAGAUAGCGGUCGGUACUGCGAGGGGAUUAGUGUACCUUCAUGAGCAGUGUGACCCGAAGAUUAUACACAGAGAUGUGAAGGCAGCUAACAUUCUAUUGGAUGAAGACUUUGAGGCGGUCGUUGGUGAUUUCGGGUUAGCCAAGCUUCUAGACCAUAGAGACUCACAUGUCACGACCGCGGUCCGUGGAACCGUUGGCCACAUUGCACCUGAGUACUUGUCCACUGGUCAGUCCUCGGAGAAAACUGAUGUCUUCGGCUUUGGUAUACUACUUCUUGAGCUCAUUACGGGUCAGAAAGCUCUUGACUUUGGCCGUUCCUCGCAUCAGAAAGGGGUCAUGCUCGAUUGGGUAAGUCUUCUUUUCUCUGUUUCUUGCUUCAUUUCCUAGAAUCUUUGGAGGUAUUGGUCGCAAUUCUGGUUUGGUUCGGUUCUGUCUUGCUUCAGAGGAAACUUAAACCAAAAUAAAUCGAACUUAACCAUGAUUGGGAUUCAGAACCGGUCUAGAUUUAAUCCUCGAGAUUGGUUAAAUUUCGGUUCUGCGUCUGUGCUUGGUUUCAAUUAAUAUAAGUUAGAGUUAAACUACUUAAUGCCGUUAAUAGUUUGGUUUGGUAAUCUUUGAUUUGAUUUCGAUUUAUUUUGGAUUGUAAGCUGAAAAAAUACUAAAUCAUGAUUUGGAUUCGGUUUUAGAUCUAAUUUCGGUUUUAGGAUAGGCUUUGGUUCGAGUUCAUUAAAAUAAUCUUGAAAAUUUGGUUCGGUCUAGAUUGGGUUGCUAGUCAAAAUCGAAGAAAGACUACAUUUCAAUUUGGUUUGGUUUAUUGGUCUGAGAAAUGUGACUUGUUUAACAUGGCAGGUGAAGAAGCUGCAUCAAGAAGGGAAACUAAAACAGUUAAUAGACAAAGAUCUUAACGACAAGUACGAUACAGUGGAGCUCGAAGAAAUCGUUCAAGUUGCUCUUCUUUGCACUCAGUUUAAUCCAUCUAAUCGACCUAAAAUGUCCGAAGUUAUGAAAAUGCUUGAAGGCGACGGCUUGGCCGAUAGAUGGGAAGCGUCGCAGAGCGGUGGGGCAAAGUCGCUGCCUCCUCCGUUGCCGUCGGGGAUGGUGAGUUCAUCGCCGCGUGUAAGAUAUUACUCUGAUUAUAUCCAGGAAUCGUCACUUGUGGUGGAAGCCAUUGAGCUCUCUGGUCCUCGAUGAAGACCAAUGAUCAUUCACUUUUUUUUUUCUUGGGUUUGUUUUUGUUUGGUUUUACUUGUUCUUUUUCUUAAAAAUGUUUAUAUAGUUGUGGAGUAGUGUAAUUUACAACUUUUCUGUAAAAAUAAUAUUUUUUCUCCCGUAAUAUUCCUUCCGUUCCUAAAUAAUCUAUAUUCUAAAGAAAAUUUUUAUUUCAAAAAGAUAAAUAAUGCAAUUUUUGUCAACUAAUAAUGAGAAAUUGUGAAGUUUAAGAAAAUUAAUUGCAUUUCUUAAAAUCUUAUUGGUUUCAAAAUAUAGGAAAUAUAAAAUUACAAAAAAUUGUGCAUUUAUAGCUAAAUUUUAAUAUGUUUUAUUAAAAAAUGUGAAAAUUCUAAAUCAUGGAUUUUUUUAGGAACGGAUGGAAUAUAUUGUAAUUGUUUAUGCUAAAAAUUUGGAGACUAAAAAUCAUUGUGUUAAAAAAUACUAAAGUAUUUUUAAAUAUAACUAAAAUAUAAUUUAACUUAUCAUAAAAAAUCUAGAAUUUAAUUGGCUGUUCAAUAUAUAAUAAAGGUAUCAAAAUUUGAAACAGCUUAUACAUUUUUUUAUUAAAUCAUUUUCUAUCUAUAUUAAUAAAGUAAAAUAAACUCUCCUCCAAUUAAACAACCAAUGCACCAAAAUUUGAAAACUAAUAAUUUCUAAUAUUUUAUUUCACAUCUUUUUAUUUUCAUCUUUACUCCAAAUAUAUUUACACAUAAUCUAAGAGUCCGUAGAUAAUUUUUCUGAUAAUCAUUCUUGAACUCGACCAAUAUUUUAACAUCACUUAUAUCACAAAAAUCAUAAUUUUAGUGAAAAUACAUAAUUUAAUUUAUAAAUAAAUCAUACAAAUAAAUAAUGUUAGGGUAAAAUUAAGCAUAGCUAAGUAUGGUAAAAUAUUUGAAUCGAACUAUGUUGUAAAAUGGAAUGAUGCUGUAUAAUGGAAAGCUAGAAGGUUGAACAUUUUUGGCUUGUGUGUAUUAGUUUUAGAGUUUUUUUUGUUUAUAUAGUGUUUUGAAUAAGAGGUAGAUGCUAGAUCAUUUAGAAUAAUCCAGGAUUUAUUUUCGGUGGUUCAAGUGCAAGCGUAUUCAUCUCCCGUUGUGAAGAAUAAGAAGGAAAAAGUUUUUAAUUUAGUGUUUUUCAAAAAAAGGUUUUUAAUUUAGUGGUACCUGUUUUUGGCCAAGUAAAAAUUUGUAGAGAAUUUAAAUAAAAUUCAAUAAUAAUUUUUGGCCAAGUAACUCAACUCUUUGAUUGAAAAACAGUUGUAGCAGUUUCGGAUGGUUCAGCGGCGUGGGAGACAGUAAAAGAAAAGACACAUAACAUUGAAGAAGAAAAAGGUCUUGCAGAGAGCAGCAAGAUACGGUUAAAACUCUAUCAAAGCGGAUCAAACAUGUCAAACCAUCUCUCAUUAAAUUCAGAGGUUAGUAGACAAUCCAUUAAUGCUUGUUAGACAUUGUUUAGGUUUGAAUUAAAUGGACUUUAGGAUCAUGUACUUGGUUGUGUUAUAAUUAGGUAGAAUCAUUGACUUUCUUGGUUGGUUUAGUUUUAGGUAGAUACAUUGAUGACCAUUUACGCGUAACACCUACUAAACUCUCAUUAAGUUUGUUUUAAAAAGCGACCAAAUCUCCCUUUCUCAUUUCAUAUCUUUUCUCUUUUGAUAUUUCUUUUCACAAAACAGAAGAAGCUCUCUUUCUCUUUUGUUAAUUCCUUCUCCUUCGUUAAUUCCUUCCUCAUUUCAUAUCUCUUCUCUUUUGAUAGGAUCCAUUUAGUGAACCUUGUAGCUUUCAAACACUCUUAAACAAUCAGCAACCAAACACCUUCUUCUCUUUUGUUAGUCGUGAACCUAGUAUUGAAGUCUCUGCCUCGGAUGCGUCUGUCUUUGGUACUGGAUGGCUUGAUGAUGCAAACGAAGAGUGCCACAUCGUGUCUGACCGUAAAGAAAGGCGGAAAUGGUCACCAACUGAAGACAAGGUGCUCAUCAGUGCUUGGUUGAACACCUCCAAAGAUCCUGUCGUGGGAAAUGAGCAGAAAGCAAUUGUGUUUUGGAAACGAAUUGCUGCUUAUUUUGGUUCAAGUCCACAGCUUGCUGCUUUGCAAAAGAGAGAGCCAUCUCACUGUAAACAAAGGUGGGAGAAGAUCAAUGAGGGCGUGUGCAAGUUUAUAGGCUGCUAUGAUGCUGCAACAAAACAAAAAUCCAGUGGCCAGAGUGAGAAUGAUGUUUUGAAGAUGGCCCAUGAAAUAUUCUUCAAUGAUUACAAGAGCAAGUUCACACUUGAGCAUGGAUGGUUGGAGAUUAGGCAUGAUCAUAAGUGGUGUGGAGGUCUGCCGAGUAAAGAGAAUGUGAACUCUAAGAGGAGAAAGCUUGACCAUUCAGCAUAGUCAUCAACGUCAGUGCCAUGUAGCCUUGGAGAAGAUGAAUCAAUGCUUUUGUAUGAUAGGCAAGUUAGUUUGUUUCUCUAUAUUACGAGUCUGUAUGCAUUUGCUUUUGCUGUCUUCUUAUGUAUCUCGAGUCUGUAUAAUGACUUGUUUGAAUGUAUAAUAUUUCCACAGAUUGAUAAAUUAGUUCUUGCAAGGCUUUGUAUCACGGAUAACUAUAUUAGCUGGUUACGUCUCUUACUCAAUGUUUGGUGUGUUUUGUUAACGUUUUCUCUUUGGCUAAUUGCAGUAGCACAGUACAAGACAUGACUUUUUUAAACCGUGGAAUAAGCUUGAAUCUAGUUGACUCUGUGGAAACAGAGAUUCAGGUGAAGUGUUGGCCGAGUCUCUUAUGGCCAAUAUCUGCUAUCUUCGGUUAGUCUUCCUCUCUUUUCUCUAUGCAUUUAACUUGUUUCGUUGAUCAGACAAGCUCGGUUCGAACUAGUUUUGGCUUUGUAUUCUACGUAGUAACUGAUGGUUAGGAUUGUGAUCAUUCAGUUAGGAUUGUAAUUGAUGCAUACGUUUGUAAUUGAAGCUUUUAUGUGUGUAUAGUAACUGAUGCUUUUGCAGGACAAGAAGACAACUUGUGACAACAAUAAAGUCAGUAGCAUGUGACGCAAACAAACACCAAAAGAAAAAGAAGAAGUCAGUAGCAUGUGACACAAACAAACACCAAAAGAAAAAGAAGCAGUCGUUGCAUAUGACGCCCAAGUGCCAUACGUUUCUUAUUUUUUCCUUUAUAAUGACUUGAUGUUAUCAAAAACAUAUUGUGCCUUCCGAGUGUAAUUGAUAGUCCGAGUGUAAAUCAUAUUGUCCUACUUUAUAAUGACUUGAUGUUACCAUUUCUCUCUUACCAUUUUCCAAUCAAAGAGUUGAGUUACUUUGUCUCUCUUACCAUUUCUCUCUUACCAUUUCUCUUCAAAAUGGCUUCUUCUUCUUCUUGUCAUAAUCUUGAAGACAUGAUAGAUGAAACAUUUGAUCAACUUUUCGAUCAACAAUUCAAACAACUUUACGUUCAAGGUCAAGAAGCAUCAACGUAAAAAAAAAAGAGCCUACAUUGAAAGACAACGAGAACAAGGACACGAGUAGUUAUGGAACUAUUAUUUUAGUGAAGAUGCAACGUAUCCUUCUCACAUGUUUCGACGCAGUUUUAGAAUGAACAAGCCCUUGUUCAUGCGUAUUGUUGAUCGACUCUCCGCUGAAAUCCCAUACUUUCAACAAAGAAGAGAUGCUACGGGAAGGUUUAGUCACUCUCCAUUACAAAAGGCAACGGCAGCAAUUCGUAUAAUGGCAUAUGGUUGCCCAGCUGAUGUGGUCGACGAAUACCUCCGACUUGGUGAGACCACCGCGCUUUUAUGCUUGAAACAUUUUGUUCAACGAAUCAUAAAUUUAUUUGGAGAUGAGUAUCUAAGAAGACCCACGCCAGAAGAUCUUCAACGACUACUCGAUAUUGGAGAGAUACGCGGAUUUCCCGAGAUGAUAGGAAGCAUCGAUUGUAUGCAUUGGGAGUGGAAGAAUUGUCCGACCGCAUGGAAAGGUCAAUAUACACGUGGAUCAGGAAAGCCAACUAUUGUUUUAGAGGCUGUAGCUUCACAAGAUCUCUGGAUAUGUCAUGCGUUUUUCGGACCUCCAGGUACAUUAAACGAUAUUAAUGUUCUUGAUCGAUCACCGGUUUUUGAUGGUAUAUUACAAAGUCGAGCUCCAAAAGUUAAUUACAUUGUCAACGGACAUGAGUACCAUUUGGCUUACUAUCUCACAGAUGAUAUUUAUCCAAAAUGGGUUACUUUUGUCCAAUCUAUUCCACUCCCGCAAGGUCUGAAAGCAUCCUUAUUCGCUACACAUCAAGAAGCUGUAUGUAAAGAUGUCGAGCGUGCUUUUUGGGUCUUACAAGCUCGAUUUGCCAUAGUAAAAAAUCCAGCUCUUUUGUGGGAUAAAAUAAAAAUUGGAAAGAUAAUGAGAGCAUGUAUCAUUCUACAUAAUAUGAUCGUAGAAGACGAACGAGAUGAGUACACUCAGUUUGAUGUAUCAGUUUUCGCACAACCAGAAUCAAACCGAAGUUCACAAGUGGAUUUCACGUAUUCUACAGAUAUGCCUUCAAAACUCGGCAAUAUGAUGAGCAUUCGGAAUCGAGUUCGUGAUAAUACAAUACAUCAACAAUUGAAAGCGGAUUUGGUUGAGCAUAUAUGACAAAAAUUUGGAACAAUCAAGAUUUCAACUAAUCGGUUUUUUCUCGUUUACGAUUUGUAUUUGUAUUUUUAAUAUGCUUUUAUGUCAUUUUUAUUAAGAAUUUUAAUGUAUGAUUUUAUUUUUAAUCAUUCUAUUUAAAAAUGAAUUAUUUAAGAACCCCUUGGGGUUCUCCCAUUGGGAGAGGAAUACAUAAUUUCCUCAAACAAAGGUUCUUUAACUACUCAAAUCACUUUAUUAAAUAUUAAUUUACUCCUAAAAACCCAUUAGAGGUUCUAAUGGAUGGACUUGCUCUUAACGAUCCCGAAUUACAUAGUUAUGUGUUCUCACACUUUCUCUUACAAGUGUUUUUAACCGCUUGCUUAAACUUUAAAUUUUAGUUUACCAUGUAAUUAAUUAUGAUCAGUGCCAUUGUGUGAUUCCUUUUUCUUAAAUAUCUUAACUUGAAUUAACUAAAUGUUUAAAAGGAAAUUCGUUUUUUAUAAAAAAUAUACAAAAUGUCAGAAUAUGAACUACACAUCAUACAUGCAUGGUUGCAUGGCAUGUAGACGCGGAAACUUGUCACUCCUCCACAUUUGAGAUUCCAACACCUAAUCGCUACAAAAACCUUAUAGAUUCUCCCUUUCUCACAAACAAACAAACACAUUCAUGCAAUGUUACACGUGAUCUCCAUGCAGAACAUCUUUCACGCCUAUAAAUACCAACCAACACUCCACUUCCCUCUUCACUCAAACCAAAACAAGCAAAAAACAUACACACAAAUAGCAAAUGGCCAACAAGCUCUUUCUCGUCUCGGCGACUCUCGCCCUCUUCUUCCUUCUCACCAAUGCCUCCAUCUACCG